rnacentral:lncRNA from 1 species
UCAAUGUGGAUAAUUCUAGUUUUUCCUCUUUUUACCUUCAUCUGCUCUACGUCAGAUGAGAUAACGAAAUGGUCAGCCCCAAGCAGGCUCAGUGCUCCCUCCUUUUUAGAAAUGCUUGUACUGAACACUGUGACUUUCAGUCCAAAAGCCUUCCCAAACUUAACUGCCAAAUGACCGAGCCCGCCAAGUCCAAUUACACCUAGAGACUUACCAGGUUGGUUCUUUGUGACGUAUCAUUGGAGUGUACACCGUGAUUCCAGCACAGAGCAAUGGCGCUGCUAGAUCCAUCGGGUAGUUUUCUGGAAUCCUGAAGCAAUACCUGUCAAUGAAGCACCACGAUUAAGUUUCCAAAUAACACCAAGAGAGGAAGUGGUUUCCCAAUAGAAUCAGCAUCCUGUCUUUGUUGUCUAAAAGGAAUCAAAUCACAGAGCCAGACAUCCUAUCUUCCACAUGCUUGGGAAUUUUACUUGCUUAGACCACAAUUCAGCAUCAUGUUGUUUCUGUGAUCCUUGUUCUGACCACAAAUUGCUCAAGACAAACAUUUCUUGCUGUAGCAAUGUAAAUAAAGCAAUUGCAGCAUACAAGAGGCCACACUCGAUUAAAAUUAAGAAAAGACACUUGCUCUAAGAAAGGAAACUGGUGGCAUAUCACAUAUGCUUGACUGAACACGUAAUUUCUGUAUUUCCUUCAAUCAAUUUCUCCAAAGGACUCAAGAUUCCUGUGGCUCUAUCAGAAACAAGAAUUAGUGAAAGCACAUACAUUUAGCUACCCAUUUGAUCUGAUAUUUAUGAUCUAACUCUAACAAUCUAAGGACAGCUUAUUCCAUUCUUGACGAUGGUUAUUCAAAAGAAAGAAUUUCUUUUCGCAUUUAAUAAAGCCAAUUCUCCAUUGAAUGGUUUGAAUGGUAAUUGGAUACAGAGGACUUAAAGACUCUCCAGAGUCGUUAUAGAAAGUAUCUUUAUCCCGUUCCACAAGAUGCAAUUAAUGCCUAAAAGCCAUUCCUCACAGUCCUAUGCAUUAUGCCACUUCUGGUCACAAUCAGAAUAAGAAGAAAAUUAGCAGAGAAGAAGACAUGACAUGAAAUCUUUUUUUGGCCACCAUGAUUUGGAAUUCUGUCACAGUGCAAAAUGCUGCCUAAUAACACUGUGUCAAUAAGCAAUUACCUUUCAUGGACGACAAUGUGACUAGAAUAUCCUCCCUUUGUGACUGUACCAUCCGCAUCGAUUCCAUCAAAAGUCAAAACCGCCUUUUCACAUUGGGUUUCUAGCCUGUCAUUGCAAUACUCGCACUCUCUGCAUGAAUUGACAUAAGUUCCCACCCCCACAUGAUUGCCAACUUUGAAGCGUUGGACACUGGAGCCAACCUGUUUCACAAUUCCAACUAUCUCGAGCCUGAAUCAAUCAAAAAAAUCAUUUGCAAAUUUUGUUCAGAGAAUUAUGAGGAUGGUGCUAAGAAAAAAAGAUUAACAUUCGAAUCACGCUGCAUCCUACCCUGGCACCAGAGGAUACUUGGAGUGUCCCUGCACAUUCCUAGUCCAAGCCACAUCUGCAUAGCACACUCCACAGUGCGUGAUCUUAAUCGAGACGUCUUCGCUUCCCACGGCCCUAAAGAGAUGAUUCCCAAACAGGUGAGCAUAUAAUCCAGUGAAUAAUCAGACUAGGGUACCUUUUUUUUCCAUUUUCAAGAUCAACAAACUAAGCUUGACCUACGAUUAUCGAGAAAACAAGAAACCAGAAAUGAGAAAAGGAAAAAUUCCAUGACUACAAGCAUAUUUGUCCAUACGGUAGAUACAACCUCAAAUGCUCAGAAAGGCAGCCAGUACAGGAUCCUCAUGUCUGCCAUGAAAUUCUGAGUAACCCAUAACCAACAAUUCUCGACCCAGAAUUCAGCGCAUACACAACAAAAGAAAGAACGAAAAAAAAUGAAAUGGUCUGGACCGAAAACUGUCUCGCAUGAACACUUCGGUAGAAAUCGAAAAACAAAUGGCAAUACCUGCGGGUGAAUUUGUAGGGGGAGAGGAACCCAGAAGGGUCCCGGGCAGCCCAACCGAGGCAAUCCUCCUUCCCACCCUCCGAGCUCAUCUUCUGUACCUACACACCCAGCGAAGCAAUCACACAAACGGGUACGGUUAGAUUCAUCCAAAGAAGAAGAAGAAGAAGAAAGGGUGAGAACUCGAACGAGAGAGUGCCCAAGAUCAGAGACUCGACGGGUCAUCACUAGGCGACGACUCGAGUCACAACAAGCUCGCCAUCACUCACUCACCUACACCCACCUACCCAAACACAACCCCACAGCAACUCAGAGAGAGAGAGAGAGAUGACUACGGAGAUGGAGAGAGGUUACGCGGUGGAGUAUGCGGGAGCGCGAAGAGGGUGAUGAGCCGAGCAGAGCCGAGGACGGGAGGUUCAACGAAGACUUUGCCCCCUCCCUACCUUGCAGGAGAGCUGCGAGUAAUCCGAUGGAUUAAAUUGGAAGGAAAAAUUAUCCCAAACUUUAGCUCAAUAUGUAACGUCAUCUAUAAAUUUUUAAUUUACUCGAUAUGAUUAUAUUAUAUGUUAUUGCAAAUUUUAAAUUAAUGGAAUAACAAUGUUGAAUAUUUUUAUAUAUUGAAUAUAUAUUAAAAGUUCAUUAACUAUAUUAAAUAAGUUAAAAGUUUACAGACUAUAUUUCGCAUUACAUUAAAGUUCAAGGACAACAUUAAAUAAAUUAAAAAUUUAGGGAUUACAUUGCAUGUUAGAUCAAAAUUCAAGAUCAUUUAUGUGGUUAUCACAAAUAACUACUAUCAAUGGAAUUACCAUUAGGAAAUUGAAUAUCUAAACGGAGUCGAAGAUAAGUAUUUAAGUUUGUCAUGCCCCGAACCCCGAAGGCGUGUCCAUCUCUCUUUGGUCGAUAAUAUUUUGUGACUUCUCAAGACAAGUCGUCAACCCUUUUUGUUUUAUUGCACAUGCGAAAGCAAAUAAUAAAUCUCCUGUUAGUAAUCAUCUUGGGAUAGAAACAUGACAACAGAUUCAUAAACAAACAUGCUUUUGUAAUUACAUAGUCAUGUAUAGGGUUUAUGACCAAAAGAUCACAAGGACUGGCUUUUAAAAAAGAAACGGUUCUAAUUGACCUACAUUUCUGAUCAUCUCCUCUCAGCUCUAGGUCCUUCACUUGACGACUUUGAAAGACAAUGUCUCAGUAAGUCCAUCUACUAAACCCUGAUUAUGAGGGAAAUACGCUUCAGGACACUCUAGUCACACAACCACACAAUUAGAUAGGAAACUUAUCUCGCCUUAGUUUCUUCCUAUAGAUUAGCACAAUUCAUAUCUCAAAUGCAUGCAAUUUAUGCAUAUGACAAUUAAAACGCCUUACUUUUCUUAAUCAAUUACAAGGGUCUCAGCCCAGUUCAUCAUAGGAGUCUCAAUUAUAAGACCAAACUGUUAUGAUACAAUCCAUAUCAUGCCACGCAAUUUUGUCUCAUAAUCAAGCGCAUCAAACUCAGACAAUCAUGCGUUCCAAUUGUUAAUUAAGCCACUCAAGGCACUGUCGACAUCCAUGUUCGAUAGUCUAUUGGCAUAGCCAGGUAUCGUCUCUUCCUCAUAGAGCACGGCUACGUCACAUUGGCGACUAUCCCGAACGCGCUUAGGUCCAGAAUCUACUACGACCCGCUACCCUAAUGCAUGGGUAACCUGAAAAGUGGGAUUUAGUAAUGUCCAGCGUAAACGCUAGGACGGGUUCACUUUAACCAACACACGACCACUCAAUCUCGGCCUAGGAUACUGUGCAUUGUACACAAAUGCCUUAAUUAAAGUAGUGAUCCUGGUAUAUUUUCUUCGUAUUAAAAACAUUCCAGAAAAUAGUCGUGUGUGGGUAUACAAUCAGAUUGAACCCAAAAAAUUCAUAACAUUCUUUUAAAAAAUCCAAUGGUUUAUACUGUAUAUAAAACCAUUUUCGGUAUUUAAAACCCGACACCCAAGAUUUUCUGAAUAAAUAACAAAUUUUAUAAAUUUUUAGAAUAAAUGUCCAAAAAUCCAAUUAACACUCAAUUUGCGUAAUUUAACACUCGAUUGUAGAAAUUAACCACACCAUUGCAAUUAGUACGAAAUUCCGAUCAUUGGCUAUCCCGGCCUAAUUUGCGGAAAAUAUUUAAUAAUUAAUUAAUUUCUAAAAUUAAUUAAAUAAAUCAAUUUAAAUACUAAAAUGCCAACCUAGGCCAAAAUCACUAAAUUAAAUACCAACACGGACCCAAAAAAUUCUUGAACCCUUCUAGAUAAAUAACACAAUUUAUCUAGGUCUCACUUAAUCUAAUCUAAUCACCUAACAUGUAUAAUUGCAUAAUUAAAUCACUAAAUUAAUCUAACUAACCACCUAAUUCAUAAUUAAAUAAAUAUAAACACAUCUUAGACAUCAUUAGCCUACUAAGAAGAGUUUAGUGAAUAAACUCACCGGUUAAUUGCGAAAACCGGUUCACUGCGAUGAUGACGUGACAGCAGCUGAAAUCCGAAUUUUCGGUAGCAUCGAUAGACACUCAGACCGGGCACAAAAACCUUGCAAGCCCACAGCAAAUUGCUAGGCUUGGUCUGGGCUUGACCUGAACUUGGGCCUGAGCUUGGGCUGACUUGCUUUGUGGGCUUGGGCUCGGAACAAAAGCUGAAAUUACGAACUAGGCUUGCGACACUUGCUGGGCUUGACUGAAGAUGGGCUACUGCGCAGGCUCAAAGGAGCUGCUGGGCCGGAAUUGUCGCAGUGAAGAUGGACUUCAAAUUGCUGGGCCGAGAAGCCUAGCCCGUUCACGGCCACAGCUGGGCUGAGCUAGGGCCGAAGACACAAAAUGGAGAAACGGGCGUGGAAGCUGGGCUGCUUCAACUUCGCUGGAAACGUGGAUGGCUUGAAGGAACUGAGGCAGCCACGAAGAUGGAAGAAGCAACGUCGACGAACUGCUUGGGACGAUGGCAGCUGGUGGAAGAGUCAACUUCGGUGGUCACAUGGGCUGGCUUAUUGACCGAGAGAGGGCAGGCGGUGGACGUGUGGCAGCUACUGGAUCCGCGUGAGGCUUCGGUGGGUUUUGUUUCGCGGAGAUGAGCUGCUCGGUUGAAAGAAAAAUCGGUGGUGUUGAGCUGGCGAUGUGCAGGCGUGCGUCGUUGAAGAUUUCUUGGUCAAUAAACGGCAAUAUGACAAAGAUGGUGGCUGGCUUCGGUUUUGAGGGAUAAUGGGGAGAAAACAAAGUUGCAGGUGUGCGGCGUGGAUGACCGAAGGGGAUUGGGCGAAGGAAAUGAAAAUAAAAGAAUGAAAGGAACGGCAGAAGCUGAGGAAGAAGUGUUCGUUUUUCUUGGUGAGUGAUAGAGAGACAAAAAGUCCAACACUCAGCCAAAUUCAUAAAUGCUUGGUCCCCUUAGACCUUCACUCUUAUCCCUUUUGUCUCCAAUUACUUUCUAAGCUUUCUCUUCACCAAUAAACCUAAUUUUGAAGCCCAAAAUUGUUGCCCUUUUCCAAAUCCGAAUUUCACAAUUUUUGGCCUUCAAUUUCUUCAACAAUUUCCCAAAUUCGACGUCCAAUUUUGAUGUAAAAAAAACCUACAUAAUUUCUACUAGUCCCCCUCGCCAUAUAGCUCGGUUUGCAAGGCGAAAAUCUCUUCAUUUUGACUGAUCCGAAUUUCCACUAAUUUUUCGCAACGUCCAAAUCGAUUUUUCGUAAAAAUCUCGGGAUCCUCAAAAAAUCUUCGGAGGAUGACGACGUUCCUAAAAUAGAUCGUGACAUGAUAGAAAUUUUAAUUUUUAAAAUCGGGUUCAAGUUCGCGGUUAAUUUCAAUCCAACGCGUUUUUAGCGUGACCUAAUCUACUAGGUAACUUUUAUGAAUUUUUUGUACAAUUGACCCGUGAUCGAUUUAUCUCGAGUCACAUUGUACAUAUUCGAUACAUGACGACUCUCGAUUGUUGUGAAAAUCUCGAGAUAUCAAUUACGGGCACCAGGUACCAAAACGAUAGAAAAUCGAUUUAGUGCCGAUCGACGAGUAUUUUGCAAUUAGGUGGAAUCACUUACACUCUAAUCACACAUCUCACUCAAGUUAACCUAUCUUCGGUCUCUAAUUGAUUUCGACAGUAUUGUAAUGACCCUUCCAGAUCAACACGGUUAAGCAAUCAAUUCCUGGUCGAAUUCUCAAGUCCAUUGUAUUUAGAUUCCUUAAUUGUUUCUCCAGAUAGUCUAGUUAUCUUGUGAGUGAUCGGCUCAAAGAAUAGCACUAUCAACGCGUCGACGAAAGGCCCAAUUUAUUUAAUUGAAAACGAAUUAUGAAAGUUCAAGCUGUCACAAAGUUUGCCCUAAGCAUUGAAAAAUAAAAUAAAAUAAGGGGACAAUCUAAAGAGUUUAGUACAAUUUUAGUCUUGGGAGUUUCUAUGUUACAUAUGAUCUAGUCCUCUAACUUUUCUAUUUUUAUACACUCAAAUCUUUUGUCAUAUUUAGUUUUUAUGCAAUUAAGUUUUAUUUUUUCAUUCAAGUCAAUCAACGUUCUCAACUAGUGCAAUCGAGUACUUCACUCACCCAUCAUAACACACAAUUCCAUUUUUCUUUUUCUAAGUUUACUUUUCGCUUAUUUGGCACCACCUCAACAUUGUGCGAUAUUUUCUACCUCAAUGAUAAUACUAUGUUAUUGAUUACUAUGACGCAUUCAGCAAGAGGAUUUAUUGAACGAUUUAAUUGCACGAAUCAAGAAAGUUAGAAGACUUGAUUGAACAAAAUAUAAAGUUAAGAGGAUCAAAUUGUGCCGAUAUGGAAAUUUGGAUGACUAAAAUUGCAUCAAACCCUUUUAUAGGGAGAUGGGUCAGCCACAAUAACAUAUUCUUUUUCAGUGACUGGCUUUGACACAACCAAUACAACAGUAGUACGAAAAUGAAAGAUGAGUGGACAAAAGAAGGGCAACAGAUGUUAAACGAAACCUGUUUCCCAAAAGCACCAUGCAGAAACUUCCUUUCAUUGGAAAAUUUUUCUUGAAACGGAACUAAAGAUUACUGGCUUCGACAUAAUCGAUGAACAUACCAAGAGCUGAGGCCUUAUCCAACAACAACGUGAAAAUGAAAAAUGAGUUGAAAAGAAAUGGACAGCAGCUGUCAAAUUAAACAUUUUUUCCAUGUCUCGUUCAGAACUUGUCACUCCCUCAUUACCAUCUUGACCCUUUUGAAAUUGGAAGUGAAGGUUACUGGCUUCGACAUGACCAAUGUAUAACUUGUCGCUCAUGCAAUAUGGUAUAUAGAAAUGAAAGAUGAGUAGAAAAAGAAAUGGACGAUUGCUGUCAAAUUAAAACCUUUCCCAAGUCAACUUGUCGCUCCCCUUCCUUCCAUUAAAAUGCUUUUAUGGUGGAACUGAAGAUUACUGGCUUUGACACAACCAAUGUAAACCCUCCAAGAGGUGAGAGAACUUAUGCAAAAGUAUAAAAAUGAAAGACAAGUCGAAAAGAUGAGGACAAUAACCAAACGCGUGCAACUCAAUUGCACUUUUCGAUAAGGAUAAACUGUACCUCUCCUCAUCAUUGAAAGAGAUAGGAUUAAACGCAGACGUGAUUGACAUAGAGAUUCUUACUAGAAAUUAAAUAAAAAUAAGUCUUUCUUGGUAACAGGAUGUUUGUUCUCGUGACCGUGUAGGUCUUUCUAGGUUCUCUGACGCGUGCCAUGAGGUCAUGGCAUGUUAUGCAACCAGAGAUAUCCAUUCCAUAUUUCUAUGGUAACUAUCCAUCGUUACCUCCUGUGAACCUAAGAAGAACAAAACCAAUCCAUAAAGCUGUGGAGGAUCAAGAACAACCCGCCCUAAGUUAUUGAUGAACUGAGUUAACUGUUUGAAGCCUAAGUAGCGAAUCAUUUAAAGUUUAAGCUACUAAAAUGUCAGAUGCCAAACAGAAGGAAAAUCUACAGAGCCAACAUCUGCAUCGGAUCAACGAUGGCAUAUCAACAACUAAGGGAAAAAUCUGCUACUAAAUAUUUAUCUGAAACUACAAGCGAGGAUCGCGUUGCACUUGCAUAAGUCUGUUAACGCAGGUCAAUGGUCAUGUUCUGGCCAGCUAUGUAAGAAGUUUGAAAACUCUACACGGACAGGCACCAUUUGCAAGAAGACCUGUUCCCUCAAAUGCUCAUCUUUGUACUGAGCUGGAAAUGCUUUUAGCAGAUGACUGUGCCUCCAGAAACAAAUCGCACGAAGUGGCCCACAAUUCUCUGGCAAGUCCGGUGUCGUACGAAACUGAAGAAGAGUUGAUAGUCCGGCACUUCCCACCAAAGAAUACACACCAGAAAUUUCCUAUAUUUGCAAGACAGCGGCUAUUAGUAAGCACUGUUCCAACAUAUAAUAGCAGCCGCAUAAGAUUGAUACCACAGAUUAUCAGCAGAGAAGGGAAAAUCAAUUCUGGAAACACUCUGUCAUACCGUAGAAUCAACAUUAAUGGAUUUUAUGUCCAAUGCUAGUACGACCUCAAUUGAGGAUAAAACGAGAGAGACUCAUUCAAGAUGGUUCAGAUAAGUGAAGCACCAGUACAGGAAUGCUUUACACCAGCCCCAUUUAGUGGGAAAAAAUCACUAUCACCCAUAUCUGCAGCUGUGGUUGCCUAUUGAGAUGAAACACAAGUGAUUUCAUUGCAGUCCCAUCUAGCAGUCCCAUCUAGCAUAUAGCAGAAAUUAAAGAUAACGAUUGCAGUCAGAAAAACACAUAAGAGAAUUGUUGCUGUAACUCUCUUUACUUUAUUCAUCAGAACAUAAGCCUAUUAAAUACGCAGAACAUCCAAACCACUAAGCAAGAAAAUAGCUAUAGAACAACAACAACAAAGACCCACUAACACACCCCACUGACCAGAACAUGUGGAGAAACUAACUCCUAAAAACAAGCCACUUCCUAUUGAAUAGGACUCCACUAUUACAUUAUUGAAGACAUGUAAAAACUGAAAGUUCACUACUUCAACAAUUGAUGGUGUCACUUCAAGGAGUUCUCAAUGUCGAUCACAAAUCGAUACUUAACAUCUCUCUUGAUGAGCCUCUCUAGAGCUUCGUUGGCAUAAUCGAUCGGUAUCACUUCGAUAUUUGGGUAUAUCUUCUGCGCUGCACAUAGGUCUAUCAUUUCUUGGGUAUCCUUUGUUCCUCCCGUUAGGCUACCUGAAACAGUUCUCAUAUCUGCCAAAAGUUCACCGCGAGCAACUUAGUUCACCUAUCAGGUAUAAAAUUUCUUUUAGUAAUCAGAUUUAGAACAAAAACAUACUGUGGUUAAGGCUGGCUGGACUGAAUUUAACUUCGCUCGAGCCGACCAAUGCUAGAAUGCCACCCGUCUUCAAAACAGACAUGUAAGGAUCAAAUGGGUGAUUGCCGGAUGCCGUGUCAAUUAUAAAGUCCAGGGACUUAGCAAUGGCCUGCGUGCAUUGGAUUUAUCAGAUCACAACAGAAUUUGACCACCAUGGAUCUCAAUGUGGGAUAAUUCUAGUUUUUCCUUUUUUUACCUUCAUUUGCUCUACGUCAGAUGAGAUAACGAAAUGGUCAGCCCCAAGCAGGCUCAGUGCUUCCUCCUUUUUAGAAAUGCUUGUACUGAACACUGUGACUUUCAGGUCCAAAAGCCUUCCCAAACUUAACUGCCAUAUGACCGAGCCCGCCAAGUCCAAUUACACCUAGAGACUUACCAGGUUGGUUCAUCUUGUGACGUAUCAUUGGAGUGUACACCGUGAUUCCAGCACAGAGCAAUGGCGCUGCUAGAUCCAUCGGGUAGUUUUCUGGAAUCCUGAAGCAAUACCUGUCAAUGAAGCACCACCAUUAAGUUUCCAAAUAACACCAAGACAGGAAGUGAUUUCCCAAUAGAAUCAGCAUCCUGUCUUUUUUGUCUAAAAGGAAUCAAAUCACAGAGCCAGAAAUCCUAUCUUCCGCAUGCUAAGGAAUUUUACUUGCUUAGACCACAAUUCAGCAUCAUGUUGUUUCCGUGAUCCUUGUUCUGACCACAAAUUGCUCAAGACAAACAUUUCUUGCUGUAGCAACGAAAAUAAAGCAAUUGCAGCACACCGGAGGCCACACUCGAUUAAAAUUAAGAAAAGUCACUUGCUCUAAGAAAGGAAACUGGUGGCAUAUCACAUAUGCUUGAUUGAACACGUAAUUUCUGUAUUUCCUUCAAUCAAUUUCUCCAAGGGAGUCAAGAUUCCUGUGGCUCUAUCAGAUACAAGAAUUACUGAAAGCACAUACAUUUAGCUACCCAUUUGAUCUGAUACUUAUGAUCUAACUUUAACAAUCUAAGGACAGCUUAUUCCAUUCUUGACGAUGCUUACUGAAAAGAAAGAAUUUCUUUUCGCAUUUAAUAAAGCCAAUUCUCCAUUGAAUGGUUUCAAUGGUAAUUGGAUACAGAGGACUUAAAGACCCUCCAAAGCAGUUAUAGAAAGUAUCUUUAUCCCUUUCCACAUGAUGCAUUAUGCCACUUCUGGUCACAAUCAGAAUACGAAGAAAAUUAGCAGAGAAGAAGACAUGACAUGAAAUCUUUUUUUGGCCACCAUGAUUUGAAAUUCUUUCACAGUGCAAAAUGCUGCCUAAUAACAUUGUGUCAAUAAGCAAUUACCUUUCAUGGACGACAAUGUGACUAGAAUAUCCUCCCUUUGUCACUGUACCGUCCGUAUCGAUUCCGUCAAAAGUCAAAACCAUCUUUUCACAGUGGACUUCUAGCCCGUCAUUGCAAUACUCGCACUCUCUGCAUGAAUUGACAUAAGUUCCCACACCCACAUGAUCGCCAACUUUGAAGCGUUGGACACUGGAGCCAACCUGUUUCACAAUUCCAACUAUCUCGUGCCAAUCAAUCCAAAAAAUCAUUCGCAAAUUUUGUUCAGAGAAUUAUUAGGAUGGUGCUAAGAAAAAAGAUUAACAUUCGAAUCACGCUGCAUCCUACCCUGGCACCAGAGGAUACUUGGAGCGUCCCGACAUAUUCCUAGUCCAACCCACAUCUGCAUAGCACACUCCACAGUGCGUGAUCCUAAUCGAGACGUCAUCGCUUCCCACGGUCCUAAAGAGAGAAUUCCCAAACAGGUGAGCAUCUAAUCAAGCAACUAAUCAGACUCAGUUACCUUUUGUUCUCAUUUUCCAGAUCAAUAAACUAAGCGUGGCUUACAAUAAUCAUACAUUCAACCCAAAGCAAAAUUUAAGAAAAGAGAAAUGAAAAGGAACCAAAUCCAAGACUAUAGCAUUUGUCUGAAUAGUACAUACAACCUCAAAUGCUCACAAAGGCAGCACCUGAAUCCUAAUGUCUGCCAUGAAGUUCUAAGCAACUCAUUCUGGGACAUGACAUCUCAUGCGUACGAACAAUUCUCUACCCAGAAAUUAGUGCAUACACAACAAAAUUUAUAAAAGCAAAACGAAAUGGUUUGGUUAAUGUGGAAAUUUAAAUAUAUGACAAGCAUCAAAAACUGUUUUGCAUUACAGGUGAGAGGAUAAGACCUGAGAACACUGUAUUGAGAUUAUUCAGACAAAUACUUCAAUAGAAAUUGAAAGUAUAAGGAGCAGAUGAAUUAAAUAAAGAACAAUGGUAACAGUAAUACCUGCGGCUGAAUUUGUAGGGGGAGAGACGUCCAGAAGGAUCUCUGGCAGCCCAACCAAGACAAUCUUCCUUCGCACCCUCUGAACUCAUCGUUCCUCAACGACCUCAACUGAAAUCGACCCACAAAAAAAUUGCUGCGUUAAUCUCUCAAUAAGCUGAAUUAUGGAAGAAGAAGAAGAAUUAUUUUCGUGAAAGAGAAAUGAAGAAGAGAAUUUCAAACCGAAAAACAGAAGUUCAAAUGGUCAAAAGGCCAAAUGUCACGAAGACUUGGCAAUUCCGUUUCCGUGCAGACAGGAUUUUGCUGUCUGACUUUUGAGCAAAGAGCGAGAUUGAUUAGCAGAGAACGAGGUUGAGCGCUCAAAAACCGUCACCUCUUUAUAGAUGCCAUAGCGUCGCCUGUUCUUGAUUUUUUUUUUCGUUUUAUCUUGUGGAAAAGAAUUAGUGCCAAACGUAAGCCAUUACCUUUCCCAGUAACGUCUUCUGGAGUACGGUUCUUGGUAUUUGCGGAAAUGUGUGUUUGAUGUGUGUGUAAGUGUGUUUUGUGUGUGAACUAUCAAGAGAGCAAAAGAACUAAAAAACGAUGUGAGGAAGAAAUAGUUGGACAAAAUAAUAAUGAGAAUGUGUAAAAGACAAUAAGGCUGAGGCGGUGAAGGAGAGAAACUUGAAUGAAAGUCAACAAUAGUGGCUGAAGAUGAAACUAGUAUGUGGACAGAAAGAGUAUUUGGAGAAGAAAAUGAGUUGUCUUGUAGCUGUACUGCGGCAGUGAAAAAGUGAAAAAUGUCAUGUCGGUUGUAAUUGCCUAUAUAGGCUUAUCAUAUGCUGUGUGAGGUGAACCCUUCACCUUGUGUGGGGUGACCCCUCCACUGUGAGAGGUCUUAGACCUCCACCAUGACCAUAUGAAGAGUGACUAUCAACACCUCCAUUAAAUUAUUUUGUCUUCUUCAAUAAGUUCUUGACAGCUGGAGUUUGAUGAAGAAACUUUGAUUCAUGCUUCUAUUUCUCAUGCACGUAGACUUCUUUAGCCUGUUCUAGGAUUUCUUCUUCAACUUGGCUUUUUCUUACUUGCAUUCCCAUGUGAAUCUUUUAGGUUCAGCUAGCAACCAUCAUUCUCAACAAGUCUAAACAAUCUUCAACAUGGAUGCUGCUACCAACGUUUAUUAAUUUUUAGACAGUUUUAGAGAAAAUGAAUUAUAAUUUCCAACAUAUAGUAUUUUGGAGAAAAAAGUAUUUCAGCAUAACUGUGCAAGGAUUUGUAGAUCACUACAACAUCACCGGAGGCAAAUAAUUAUCCGUCAUUGACAUGAACGAUAUAGAAAAAAUUCUUUUAAUCAUUUACCUUAGUUUAGCAAGAUCUGCUUAAACGACAGCCUUGAGUAUCUUCAAUUCCUUUUCUCUUGCCUUCAAAAAGAUAUUGAAAUGCGACACGGAAUAUCAAGACAGAUUGUCAUUGACAAAGCCGUAAAAGCCUACUCGAUCUGGCAAAACUGGGGACUGUUCUUUCCAACGAUCUUGACCACCUCGGCAGCUGCUGUGCAAAUGGAUAGGAAUGCAUGCAGAGGGACAAGCUGAUUGUUACCUGCUUUUAGUCGUUCAUUUGAAACUGUAAGAUUCAUGUGCCAUAAGAUAGCUAGACAAGCGAGCAAAAAAUGAUGCGCCUUGCACCAAAGGUGGCAAGAGCAAUUAAAUUAAAUUCAAACCAAAAAAAGCUUGAUGCAUAAAAUGAAAAGUCAUCCUUUGAGCGAAUAAAUGACAAAGUAAGUGCAAUGAGAGUCACUAAUGUUCACGCUAGACUUAUGCCAUGACCAUUCCUUAGUCGAGAGAACGUAAGCAGCGACAUCUUCUAGAUAGUGGUUACUAGCAAUUUUAUUUUUUAUCCCCAGCCUAAUCAUAUUAUCCGAGUUAUAAGCUCAGAAAGAAGUCAAUGAGCAAUCUACCGCUAGGACCUAUGAAUGGUCAUACGAUAUUGGUUACACAUCUUGUUAGAAUAUAAUAUGCGGAAAUAAUAGGAUCUUGCAAUUUACGUCAACGCGCAAAAUUCCAGAUAAAUAAACGAGAAAUAAUAAGAAUCAUAAAUUUACGUGAUUCAGUCCGAGUAUCGAUAUUUACAUUCACAGGGAGAGCCAGCAACAAAUAGUCCAUUAUAAUAGGAAAAUCAGAAUUUACAAUCGCACACACGCUCGAUUACUUCCCACACCAAGAUUUAAGCUCAUACUCAAAGAGUUUAUAAAUAAAUAAUUCACUUGGAAAUUAUCUCGCGUUCAAGCUUUAAACUACAAAACAUUCUACGUACGCCAAAAACAAGAACUCCGGCAUUUGUCUUUUGGUUCGCGUACAUACAGAUUCGUGUUCUUCUUUGCUUGAUCGUUCGUGUGGCGCUGUUCUAGACGCUCCUUUUGUGUGGCUCUUUCUUCUUCGUAGGGCUUCAGCGACUCUUUCUAAAAGAAAAAAAAAAAAAACGUGUUCUAAUUUAUAUGUGAGCCUAGAGUCUAACAACUUUGACUUUGAGCCCCACCACGUGCUUCUUUGUUCAAUGGGAAGUGGGACGCGGUGAAGAGACCCUACCUUUUUCUUCCUCUUUCCUUUAUUUUAUAUAUAUUGUGUGCCCAAAGUUAAGACUUUGACUUUGGGCCCCACGUAGAGAGCCUUGUUCGGCUCCCGUAGAUAGAUAAAGAAGAAUCUUUGCUCCUUUUUUGUUAUUCUAUUUUAUUUUCUCUUUUAUAAACUUUCAUGGAGUCCGACGAAGCUUUUUUUUGUUGAUCGAAAAUAUCCAAGACCCAAAAAGAAUUUCGAAUUUCUUUUCUUGUGCAUAAUCUUGAAUAUUAUAUUCAUCAGAAAAUAUCUUCACGAUCAAAUAAUAAAAAAUUUAUCCAAGCAAAUUGCGUUUUGCAAAUAUUUAAAAUUGAGACAUAAUUUAACACAUCUGAUAUGAUGUACUACCCAAUUACUGUCCUCUGACAAUUUAUAUUUGAUUAAUUUAUUUCAAGAAUAUUCAUUUGUUAAACUUGUUGGCUUACAAAUCACUGUCACUAUCACGUGAUAUAUCCUAUAUUGAGAAUACUUGGGAGCAUCUAUGCUUGUUUUAUGUAUGUUAUGCUUGUGAUGCAUCUUGUUUUGAGUGGACUGUAGAACUAUUUAAGUUCAUGCCAAUUUGACUAAUUUUUUAUCUGGAUAAGUGCAUUGGAAUAUUUAAAAACUUAUCAUAAAAAUACAAUUAAGCCAUGAAACUUUGAAAUCAAGUUCUAGAACUUGUCACGUUGGUCUAAUCUAAAUCCUUCCAUUGCAUUUUUGAAAAUUUCAGUACUUAACUACAAUUUUCUAACAAGUUUUAGUAUUUCCAAUAUACAUAUUUGUCUUUCAACCUCACUAAUGUUUUUAAGCAAUAAUGAGCUUGACAUAUCUCUGAUUUCGGAAUUUCAAUGGCUAUAGGAGACAAAAGGACGUCCUCUAAUGAAUCAACAAUCUUAUGCCAUGACAAAGCUGGAAGAGAGAUGAGUGUCUUCCAUAGUUAUAAAAAAUGUUCAUGCGAUAAUCUGUAGGAAUUCGUCUUCCUGACGUGCAUGAAUAUUUCCGGCCAUGAAACAUUUCACAGUGAAGACAUUCUGUCACUUAAACUGGCAAAAGGAUAUUGAGCUUGUUCUUUUGGCGAGGGUAUUGCUAUUAAAUAUGCCAAUUAAUUCCACGACUAUUAGCAUUUGUUUAAAUAGAGCAUACAACCUAAAAUGCUCACAAUGGCAGCUGGUACUGGAUCCUCAUGUCUGCCCAUGAAAUUCUGAGUGCCUCAGACAUGGCAUAUCAUGCACACAAACAAUUCUCAACCCAGAAAUUAGUGCGUACACAACAAAAGUUAAAAAAAGAAAAAAAGAAAUGGUUUGGUUAAUGUGGAAAUUUAACAUAAUGACAAGCAUAAAAAAACUGUUCAGCAGUACAGUAGAGAGGUCAAGACCUGAGAACACUGUAUUGAGACUUAUUCAGAUGAACACUUCAGAUAGUCACUAAAAAGCUAAGGAGCAAAUUGAAUAGAGAAGGGAAAAGUGCCAAAAAAGUCCUAAAACUUUUGUCAUUGUGCCGAUUUAGUCCUAAACAUUUUUAAGUUGUGCAAAUUCAGUCCUUUCCGGCCAAUUUUGCCCGGAUUUUGCUGACUGGACGCCAGUCAGCUGACGUGGACAAUUUUUAAUAAUAUUUUAAUAUUUUAAUAUUUUAUUUUUUAUUUUUUUAUUUUUUUUAUUCUGCUCUUCUUCCUCCAGCCGGUCGCCGGACCUCGGCGACCAGCCACCUCGCCAGUGGCCGCGGGGGCGGCCUCGCGUGGGGCGGCGAGGCUCACCCUCGCCGGAUCUGGCAAGGGUCGAGCCUCGCCCAUGGCCGGCGAGGCCGCCCUCGAGGCCUGGGCUGCGAGGCUCGCCCUCGUCGGAUCUGGCGAGGGCGAGCCCCGCUAGCUUGCCGGAUCUGGAUUUGGCGAGUGAGGGGGUUUGAGCAGGGGGAGAGAGUCAGAGGGGGUAAACCGCUGGCCACCCACCUGAGCCGCGGCCGUCGGCCUACGGCCGCGCCUGGUUUCAAGCACCGAAGCUUCGGUAGGCCUCGGUCCUUUUUUGUGCCUUGCGUUGGUCGGACUAGGCCAGAGCUCGCGGUCUUCAAGGAUUCGGUUCGAGAUCUGAGGGCGUUUGAUCUGGGCGGGACUUGAGAGAGAGAGAGUCCUCUCCCGGCCAAGCCGAGGAAACCCUGGCCACGUGAGACCACCGCCACAAUGCUGCCGCCCAAUGCCGUCCACCGCUGCUCGCCGACCCGCCGCCAUAUCCAGCGAGGGCGAGCCUCGCCCGCCCCGCGCGAGGCCACCCCCACGGCCACUAGCGAGGUGGCUGGCGAGGUCGAGGUCGACCUCACCGGCCGUCACCUCUGGCCGGUCGCCGAGGUCCGACGACCGGCUGGAGGAAGAAAACCAGAAUAAAAAAAUAAAAAAAUAAAAUAAAAAAUUCAAAAAUAUUAAAAUAUUAUUAAAAGUUGUCCACAUCAGCCGGCCGGCGUCUAGUCAGCAAAAUCCGGCCAAAUUGGCCGGAAAUGACUGAAUUGGCACAACUUAAAAAGGUUUAGGACUAAAUUGGCACCAAAAAAAGGUUUAGGACUAAAUCGGCACAAUGACAAAAGGUUUAAGACUUUUUUGGCACUUUUCCCAAAUAAAGAACAAUGGUGAUGAUAAUACCUGCGGUUGAAUUUGUAGGGGGAGAGAAGUCCUAGAAACCGUCAUAAAUGCCAUAGCGAUGGAUGUUCAUGAUUAAUCUUUGAGCUUACUAUUGUGGAAAAGUAUUAGUGAUUCGCCAAAUGUAACCCAUGACCCUUCCUUAACCCAAGAACGCAUGCAGUGACAUCUUCUAGAGAGCGGCUCCUGGAAUUUUUUCCAUCCAUCCUCCCACUACCUAAUUGCAUUAUCAACCUAUUGACACAUAAACGAUGUCAAUAGGCAAUGUGCCGUUGCACCACAAGACCCACAAAUGGUCAUCUAUGUCGGUUACACCACCAAUAAUUUGUACCUGACCCUUCAUGGUCCUAUUAUUUGAUUAAUCUGUUUAAAGAACAUUCAUUUUCUUCAAACAUGCUUUCUCACGUGCCACUGUAAUAUGAUGUUUGUUGCGACCUACCUUCGGAGGGAAGGAAUAGGUUUAGGGGUAUUGGCUAAAGGACGGGCCUAAAGCCUAUAAUUAGACGCGAGCUCUCCUAAACCUAUAUCCCGCAUGACGUUAGGAUAUUCUUAAGAAAUUUUGCUCGCCACUAACCUAUUGGGGUCGGCUAGAAACCAAGUGAGGCAUGGGAGCGUGCCUCACUUUCUACGCAACCAGAGAAUCUGGGUUCGAGGACUUAAUUACACUAAUUAACUAAUUAGUACCCUUUCGAUACCUAAUCUUGUUCAUUUUAACAAAAUGAUUUUUGGCAGGCAGUUUGAAUUGAUUUUAUACUUAUCCACUGACAUAUGAUCAUGCAGAUGCGCAAUCAUUUAAAAUAAUAAUCAUAACUACCAAGAUCCUAAUUAUAGUAAAAUUAACUCAUGCAACUAAACAAUCGCAGACACAGUCGAAUAUGUAAGUUAAACAUGCAAUAUAAUCAAAAUACGAACAAAUAAAUACCGAAUUACACAAAGAAGGGCAAUACACAACAAUUCCUAAUCAAACCCUAUAUUUUUGGAUUUACGAAUUUUUUUAUAUAUAUAUUUUUUAAAUUUAAUAAUUUUGUUUUUUUAAAUAAAUUAAAUUUUCUUUUUAAAGAAAGAUUUUUUUUUAUGUUUUCUGGAUUUUUUAAUUUUCGGAAAUUUUUUGAUUUUUGAUUUUUUUUUUUGAAUUUUUAUAUUUUUAAUAUUUAAUAUUAUUAUAAUCAGGAAAACGGGUCCGACUGGGUAGAUCCGAUGCGGCCAUUGACCCGACCCAAAACCAGAUUCGACUCUAUCGGAUUGAAAGAGAAAAUAAGAUUUUUAAUUAAUUUUUUUAGUUUUUAAACACUUUUUCUGUUUUUUCCUUCUCCUCCUUUUUUGGCCUCCUCCAUGUCUUGUCUUUUCCCUGCAGUCUUCUCAUCCUCGCCGCCUUCACCGAAGAUCCGCCCCCCACAUCUUUUCCACAUUUCUAUUCUUUUUUUUCUUUUUUUUCUUUUCACCACCCUUUUAUUUCUUUUAUUUCUUGUUUUUCUUCUAAGCUUUUCUUUUAAGUUGUCUUCUCUGCAUGCUUUCUUCUCCGCUCGAAGCUUCCAUUAAACACCCGAAACCCCCUCUGCCAUUUCAUACUUUUCUUUUAUUAUUUAUUAUUUUGCCUUUUUAUAUUUCUUUUUCUUUAUUUUUCAUUUUUUUUCUCUCUUUUUGUCCUUUUCCCUAUUUCGGCUAUUCUACUGCAUCUUCUCCUUCCGAAAGCUAACGCCAAUUCUGCAACUUCCUCGCCGAAGCUCCUUCCCACCGAAUCUCAUCCGCACACUAACGACACGGCCCUGAACAAUCGGUGACCCUUCCAUCGCCCGUCCACCGGUAGUCGCUACCCCACGGAAAGAUGAACAGGCGCAAAAGAACAACAAGAAGACAAGGAAUGGAACACGGGUCCCUAAGAUAUUAAGGAACUACGUCAACAUCAAGAAAUGUUCAGAUUCAGCCAUAACAACAACAAAACCUAAACGAAAUCAUGCUCAAUGAUCCAUAAAGGAUUCCUUUUACGCAAGACCGGAGCAUACUCAUUCCAAAUGAUCCGAAAUUCACGACCUAAUCCGCGUUAACUUAGUUCAAGCGUUUUAUCAAACACGUGGUAAGCACUGACUCGGGAUGAGGUUAUUAACUCCUCUUUGGACCCGCUCGAGUCUAGACCCAGAGAAAUCAUCAAGAAACAUGCAAAAUCGACCACAUCAACUUACUCAAACUCAGCGUGCAUAUGGGCUGACAAAAGGAACAAGACAUGGCUUCCGGUUAGACCAAAACAAGGUGGAGCAGCAAGGGUUCAUGCGAACAAGCAUCUCAUCACGGAGUUCCCUACCCAACUCGAAGACGGCAGGAAGCGGGCCAACUCGCGACAAAUCGAGCUAUAGCUCGCCGCUUUGGUAUCUUCGAGCUGGGACCCUAAUCGAAAUGCAUCCAUUUGUCUCAUGCACUAUGGGGAUCCUCGGGCAAGAGAGGUUUGAACCGAGUAAAGAAACUCACCAGCGACGCCGAGAUUCGGGGGCGAAAGAUCGUAUGCUAGAGGAUAUUGGCCAGAGGUCGUCGAAGACGGUUCGAGCGUGGCCGACCUGCUACAAAACUUCUCCCUCGCUUUUGUGCUGGUGUUUUCUCCGUUGCUCCUUCUGCCAAGCCCCCCGCUCCCUCUGUUCUUCUCCUGUUUUCUUUUAAAACUGCCGUUGGUUCAUUUCCCUUUGCCUCCGUCCAAAAUGCCUUUUGCUAGUCCACGAAGCCAGCUCUCUUUCUUUUCCAUCUUCAGCUCUAAUUUUCCUCGGUCAGUCCAGCCUCCUUGCCUCUAUGUAUGCCUGCAGCCGGUCUUCUCCUUGGGACCGAGUUCGGUCUAUUUUCAGCUACAACGGCUGCUGGUUUUCUUGGGCUUCGUCAACUGCAGGCGCUGCCACGCUGCAGCCAAGCUUUCAUUGCUUCCAUUUUUCUGAAAUCGCACUUGCCGAUCCUCUGCAGAUCCUUCUUCGGCUUCCUCCUGUUCUGUCUUCUACAGGUCCUGCGCGAAGAUUGGAGGAGGGAGAAGGAUGGGGCGCGGGCUGGGCCGACGGGGGGAAAGGAGGCUGGGCCGCGGGGGGAAAAGAAAUAUAAAAAAAAAAAAAAAUUCUUGAUUUUUUUAUUGACUUUUCGAUUGAUUUUUUUUUUUUUUGUAAAAAUAGGUAUCAACAAUGUUUUUGAUACACAAAAUACUAUCUCUUCAAGAGCUUUGACUCCUAUAUACUUGGGGCAUUAAAUUUUUUUAGCAACAAUGAGCUUGGCAUAUCUCUGUUUUCGGGAUUUCAGUUGCUAAGGGAAACAAAAAGGACGACCUCUAAUGAAUCGACAGUAUUUUGCUAUAACAAACUUGGAAGAGAGAUGAGUGUCUUACGUAGUUACAAAAAAAUGAUCAUGCAAUAGUUGGUAGAAAUUUACUCUGCUGACAUGCAUGAACAUUCUGAAAAAAAAACGGAAAACGUGCAUGAAUAUUUCCGGCCAGAAAGCAUUCACGAGGAGCUGAGAGACACUAUUUCUUAAAGCAGCAAAAUGAUUACAAGUUUGUUCUUUUAGGGAGUGGAAUGAAUAAAUUGUACAAAAAAUCCUAAACUUAUUGUCCGAUCACUAAUUUAAUUCUGAACUUUUUAAUUUGAUCAAUGUUGUCUAAAACUUUUGACAAUUUUUUGUAGUCCACCUAGUUAAAUUUAGGUCAAAAAUCAGUGACAGAGCAAUUUAGUAAACACUAACCGUUUUAAGUGAUACAACUGAUAGCUUAUAUAGAUGACUUAAAUGAGGUAGCGUCAUUUCACAAUUUUUUUUUUAAUAUUCUUUCUUUUCUUCUCUUUUAGUAAUUUUUUUCCUAUUCUUUCGUUCUCUAGUGUUCUUUUUCUUCCCUCUACUGGUGGCCGAUGCCUCAGCAAUGACCAGGGACCAUCAUAGGCUACAAGUGAGGGCAUUGAGCAAGACUUACAAGCCUUCUCCUAGAUUUGUGCAAGGGCCCUAUAGGCCCUCACUGGCCAUAGGCAAUUGGGGACUUGCAAGCCCUUGCCUAGAUCUACCCUCGCAUGGGGUCAAUGUUUACCAUCACCAAGGCCUCAAUGUCUUGCUCAAGAAAGAAAAUGAACAGCAGAGAAGGAGAUGAUAGGAAAAGAAAGAAAAAAGAAAAAAAGAGGAAAGGAAAAAAGGGAAAAAAUCUGAAAUAAUAACAAAAAAUUGCAAAAUGACGUUUCAUUUAAGAUCAUCCAUGUCAAUUGCGAAUCAUGCAACGUGGCCUACCUUGUUGGAUGCAGUAGAUUUAGGAUAUUUUGAAUAUUUUUCUCUUGUUAAAUAUGCCUGAUUUAUUUGAUAUCCUAAAAUUUGUCAACUUUGUGAAAUCAAGUUCUAAAAUUUGUUGGCAUUUUUUUCAUAUUGGAUGAAGUUAAUGAAAUGACUUGAUUACAACUACUUGAUAAGUUUUAUAACUUGAUUGUAAUUUUUGAAAAUUGUAGGACUCAGUUGCAUCUCUGUAAUAAGUUUUAAAACUUGAUUACACUAUAUGUAAUAAAUUUUAAGAUUUUCAGUAUAUUUAUCUCUAAAAUAAAUAAAUAAAUAGGGCCUACCCCCUUUACAUGAACUCUUUAAUUUAAACGCACCAUGGAAUUUCCUGUCCUUUUACACUGUUUCAUUAACUAAGAAAUUUUUUUUUUUUUGGGGUUAAAACCAAGAUUUAAUUCUUUCUUUUUUUUUUCUUUUGGACGAGCCAAGAUUUAGUUCAAAGAUAGAUAUUUCCAGGAGAAAAAAUUUCAGCAAACUAUGCAAGGAUUUGCAAAAGAUCGCAACAAUAUUACCGGAAGCAUAUAAUUAUUUAUCACUGACAAAUGAUAUAGUAAAAAUUCUUUUAGUAGUUUACCUUAAGUUUAGCAAGAUCUGCUUAUUCGGCAGCCUUGAGUUUCUUCGAUUCCUUCUCUCUUGCCUUCAAACAGAUAUAGAAAUGCAAUGCAGAAUAUCAAGACAAAUUGCCAUUGACAAAGCUGUAAAAGCCUACUCAAUCGAGCAAAACUGGGACAGUUUUUCCAGUGAUCUUGACCACCUCCGCAGCAUGCCGUGGAAAUAGAUAGGAACACAUGCAGAGGGACAAGCUGAUUAUUACUUGCUUUUAGUCAAGCAUUCGAAACUGUAAGAUUCAUGCACUAUAAGAUAGCCAGACAAGCGAAAAAAUGAUGGGCAUUUCAGUUGAGGUGUCAAGAGCAAUUAGAUUGAAUUCAAACCAAAUAAAGCUUGACGCAGAAAAGAGAAAUGUUGUGCAUUGAGCGAAUAUAUGACAAAAUAAGUGCAAAGAGAGUCAUGGAUGUUCUAGCGCUUUGGCCAAUUGAGUUCUUAAAAUUUUACUUUGCUUAAUUGAAUCCUCAGCAUUUUCAAUUUCAGUCAAUUGAGUCCCUCAACCUUGAUCCUCGGAAAUAGUCACAUGGCUAUGAUUUUCCAAGUUGAUAAGAAGAUGCUCGAGAAGACAAGCGGGUAGGAGGUGAAAUGGGACCUAAGUGUAAGUUUUACUAUUUCAAUAACUACAACUGAUCUGACAGAAGAUUGAACUUUCAUGGAUCUGGCACUUCGUUUGAAGCUAUACAAACAGAAAUCAGCGGGCUCAAGAACCCAAUCUUUUAGAUAGUUUCUGAAUUAUCACACAGAAAAGCACUAGGAUAUCUUUACGCAUUCACUUAUUUCCUCUGUAAACUCACAGUUAUUAAAGUAUAUUAGGCAUCAUUUAUUUGUAGUACAUUAGGUACAGAUGUCCUCUCUUUGAGAUUCCCUCUUUUCCUCUUCUUACGAUCAGCUUUGCCAGAAGAUGUUUCCAACUUCCGACAUUGAUGAUGUCAUUUCAAGGAAUUCUCAAUGUUGAUCACAAAUCAGUACUUAACAUCUCUCUUGAUGAGCCCCUCAAGGGCUUCAUAGGCAUAAUCGAUUGGUAUCACUUCGAUUUCUUGGUAUAUGUGCUGUGCCGCACAGAGGUCUACCAUUUCUUGGAUAUACUUCAUUCCUCCAAUAGCGCUACCCAAAACUGUUUUCAAAACUGCAAAAAGUUCACUGUGAGCAACUUAGUUGGUUCGCCUAUCAUGUAUCAAUAUUUCAUUCAGUAAUGAGCUUUGAGAACAAAAACAUACCAAGGUUAAGGCUUGCCGCACUGAAUGUAAUUUCGCUUUGGGACGCAACCAAUGCUAGAACCCAUCUUCAAAAGAGACAUGUAAGGAUCAAAUAGGUGAUUAGCAGAUGCCGUGUCAAUUAUAAAGUCCAUGGACUUAGCCAUGGCCUGCAUGUAUUGGAAUCAUCAGAUCACGGCAGCACUUGACCUCCAUGGAUCCAAAGUAUUGAUAAUUCCAAAUCUUCCCAUUUGCCUUCAUCUGAAAUGGUCAGCACCAAGCAAGCUCAGUGCUUCCUCCUUUUUAGAAAUGCUUGUACUAAACACAGCGACUUUCAGUCUAAAAGCCUUCCCAAGUUUAAUUGCCACGUGACCGAGCCCACCGAGUCCAAUUACGCCGAGAGACUUACCCGGUUGGUUCAUCUUGUGACGCACCAUUUGAGUGUAUACUGUGAUUCCAGCACAGGGCAAUGGUGCUGCUAAAGCCAAUGGGUAGUUUUCUGGAAUCCUGAAGCAGUACCUGUCAAUGAAGCACCACAAUUAAGUUUCCAAAUCACACCAAAGGAGUAAGGGAUUUCCCAAUAGAAUCAGCAUCCCAUCUUUUUUGUAUAACAGGAUUCAAAUCACAUUUUACUUGCUUAGAGCACAAUUCAGCAUCAUGUGGUUUCUGUGAUUCUUUUUCUGACCACAAAUUGCUUAAGACGAAAACUUCUUGUUGUAGCGACGAAAGUAAAGCCACUGCAACAUAUAGGAGGCCAUACUCGAUCAAAAUUGAGAAAAGAGGCUUGCUCUUAACAGAGGACACUGGAAGCAUAUUGCAUGUGCAUGACAGAUCAUGUAAUUUCUCUAUUCCCCUCAAUCAUGUCUCUAAGGGACACGAUAUUCCCGCGACUGUUGGAUACAAGAAUUCGUGAAAGCACGUAAAUUUUAUUACCCAUUUGAUCUAACACUUACUAUCUAACUCUUGGAAACAAUCUACAAAAAAGGGAGGAAGAGGAGACAGAAGGCGAGAAUUGAGCAAUUUCCAUCUCUCUCUCUUUUAAUUAAGGGUUAAUAUCCUAAAAAAUCCCAAACCGGUACACGUGACAAAUUUACCCCGAUGGACUAUAAAAAAAACCCUAAACUUAUAUAUUUAUGACAAAUUUACCCCAAACUAAUUUAUUCGACGGCAAAAAACCCGAAAAUGGUAAAUUUGUGACAAAUAUACCAUCUGCUAAACUGAAUUAAUAUCACAAAAAAAUCACAAAAAUUGUAAACUGUGACAAACGGGGCGUAAAAUUUCAAAUUGGUAUACUAGUCAACUGUCACGUGUCAUUUAACUUAAUAAUUUGACAGUAAAAUUUAACGAAAACUAACAGAGGGUAAAUUUGUCACAAGUAUAACAGUUUAGGGUAAAUUUGUCAAAUGUAUACCAGUUAGGAGUUUUUGGUGGUUAAAAAAAUAGUUUGGAGUAAAUUUGUCACAUGUGUAUCAAUUUUGGGUUUUUUAGGAUAUUAACCAUUUAAUUAAUUUAGUUUUCAAUUUUAUUUUAUUAAUUUUUCAUGAAAAAAUCAUAUAUUAGAUUUAUUGGCUCACAUGUCAUUGUCACUUGAUGUGUAUGAUAUAUAGAAUAGUCCAAGAAAUUUGACUUUAGAUACUUGGGAACCCGUGAAUGGUCAUACAUUGUCGGUUACACAUUCAACAUGAUGUAUUAGCUAAUCAUAGUCCUCUAACGGUUUAUAUUUGCUUAAUAUAUUUCAAGAAUAUUCAUUUGUUAGACUUGUCUGCUCACACGCCACUGUCACUUGAUGUAUAUGAUAUGCAGAAUAGUCUAAGAGCUUUGACUUUAGAUACUUGGGAGUGUCUAUGCUUGUUUUAUGUCUGUUAUGCUUGCAAUGCUUCUUGUUUUGAGUGGACAGUACAAAUAUUUAAGUCCGUGUCAAUUUGAACAAUUUUCUUUAUUAUAGAGCAACAAUCUUUAAUCUAUUGUGUUCUUGACCACAAAAAACCAAAUAACAAAUAAGUAUAAACUAUUGUAGGGUCCAACGACAAUCUUUAAUCUAUUGUGUUCUUGACCACAAAAAAUCAAAUAAUAAAUAAGUAUACACUAUUAUAAGGCCCACUCCUUUAAAAAUUUGUUGCUCACAACAACUUAUUUAUUCUCAUAAUAACCCAAAGUUAUGCUAGCAAAGCUCUUUUUAGUAAGUGUAUUGAAAGUUUUAAAAACUUGUCACUAAAGUGCAUUGAGUCCUAAAAUUUUCAAAAAAAUGCAAUUUAAUCUUAAAAUUUGUCAUGAAAUGCAACUGAGUCUUAAAAUUUUCAAAAAGUACAAUCAAUUAUAAAGAUUUAUCAAAAUUGGUCCAAUUUAAGUCAUUCCAUUGAUUGUAAUUUUUGAAAGUUUUAGAGCUCAACUAUGCUUUCCUAACAAAUUUUAGGACUUAAUUAUACUUUUUGAAAAUUUUAGAACUUAACUGUAAUUUAUGAUAAGUUUUAGGAUUUUUAGUAUACUUAUCUUUUUUUUUUUUUUCACCUCAUUAAUCUUUUUAGCAACAAUGAGCUUGACAUGUCUCUGUUUUCAAGAUUUCAGUGGCUAGGGAAAACAAAAGGGAUGUCCUCUAAUGAAUCAACAAUCUUCCUGCCAUGACAAUGCCGGAAGAGAGAUGAGUGUCCUACAUAUUUAUCAAAAAUGUUCAUGUUAUAAUUGGUAGGCAUUCACUCUGCCAACGUGCAUGAACAUUUCCGGAGAUGAAACAUUCGUGAGGAGCCAGUAAAGACAUCCUGCUAUUUAAACCGGCAAAGGGAUAUCAAGCUUGCUCUAUUGGCAAGUAUAUUGUCGUCAGAUCAGCCUAAUUAAUCCGAUAUUUUUUCAUACAAAAAAUCGUCAUCGAGGCCAACUUAAUCCAAAAUGCCAAUGGACAGGCUUUGGUAAGCUAGUGGAUAGGUAUGCCGCUUUAUCUUAUGUCGUGCUAUCUCACGAGAGAUGGUGCUGCGUUCUCUUUAGAAUGCACAUGACUUGGGAUAGGAAAACCUUAGGAUCCGACUAGGAGGAAGGAAAAAAGCAAUCUAUUGUCGGGCCAAUACAAGAUCAUUUCAUGUCAAACUCCGCAGUCUUGAGGCCAUGGAAUCUACGACAAACUUGCUCAUUCACAAGGACUGAGCAAAUAAAUGAUAAAAUAAGAGCAAUAGUCGUCAUUGAUCGUCUACCCUUUGAUUGAUUGGAUUCUAAAUAUUUUAUUUUCAAUUGGGGUCUAAAUAUUUUAUUUGAUUCAAUUGACUUCUAAACAUUUCCAAUUUUAGUCAAUCAAGUCCCUCGAAUAUUAACCGCGGAAAGAGGCACAUGGCUGUGAUUUUACAAGUGGCUAAGGAGAUGCUUGAGGAGAAAACCUGUUAGGAGAGGCGAAACCAUUCCAGCAGAACUCUCAAGAAGCCAAUUUUUCAGACAGUUUCUCAAUCAUCACAUAGAAAAGUACCAGGAUUUCAUUACCCAUUUCACUUAUUUCUGCUAUAAAACUCACGAGUAUCGAAGUAUAUCAGGCAUAGUUUAUUUGUACUCCAGCAGAACAACUAAAAAGGCACAGAUAAUGCUCUCCUCUAGCUGAAACUCCCACUUUUCCUCUCUGUGUGAUCAGCUUUGCCAGCAACAAUUUCCAACUACCCAAAUUGAUGUUGAAAUUUAAUCAAAUAGACUCAGAGAAGAAAACCCGCAAGAGAAUUGUUGCUGUAACUUUCGUUAAGAAAACCCACACGAGAAUUGUUGCUGUAACUUUCGUUAUUUUAUUCAUCAGAACAUAAGCCUAUUAAAUAGGCAGAACAUCCAAACCACUUAGCAAGAAAAUAGCUAUAGAACAACAACAACAAAGACCCACUAACAUACCCCACUAACCAGAACAUAUGCAGAAACUAACUCCUAAAAACAAGCCACUUCCUAUUGACUAGGACUCCACUAUUACAUUAUUGAAGACACAUAAAAACAAAGUUAACUACUUCAACAAUUGAUGGUGUCACUUCAAGGAGUUCUCAAUGUCGAUCACGAAUCGAUACUUAACAUCUCUCUUGAUGAGCCUCUCCAGAGCUUCGUUGGCAUAAUCGAUCGGUAUCACUUCGAUGUUUGGGUAUAUCUUCUGUGCUGCACACAGGUCUAUCAUUUCUUGGGUAUCCUUUGUUCCUCCCGUUACGCUACCUGAAACAGUUCUCAUAUCUGCCAAAAGUUCACCGCAAGCAACUUAGUUCACCUAUCAGGUAUAAAAUUUCAUUUAGUAAUCAGAUUUGAGAACAAAAACAUACUGAGGUUAAGGCUGGCUGGACUGAAUUUAACUUCGCUCAGGAAGCCGACCAAUGCUAGAAUGCCACCCGUCUUCAAAAGAGACAUGUAAGGAUCAAAUGGGUGAUCACCGGCUGCCGUGUCGAUUAUAAAGUCCAGGGACUUAGCAAUGGCCUGCAUGCAUUGGAUUUAUCAGAUCACAACAGAAUUUGACCACCAUGGAUCUCAAUGUGGAUAAUUCUAGUUUUUCCUCUUUUUACCUUCAUCUGCUCUAGGUCAGAUGAGAUAACGAAAUGGUCAGCCCCAAGCAGGCUCAGUGCUUCCUCCUUUUUAGAAAUGCUUGUACUGAACACUGUGACUUUCAGUCCAAAAGCCUUCCCAAACUUAACUGCCAUAUGACCGAGCCCGCCAAGUCCAAUUACACCUAGAGACUUACCAGGUUGGUUCAUCUUGUGACGUAUCAUUGGAGUGUACACCGUGAUUCCAGCACAGAGCAAUGGCGCUGCUAGAUCCAUCGGGUAGUUUUCUGGAAUCCUGAAGCAAUACCUGUCAAUGAAGCACCACAAUUAAGUUUCCAAAUAACACCAAGAGAGGAAGUGAUUUCCCAAUAGAAUCAGCAUCUUGUCUUUGUUGUCUAAAAGGAAUCAAAUCACAGAGCCAGAAAUCCUAUCUUCUGCAUGCUUGGGAAUUUUACUUGCUUAGACCACAAUUCAGCAUCAUGUUGUUUCUGUGAUCCUUGUUCUGACCACAAAUUGCUCUAGACAAACAUUUCUUGCUGUAGCAAUGUAAAUAAAGCAAUUGCAGAAUACAGGAGGCCACACUCGAUUAAAAUUAAGAAAAGACACUUGCUCUAAGAAAGGAAACUGGUGGCAUAUCACAUAUGCUUGACUGAACACGUAAUUUCUCUAUUUCCUUCAAUCAAUUUCUCCAAGGGACACAAGAUUCCUGUGGCUCUAUCAGAUACAAGAAUUAGUGAAAGCACAUACAUUUAGCUACCCAUUUGAUCUGAUACUUAUGAUCUAACUCUAACAAUCUAAGGACAGCUUAUUCCAUUCCUGACAAUGGUUAUUGAAAAGAAAGAAUUUCUUUUUGCAUUUAAUAAAGCCAAUUCUCCAUUGAAUGGUUUGAAUGGUAAUUAGAUACAAAGGACUUAAAGACUCUCCAGAGCCGUUAUAGAAAGUAUCUUUAUCCCUUUCCACAAGAUGCAAUUAAUACCUAAAAGCCAUUCCUCACAGUCCUAUGCAUUAUGCCACUUCUGGUCACAAUCAGAAAUUCAGAAUACAAAGAAAAUUAGCAGAGAAGAAGACAUGACAUGAAAUCUUUUUUUGGCCACCAUGAUUUGGAAUUCUGUCACAGUGCAAAAUGCUGCCUAAUAACGCUGUGUCAAUAAGCAAUUACCUUUCAUGGAUGACAAUGUGACUAGAAUAUCCUCCCUUUGUGACUGUACCGUCCGCAUCGAUUCCAUCAAAAGUCAAAACCGCCUUUUCACAUUGGGUUUCUAGCCUGUCAUUGCAAUACUCACACUCUCUGCAUGAAUUGACAUAAGUUCCCACCCCCACAUGAUCGCCAACUUUGAAGCGUUGGACACUGGAGCCAACCUGUUUCACAAUUCCAACUAUCUCGUGCCUGAAUCAAUCAAAAAAAUCAUUUGCAAAUUUUGUUCAGAGAAUUAUGAGGAUGGUGCUAAGAAAAAAAGAUUAACAUUUGAAUCACGCUGCAUCCUACCCUGGCACCAGAGGAUACUUGGAGUGUCCUUGCACAUUCCUAGUCCAAGCCACAUCUGCAUAGCACACUCCACAGUGCGUGAUCUUAAUCGAGACGUCUUCGCUUCCCACGGCCCUAAAGAGAUGAUUCCCAAACAGGUGAGCAUAUAAUCCAGUGACUAAUCAGACUAGGGUACCUUUUUUUUUCCAUUUUCAAGAUCAACAAACUAAGCUUGACCUACGAUUAUCGAGAAAACAAGAAACCAGAAAUGAGAAAAGGAAAAAUUCCAUGACUGCAAGCAUAUUUGUCCAUACGCUAGAUACAACCUCAAAUGCUCAGAAAGGCAGCCAGUACAGGAUCCUCAUGUCUGCCAUGAAAUUCUGAGUAACCCAUUACCAACAAUUCUCGACCCAGAAUUCAGCGCAUACACAACAAAAGAAAGAACGAAAAAAUGAAAUGGUCUGGACCGAAAACUGUCUCGCGUGAACACUGUACUGAGACUCUCGCAUGAACACUUUCGGUAGAAAUCGAAAAAGAAAAAAAAAUGGCAAUACCUGCGGGUGAAUUUGUAGGGGGAGAGGAACCCAGAAGGGUCCCGGGCAGCCCAACCGAGGCAAUCCUCCUUCCCACCCUCCGAGCUCAUCUUCUGUACCUACACACCCAGCGAAGCAAUCACACAAAUGGGUACGGUUAGAUUCAUCCAAAGGAGAAGAAGAAAGGGUGAGAACUCGAACGAGAAAGUGCCCAAGAUCAGAGACUCAACGGGUCAUCACUCGGCGAGGACUCGAGUCACAACGAGCUCGCCAUCACUCACCAACUCACUCACUCACCCACACCCACCUACCCAAACACAACCCCACGGGCCACAGCAACUCAGAGAGAGAGAGAGAGAGAGAGAGAGAUGACUACGGAGAUGGAGAUGAAGAGAGGUUACGCUGUGGAGUAUGCAGGAGCGCGAAGAGGGUGACGAGCCGAGCACAGUCGAGGACGGGAGGUUCAACGAAGACUUUUUUGCCCCCUCCUACUUCGCAGGAAAGCUGCGAGUAAUCCGAUGGAUUUUAUAGCGUUGGCCCGAGAUAGUUACGAAAAUAUUGGAAGGAAAAAUUAUCCGAAACUUUAACUCAACAUGUACCGUGAUCUAUAAGGAAAAAUAUAGUAUAUAGAAAUGAAAGAUGAGUAGAAAAAGAAAUGGACGAUUGCUGUCAAAUUAAAACUAUUCCCAAGUCAACUUGUCGGUCCCUUUCCUUCCAUUAUAAUCCUUUUUUAUAAUGUAACUGAAGAUUACUGGCUUUGUCACAACCAACGUAAACCCUCCAAAAGGUAAAAGAACUUAUGCAAAAGUAUAAAAAUGAAAGAUGUGUUGAAAAAAUGAGGACAAUAACCAAACGCGUGCAACUCAAUUGCACUUUUCGAUAAGGAUAAACUGUACCUCUCCUCAUCAUUGAAAGAGAUGGGAUUAAAUGCCUCUCCUCAUCAUUGAAAGAGAUGGGAUUAAAUGCAGACGUGAUUGACAUAGAGAUUAUCACAAGAAAUUAAAUAAAAAUAAGUCUUUCUUGGUAACGAGAUGUUUGUUCUCGUGACCGUGUAGGUCUUUCUAGGUUCUCUGACGCGUGCCAUGAGGUCAUGGCAUGUUAUGCAACCAAAUAUAUCCAUUCUAUAUUUCUAUGGUAACUAUCCAUCGUUACCUCCUGUGAACCUAAGAAGAACAAAACCAAUCCAUAAAGCUGUGGAGGAUCAAGAACAACCUGCCAUAAGUUAUUGAUGAACUCAGUUAAUUGUUCGAAGCCUUAGAAGCGAAUCAUUAAAACUUUAAGCAACUAAAAUGUCAGAUGCCAAACAGAAGGAAAAUCUACAGAGCCAACAUCUGGAUCGGAUCAAUGAUGGCAUAUCAACAACUAAGGGAAAAAUCUGCUACUAAAUAUUUAUCUGAAACUAGAGGAUGACGUUGCACUUGCAUAACUCCGUUAACGCAGAUCAAUGGUCAUGCUCUGUCUAGCUUUGUUAGAAGUUUGAAAACUCUACACGGACAGGCACUAUUUGCAAGAAGACGUGUUCCCUAUGCUCAUCUUUGUACUGAGCUGGAAAUGCUUUUAGCAGAUAGCUGUGCCUCCAGAAACAAAUCGCAUGAAGUGGCCCACAAUUCUCUGGCAAGUCCGGUGUCGUACGAAACUGAAGAAGAGUUGAUAGUCCGGCCCCUCCCACCAAAGAAAUACACACCAGAAAUUUCCUAUUUUUGCAAGACAGCGGCUAUUAGUAAGCACUGUUCCAACAUAUAAUAGCAGCCACAUAAGAUUGAUACCAUAGAUUAUCAGCAGAGAAGGGAAAAUCAAUUCUGGAAACAUACUGUCAUACCGUAGAAUCAACAUUAAUGGAUUUUACGUCCAAUGUUAGUGUGACCUCAGUUGAGGAUAAAACGAGAGAGACUCAUUCAAGAUGGUUCAGAUAAGUGAAGCACCAGUACAGGAAUGCUUUACACCAGCCUAUUUAGUGGGAAAAGAUCACUAUCACCCAUAAAUGCAGCUGUGGUUGCCUAUUGAGAUGAAACCCAGGUGAUUUCAUUGCAGUCCCAUCUAGCAUAUAGCAGAAAUUAAAGAUAAUGAUUGCAGUCAGAAAAACUCACAGGAGGGGCAAGGGCUGCAUCCAGAACUGAGUUGACCGCACCUUCAGGUGAAUCCAAAAGACCCAUUGCAGUUAAAAAUGCAAAAGCUGUGUAGGACAGGUAAGGGGGAACUUCUCGCAUGAUACUGGUUUUCACUACUCCAGGAUCCACAGCACUGGAAAUAAAAAAGAAACAGGAUAACAUCUCAAUUGUGCUGCCAGCAUGUAUUCAUACACAAAACUUUAGAGAAAGACAAUCUACAAAGCCUAAGUACAUUUUCUUGUUUAUAAUCAACUAGUAUAGUAUCUCUGAUAACAAAAACCAGGUUUUCAACUAAAAAGGGAUAGCUCAUAGAUUUGUGGAAAGUGGUAAGUGGAAAGUUCAAAUUCAACUACCAUACAAACUUAAGGGUGAGAUUACACUGUCCUACAAGAAUGCUUAAAUCCAGAGUGGCAGGAUUGUUGAUACAUACAGAAUGGAAACAUGACAGGAGCUUUCCAAGCGAAGGCGUCGAUGAAGUUCAUAUGAGAACAGCAGAAGGCAUACUGUAAACAAACAGGAAACUCUUACUAAAGUUUGUGAGAAGAUGUGACAUUUGCUUCUCAAAUAUUGCUGUAUCUUUUAUUCUAUCCUUUCCUUUUUGGUGCUAGGCUUCUCGAAUAAAACAUGAAACUUACAUUUUGAAUAACCAUAGAUCUGUGCACAUGGAUACUGUUUCAUCCUGAAGGAACUCUUCCCAAUAACACUUUCCUUGUCAAAUGUCGCACCACAUACUGAAGAAGAGGAGAACCGAGGAAAAGGAGAUUUUAAAUAAAUAAAUAAAAACUAUGACUCUAAACCUAGUAUAACAAUUGCACUAAAACAGAAACUGCACAGAGAAGUUGGACAGCAAGAAACUACAAGCAAACAAUACCAACUAUUUGACAUCAUAAAAGAGUUCUGUAACUUAGACAUUGAGUACAGCUAUAUUGCAUGUUCUAGUUUUAGCUUGCUAUCUCAGGCACUGUUAAAGUCCUAGAUGGGCACCAUAUUUAGUUCACUAAUUGAAUGAAAAAAUGACAUGCCAUAAGGGUCAGCAAGCCCGGGUUUCACAGAGGAACCUCCUUGCAGGCUGGCCACCGGCUGCAAUCAGUGUUCCACAGAUAAAUGGAAGUGUUUCUGACCACAAAGUGAAAAUAUCUUACCGCUUCGAUGUGUAAAGGACGUGACAUUGACUAUCCGGGAUGGAACAGGGCUGUUUCUGAGAAGUGGUAAUAAAUGCUUUGUCAAAAAGAAUGGUCCCAUGUAGUUCGUUGCCAUCAUCCUGGUGCAUAAAGAGGUGGAGAGAAGAAUCAACAGGAGAUCAGGCAACAAUGCAUUAUGAAAGACUGCAAUUAAUAAAUUCCAUUCCAAAAAGAGAAAAGCAAAACAGUGGGAGAUGCCACUUGCUACCGUGGCAACAAAUCUCCACAAGUAAACUACAAGUUGACAAGGUAUAUAGGAAAAUCAAAAUCACUAGAACAUUAGACUUUCAAUUGGGAAAGUGACGACACUAUUAUCGUUACUUAUUUAGAAAUUAGAACAUAUGCAUCUCAUUAGUUAAAUCUAAAACAACAGAAUAUAUAUUCUCCACUGUGACUGCUGUAGUGUUUAGAUUGCCAAAUAUUUGGAUCUUUGGAAAGAAUAUUGCAAAAAAAUUCCCAUGGCAAUAAGAUAAUUACUCAUCGAAGCCUUCAGCUGUAAUUCUGUAGGAUGUUGCCAACAUUCCAGCAUUAUUUAUCAGAAGCUGGACUGAGGCAUGCAUAUUUGAUUCCAACAGCCAUUGCUCAAGGGAGCAUCUGAAGUGUAAGAUUGACUCGAUAGAUGAUAUAUCAGCUUGAAAAGCUUUAAGAUGGGCAUCCUUAUUGUGUUUACAAAUCUCUGCCACUCUCUGUGACCCAAAAAAAAAAAAAGAAUCAUUGAGAGCAUCAUGUAGAGCAAAGAAGCUAAAACGGAUGCCGCACAACAAGUACCUCUGACAACCUGUGAGCAGACCGUCCAACUGCAGAGAAAGCAUAAAUUUCAGUUAAAUAAUUGUACCUGCAUGGAUCAAAACUCAUUCUUCUUGUAACAAAGAAAAGAUGCAUUUUGCAUUAACUCUAAGGACAACAAACAGUCAUUCGUACAUUAUUUGUCACAUUAAGCAAUUGACAAGCUUUUCUCUUUGCUUGAAUCACCAAGUAAAGACCAGAGAACAUUCAUAUAUCUACCCAUAACUCUUCCUAUGAGAGUGUUCAUCACAGACUGGUGGCAUUUAUGUAGACAGCCUAUUUUUUUUUCCUCCUAAUGUAGCUAUCAUCAGGAUGAUCCAGCACAAGCAAUCACAGAAAAUCCAGGCAUGGGGUUGAACUAAGUGUUGCUACAUCCAUAUCAAAGGAAUGAGGAGGAUAAACCACAGACUGCGACAUUACCAAGGACAACAACGAAACCUUCUUUUGAAAGAGCAUAAGCAGCCGCUGCACCCAAACCAGAUGUAGCCUGCAGGCAAAAGGCAGAGAAAGCUCUCAGUAGGAUAAUCUAAUUGAGGACAUUUGCUACUAGCAAAAGAAAUCCGUCUUACGCCGGUGAUAAUGCAGAGAGGUCUCAGAGGAACUUCUAUGUUGGCAUUUCGAGGGUAUGAAACAAUUCGACCAAAAAGACCACGGCUGAAGAAUUGCCAGUAUGAGGCCAGCAAAGAGAACGUCCAAAGUACUGCCAUUAUCCAGAAGUCUACUGUACAAAUGAAACAAAAAGCCUCGACCAACUCCUUUGACAUUAUUCUCAUCUUUGCCACCAUGGACUUCUUACCUGUGUUGGCAAAGUGAAAACAACAAAACAAAUUCAGGAUACUAAUAAAUCCAACAGAAAAGUAUAUGCGCACGGUAAAGUCCUAAAGUUUAUUGGAUUAGGUAGUGGAACUCGAAUUUAAAUCAAGUGAAUGUCACAAUUAAGUACUGGAGAGACCCAAUCUACGGAGAAAACACGCACCCUUACAUGACCAGUGCAGCAAAAUGAGUGCCUUGUUAUUUGACAGUCAGAGUUGAGACCUCAGUGUUCAGUCUACAGGAAAAGUUUUAGCAACCUCGAGAGAGGUAAGAACUAGGCAGAUCUCACUAUGCAACCAUAAAUCAACUAACUUCAGGUGUACUUUCAAACAAAUUCUUUGACCAAGCAUCUGAGGGAAAUCAACAAUACAGAGUUCAACAUUCUAGUUCGUAAAUACUUUGGCCUUUUCAUUGUCAUGUAUGAAUGACGGUUUCCCUAUUGUUUAGAAUGUACAGCUUUGAAGUGUCUUAAUGCCACCUUGUCUUCCCACCACAGCAAACACAGACCCAGGUAAAGGAAUCAAAUGUUAAAUCCAGUCUUAAUAAAUUUACACAUCACAACACACAACCCAGUGAGCUUACUUCAUCGGUUAGAGUCACCAUGCUCACCCAGAGUAACAAGCACACCAUCAAAAGUAAGAUUAACAGAGAUAGCAAAUGAUAUAGCUUGUUUCAAAAUGAAAUUCUGUUCAUUUCCAAGCUCCAGACUUUCCACAUCAAAGCUUGACGUCUACUCACCCUAAACAGACGCAGCUAUAAAAUUAUCAUCUACCAGCAGAACUCGUGAAAUUCCACACAAUUCAAACGGGCCUACACGCACGUCACCGACCUAGACACGUUCCCUAUUAAACAUUAAACAAUCACCACCCCAAAUCAUCUCCAAGCUCAACGUCCUCACCAUGCAACAGCUCCAGAGCUCCAAAAAGACCCAACAAGUUUUUCGCCAACCUUCACGUCAACUCAAGCUCCCCCGCUCACUUCCUCCCUGACAAUACACACCCCCCACGAAGCGCGCUCUAAGAAGCAUUACGUCAAACACAUUGGGGACAUCGAAACUCCGGGCAGAGUUCUCCCACGAACCCAACGCAAAUGGGCAUCCACGAAAACAGGAACUUGCAGAGAGGCGAACGCGGGCGCUCGUGCAGAUCACUGUAAAGCUAUUGCAACGAAACGUGAAGGGUUGCGCCGGAAACGAAAGGGCGACUCACGGGGAACGUGAAAGGGUCGAAGGAACGAAGGAAGGCGAGAGCAGAGACGGGUCGCCUCGACUCGACACGGUUCUCGUCGAAACCAGGAGAGUCUUGAGAUUGACUGGAGGAAAAAUCCGAGCUUUACAAAAAGUUAGAUGCAGGAUGAGACGAACAUCCGGUUCUUCAACCCGAGUAAAAGCGUUGACACUAAGGGCAAACUUUUCCUUGCAUAUUAGGGAGAAUUAAGUGGGAAAUUUUCGUUUAUCGAAUUCGCCAACAUGUUUUCCAAAAAAAAAAAAAAGGAAAAAAAGAAAUCACUAACGUAAUUUCAUUCACUAUCACCCCUUUUGAAAAAUCAAAUCCAUGCAUGGGACCGAUUAAAUUUCAUUCGUCAAUCAGUACUCUUUUGUAUGAGAACUUGAAGAAAGAAUGACUCGCAAAAUACAUAAAAAAAAAUGGAACAUCACAAGAUAUGCAAAAAUUACUGUAAAAGAAUCAUAGAUUACAUGUUCUAACAAAAAGGAAUCAUUUAUUGCAUUUGUGUGAUGUAAACUAUACUGGAAUUAUUUCUUGUAAAUCUUGAGAGUGGUAGUAAUUGUGUCAACAUUUGGAAUCCUAUUAGGGAUAAAUAUAUUGAAAAUAUUAAAAUUUGUCACGAAGUUACAAUUUAACCCUAAAAUUUGACCAAAAAAAAAAUUCCAAUCAAAUUCUAAAAUUUGUUACAAAGUGUAAUUGAAUUUUUAAAACUUUUAAAAAGUACAUUCAAGUUCUAAAUUUUAUUAACAUUUUUCGUUUGUCAAAUUUGAUGGAGUUUAGGAAAAUACUUGAUUAUAUUAACUUGUCAAGUUGGCUUGGGCCAAGUUUGGCAUACCUAUAGUCCGUCGGAUCCAUGUUAAGGUCUACUAGCUUUGACCCUCCCUAGCUUUUGGGCUGGAUUGGGUCGCUGCGCCCAGCCCUUGCAGGAUCUCUCUCUCUCUCUCUCUCAACUUUCCCUAUGUGUUUUUUGGUUACUUUAACAUUUUUAUUUGUCUUUUGAAUUAAUGAUCUCACGUGGCAUGGUUCAAAUUACUGGGGUGUCAGAACCAAAACCAAAACUAAAAUCUAACCGAAAUUUCAUGCAUUUUUUAUUUGAUUUGGUUUUGGUUAGGAUAAUAGAAAGAUAACGGUUAUUUGUUUUCGAUUUGGUGAAUCGAACUGAAAUCCUUAAUACAAAUAAAUGCACAACUUAAAAUCCCUCCUUUUUCUCAUCUCUUAUUCUAUUUGAUUCCAAUGAGAAGGUAAAAAUCAAAAAACCAAAAACUGAAAACUGAAUUGAAAAUAAUCCAAUCGGAUUUUUAGUUCAGUUUGUAUUUGAUUCAGAUCGCAACUUGGUUUGCUUUAAUUACUUAUCUUAUCAGUUCGGUUUGGUUCGGACUUUAGGACAUUCGAACUAAAUCGAAACGUUGACGCCCCAUUAGCCACAUAGAUGAAGUCAUGUCUAUAAUUCAACAACGUUAAUUAUGAUGGUUGACGACAGAGUCAGCAAGAUGCAAAAGAUAUAGAAAUACAUCAAAAGAAGGAAAAAAUAGUUAGAGGACCCAAUCGCAGGAACAUCAGUACUAUAUCGAGAACAAAAAAUUGCUAUGAACUAAAUCAUACAUUAAAAGUAGGAAACAAGGAGAACUAACACGACCGUUAAUAGCAGCAUUGACAUCUAUGUCCAUGGAGAAUUUUUCUUACGCAACUACCACAGGUGGAUCCCAGCUAAUUUGCUGUCUAUCUAAUCCCGGGUGAAAACGGUCGGGCCUUGGUUCGGAGCCGUCGAGGACACACGACCAUCCUCAACGCUCCAAGCUCGUCCUCCUCCGGCGCAGUGGCUCGGCCUCAUAUCCUCUAAGCUUCACGGCUUUGUAAGUCACGGCGCCAGCUAUGGCUCCGAGCGGAGGAGCCACCAUGUACAUCCACAAUCCUUUGUAGUUCCCUGCGGCCACGGCCGGGCCGAGAGUCCUCACGGGGUUCAGGGAACCUCCGGUCGGCAUCCUGCAUUUCCCGGGAACAUUGUUAAGGAACAUUAUGAAAGCUAAAAUUCUGUAACAACGCGUCCAUACUUGCACGCCCGAAGGUGAGUAGUUUCAGUACAAUGCUUACCCUGUCACAAGAACGCCAAGCAGCACCGUUGCUCCGAUUGCAAUACCUGCCAAAUCUCCUACCUAUCAUCAGAAAAAAGGAACAAAUGUAAGUGAAAUGGAUACAUGCUGUAUACAGAUGCCACGAGUACAGAUAGAGGAAGAGUCGAUAUGCAGCAUGGCGACGUACUGCACGAGUGUCGGUCACCACCGCGACGAUCACGAACGCGAGAAUGAAAGUGGCGAGAAACUCGAGAGCAAACGCCUGUCCGAUGUCCACCGAAGGCACCGUGACGCCGCCGUUGGCAAAGGGAUGGAAAACGCCCUUGAGGACGUAGGAAGCACACAUCGAGCCCGCAACCUGCGCCGCGAUGUAGCCAGGCACCUGGAUCCAUGGAAAGUGCCAGAUCACCGCGAGGGCGACUGUCACCGACGGGUUCAGGUGGGCUCCUGAAAUGUGACCGAUCGAGAAAACUAUGAUCAUCACGGCGAGCCCAGCGCAUGCCGCGUUCCCAAGCAACGUCUCUGCUCCGUUGUACUUUUGGUUCACAAUGGGCCCGCCCACCGCGCAAAGUACUAAGAAGAAGGUUCCAACGAACUCUGCUCCGACCUGCAUCGUUCAUGUAAAUCUAAAUAAGAAAAUCUAUCCUAUCUUUCUUUCUUGGUUUCACUCGCUAUGAAAAGGCAUAAGAAUUAUCAGUUUAUGCUGCAACAGCUAGCGAGCCUGUCUAAUCUUUACUGAUCUUUGAGGUCGAUUGGGCUUUACCUUCCGCAACGAAUCAUACUUAUCCGGCUGGAGACGCCGAACACCUUCCGUUGCACCGUCACUCGGCGCACACCACUUGCACUGUACCACGGACCCGUCCUCCGGCAACGAUGAGUCCACUUGCAACGUCACAGAUGCCGGUUGGCACAUCUUCUCUUGCCUGGACAGCUCGAUGGAGAUUAAGGGAGACCAGAGGUCGCGAAUAAAGGAUCAAGAGAUCGAUGAGAAGAGAGAUCAAGACGAGAGGGAGCCUUCAGUCUGUUGCCUCCGUCUAUGAUAGUUGAUUGCAGCGACCCCAAAAGCAUUUUAUAGGAGAGAAGACAACGGCUUUAACAUCGCCAACAUCAUCUUCUUGUUCACUAGUUCGGCUUGUUGACUCGCUCCAUAGGAUUCGGUCAUUCAUAGUAGUUCGGACUGUCUGCACCUUGACUAGAUCUAGGGUUACUCUAUACAAGUAAUGAUUUGACUCGGUUUGGCAUGCUCAGAAAAACUUGGAGGGCACGUUUCUAUUUCUGAAAUUUAGGUGUGCAAGUCUACAUUUGUGGACCAGAUAUUGAAUAUUUAAGACCGAUUCUAUAAAGAGAAGAUCCAUCAAAACGUAUUUUCUUUUUUUUGUUUGGGGGGGAAGAGUUAAGGGCUGCGUUUGUUUUGAUUUCUUUUUUCUGUUUUUAAACAAUUUUUUUUGUUUUUUUGUUCCUGGGAACAAAAAAGGAACAGAAACGCGUUUGUUUGCAUUUUUAUUCCAAAAUUAUUUUUUUGUUCCCAGAAACACAUCUGGAACAAAAACAAGAAACAAAAAAAAAAGUUGUUUCUUGUUUCUGGAACAAAAUUUAGGAACACUUUCUUCUUCUCUCUUUUUUCUUCUUCUUUUCUUCUUCUUUUUUCUUUCUUUUUUCUUUGGCCGGUCGCCGGCCUCAACAAUUGAACCUUCUCAAACUGUUUCUUCUUAAGAACCAAAAAUAUUUGUGCCAAAAUAACAGAUGCCAAGAAGAACAAAAGGCCUUGGACACGGAAUGGAUCUUGAAGUACUAUUUCCGCAUCUCCUUGACCAAAUCCACCCACAUUAGGAUUACUCGUUAAUGGCUGAUCAAGUUUGAUAGAUUCGCCUUCGGAAACAAGAAGUUCUGGCCCUGGUGGAAUAAUAUCAACCACUUGACGUUCAUCUGACGCAUCCGAUAUGGUUAUUUCGUACCCCCCUUUUUCUUUUCGUAUGAUUUUACUUACUACACCAGCCGCUGUAGCAUUAUAAACUGUAUUGUUACUCUUGCUCCCAUCGGGAUAAAUCUGACCCAUUCCUCUGUUCCCGCCUACAUAUAUGGGAUAUUUUAAGAAGUGAACAUCUUUAUUAGUAGCGGGGUCCGGGGAAAGAAUAGGAAAGGUGACUUCACUAUAUUUCUGACCAGAAACAGGACCUAUCACAAGAAUAUUUUUUUUAUUGGGGCGAUAGCUCUGAAAAGACAGAUUGCCUAUCUUUUCUUUCAUCUCGGGCGAAAUACGAUCGGGAGGUGCUAAUUCAAAUCCCUCAGGUAAAAUAAGAACAGCCCCCACAUUCAAACCUCCCAUUUUACCAUUAGCAAGAACUUGUUUAACUUGCAUAUCAUAAGGAAUUCGAACAACUGCUUCAAAUACAGUAUCAGGAAGUACCGCUUGCGGAACCUCAAUAUCCACGGGCUUAUUAGCUAAAUGGCAAUUGGCACAUACAAUACGUCCGGUCGCUUCUCGUGGAUUUUCAUAACCCUGUUGUGCAAAAAUGGGAUAUGCAUUUGAAAUGGAUGUCCGAGCUAUGAUAUAUAUCAUCAGCGAUACGGAAAUAGAUCGAAUAAUCUCUUUCUUUAUCCAAGAAAAGGUGUUUUUAGUUUGCAUGGUCCAAUCAUUGAUCCCGAAAAUUUCUACAAUAAAAUUAGGUAGGUCGCUUGUAUAGUUCCCUAUCCACAAUUCUGCUAUUUACUUUAUUGAAAUCAUUUUACUGGAAUAUAAGGAGUAGGAGAAAUCCCUGUAGGGUAGAAAGAGUAAGUACGUCUUAAAAUGGAAAUGCUUUGCUUAUGUACCUUAUGUUACAAAGUAACAAAUAUUCUAGUUAGAUCAGUCAUUCAUUGAAUGAUAAAUCACUACAAGUGAUGGAGAUAUACGAUUUAAAUAGCGGAAGAUCCAAUAUUUAAAAAUUGUAUCCAGAAUGACUGGAAAAGUAGAAACAAGACCCGAUAUAAUUUGAUCGUUGUGAGCAAAUCCAAAAUCUUUGUAGACAUAGCCAAUCAUUAGUUCCCAACCAUGGGGCGAAUGGAAUCCGAUACAUAAAUCAGUUAAUAAAAGAAUAGAAAAAGCUUUUAUUGUGUCACUUAAGUUAUAUAGGAAUUCUUGAACCCAAGAGUUAAGAAUAGCAAGUUCUUCAUUACCCAGAAUAGAAUAACCACUUAAAAUAAUGAAAGAGGUUAUAUUUGUCGAUAAGUGAAAAAUCAUAUGGAUAUGAUCCUCAUUGUGCAUCUUGAUCAAUUGGAUCGUUUCUUUGUGGAUUCCUAUACGAAGUGUUUGUAGAUGUGUUUCCGGGUAUUCUUUUAUCAUUUCGUCCAAGAGUAAGAGUUCUUCCAAUUCGAUGAAUUUUUCUAGAAUACUCUUUUCUUGAAUAUCAGUCAAAAAAGUUUCGGAUUGCCUAGUAUUCCACCAAUUAGUAAUCCAAAAUUCAAGACUUUUAUUAAAUGAGAGAGAGAUCCACCAGGGCAAAAAUACUAUAGAUGUAAGAUAUAGAAGAGGAAGAAAUGCUUUCUUUUUUACCAUUUUUUCAUCUUUGAAUUGUUAAUGAAUCCACCUCAUUUGUUGAAUCUAUGUGAUCUACUAUUUCUAUUAACCCUAAGUUCUAUUACAGGGCAUCGGGCCUCGGCCAUGGCCGGCGACCGGCAGUCGAGGGCCGGUGAGGCCGAGCGUCGCCGGCCCUUGGUGAGGCCGACCUCGCGCCGAGCUAGGCGAGCUCGGCCUCGCCGGGCCACUGCCAGGUCGGCAUCGCCUGGCAGUGGCCCGGCGACGCCGAGCCUCGCCAGCCACUGAUUGUCACUUGCUUUUAGUCAUGCAUUCAAAACUGUAAGAUUCAUGCACUAUAAGAUAACCAGACAAGCGAAAAAAUGAUGUGCAUUUCAGUUGAGGUGGCAAGACCAAUUAGAUUGAAUUCAAACCAAAUAAAGCUUGACGCAUAAAAGAGAAAUGUUGUGCAUUGAGCGAAUAUAUGACAAAAUAAGUGCAAAGAGAGUCAUUGAUGUUCUAGCACUUUGGCCAAUUGAGUUCUUAAAAUUUUACUUUGCUUAAUUGAAUCCUUAGCAUUUUCAAUUUUAAUCAAUUGAGUCCCUCAAGCUUGAUCCUCGGAAAUAGCCACAUGGCUAUGAUUUUCCAAGUUGAUAAGAAGAUGCUCGACAAUAAAACCAGGUGAGCCUCUCAAGGGCUUCAUUGGCAUAAUCAUCAGUAUCACUUCGAUUUUUGGGUAUACGUGCUACACCGCACAGAGGUCUAUCAUUUCUUGGAUAUACUUCAUACCUCCCGUAGUGCUACCCGAAACGGUUUUCAUACCUGCAAAAAGUUCAUUGUGAGCAACUUACUUUCUUCACCUAUCAGGUAUCAAUAUUUCAUUCAGUAAUGAGCUUUGAGAACAAAAACAUACCGAGGUUAAGGCUUGCUGCAUUGAAUUUAAUUUCGCUUUGGGACCCAACCGAUGCUAGAACGCCACCCGUCUUCAAAAGAGACAUGUAAGGAUCAAAUGGGUGAUCAGCAGAUACCGUGUCAAUUAUAAAGUCCAGGGACUUAGCCAUGGCUUGCAUGUUACGAUUCAUCAGAUCACGGCAGCACUUGACAUCCAUGGAUCUAAAGUAUUAAUAAUUCAAAAUCUUCCCGUUUACCUUCAUAUGUUCUUGGUCAGAUGAGAUAACGAAAUGGUCAGCACCAAGCAAGCUCAGUGCUUCCUCCUUUUUAGAAAUGCUUGUACUGAACACGGCAACUUUCAGUCCAAAAGCCUUCCCAAGCUUAAUUGCCAUCUGACCGAGCCCACCAAGUCCAAUUACGUCGAAAGACUUACCCGGUUGGUUCAUCUUGUGACGCACCAUUUGAAUGUAUACUGUGAUUCCAUCACAGGGCAAUGGUGCUGCUAAAGCCAACGGGUAGUUUUCUGGAAUCCUAAGGCAAUACCUGUCAAUGAAGCACCACAAUUAAGUUUCCAAAUCAUGUAAUUUUUCUAUUCCCCUCGAUCAUGUCUCUAAGGGACACGAUAUUCCUGUGACUGUUGGAUACAAGAAUCCGUGAAAGCAUAUACAUUUCAUUACCCAUUUGAUCUAACACUUACUAUCUAACUCUUGGGAACAAUCUAAAAAAAGGGAGGAAGCGGAGACAAAAGGCAAGGAUUGAGCAAUUUCCAUCUCUCUCUCUCUCUCUCUCUCUCUCUCUUUUAAUUAAGGGUUAAUAUCCUAAAAAAUCCCAAAUUGGUACACAUGUAACAAAUUUACCUUGACAGACUAUAAAAAACUCUAAACUUAUAUAUUUAUGACAAAUUUACCCCAAACUAAUUUAUUUGACCGCAAAAAAUCUCAAAAUGGUAAAUUUGUAACAAAUAUACCCUUCACUAAAUUGGAUUAAUACCACAAAAAGAUCACAAAAAUUGUAAACCGUGACAAACGGAGCAUGAAAUCUCAAAUUGGUAUUACUAAUCAACUGUCACGUGCCAUUUAACUUAAUAAUUUGACAGUAAAAUUUAAUGAAAACUAAUAGAGGGUAAAUUUGUCACAAGUGUACUAGUUUAGAGUAUAUUUGUCAAAAGUAUACCAGUUUGGAGUUUUUAGUGGUCAAAAAACUAGUUUAGAGUAAAUUUAUCAUAGGUGUACCAGUUUUGAGUUUUUUAGGGUAUUAACCCUUUAAUUAAUUUAGUUUUAAAUUUAAUGUUAUUAAUGUUUCAUGAAAAUUCAUAUGUUAGAUUUAUUGGCUCACAUGUCAUUGUCACUUGAUGUGUAUGAUAUAUAGAAUAGUCCAAGAGUUUUGACUUUAGAUGCUUGGGAACUCGCGAAUGGUCAUACAUUGUCGGUUACACAUUCAAUAUGAUGUAUUAGCUAAUCAUAGUCCUCUAACGGUUUAUAUUUGCUUAAUAUAUUUCAAGAAUAUUCAUUUGUUAGACUUGUCCGCUCACACGCCACUGUCACUCGAUGUAUAUGAUAUGCAGAAUAGUCUAAGAGCUUUGACUUUAGACACUUGGGAGUGUCUAUGCUUGUUUUAUGUCUGUUAUGCUUGCAAUGCUUCUGGUUUUGAGUGGACAGUACAAAUAUUUAAGUCCAUGUCAAUUUGAACAAUUUUCUUUAUUAUAGAGCAACCGUCUUUAAUCUAUUGUGUUCUUGACCACAAAAAACCAAAUAACAAAUAAGUAUUAAUUAUUGUAGGGUCCAACAACAAUCUUUAAUCUAUUGUGUUCUUGACCACAAAAAACCAAUUAACAAAUAAGUAUAAAUUAUUGUAGGGUCCAACAGCAAUCUUUAAUCUAUUGUAUUCUUGACAACAAAAAACUAAAUAAUAAAUAAGUAUACAUUAUUAUAUGGCCCACUCCUUUAAAAAUUUGUUGCUCACAACAACUUAUUUAUUCUCAUAAUAACCCAAAGUUAUGCUAGCAAAGCUCUUUUGAGUAAGUGUAUUGAAAGUUUUAAAAACUUGUCACUAAAGUGCAUUAAGUCCUGAAACUUUCAAAAAAUACAAUUUAAUCCUAAAAUUUGUCACGAAAUGCAAUUGAGUCUUAAAAUUUUCAAAAAGUAAAAUCAAUUAUAAAGAUUUAUCAAUAUUAUAAGGGACAAAACCAAAAGCUGCAUGCAAUAAAUCAGACAAAAUUCAUUAAUUUAUGACCAUCAAGCAAGCGUCAGACAUUAGCAAAUGAAUGUAUUAGCAAUCGAAAAUACAUCGAAAACAAAAAGUUAAAAGCUCAUAUCUACCUUUCAUUCUUAUGCUUUGUAAGCCCCUCUGACCUUAGUGACCGCAAGGAUUUUACUGUGGACUCAAUGAGAUCCAUCUCAAGCUCCACCCUUUCAUGUGUCCAGCACUGAAGCAAAAGGAAAAUCGCAAUAAUGCGAUGAGGAUGAAACUAACCCAUUGAAUUUCUGAGUAAUCCAUCAAGUACAAGUUACCCAUCAUUCGGCCACUAAGCUCCUCCACUAUGGCCCUCAAUUGCUGGAUGCUUACUACGAGCGCUUCAUCCCUUCGUAUGAAGUCAACAUUUCUUUGAUUCACACUUUCUUUGCAUGACAUAUUUUAAACCUACAAGUAAACGUUAGUCACAAAAAUCCUCACCAAUUGCUCCCUCACGUGUUUCUCUCAAUGUGUUUGUCACUCCCCUCGUGUUUAACUCAAAUUUAGGCUUUUUCCCUCUCGUAUUCUCUUUUCACAAGUUCUUUAUUGGACUCAAAAUCAGUCUCUCAGCCCCCUCACGACAAUCAAUCAAAAUAAUCAAACAAGAUUAGAUUACUAUUAAUUUUGUUUCAGCAAGUAACAAUUUCAAACCAACAAGUAUAACUUUCGAAAUUCUAAUUGAAACGCAAAUCACUACUGAUUUUGUUUCAAUUCGGUCCACAGUCGCCUUCUUGAUUUUUUUUUGUUCAGCUUUUUUUUUCUGCUGAAUCUUUUUUUUUUCUCUAGCGCACUUUUUUUUUGUGUGCGUUUUCUUUCUCUUCUUUUUUUUUUUUUACGAACUUUCUUUGUUUUUUUUUCUUUCUUUUUUGACAAACUCAGAUACAAUUUAAGAUGAUAGGAAAAAAAAUAUUAAAACUAACAGCAAACAAUUACGUAUGGAAGCACAAAAGUAAUCAGAUCCCUAAAUUGGCUAGAACCGAAACCCUAACUCAAUAAAUCUCAAAUUGCUGAAUAUAAACAGAAAAUUAAAGAUAAAUAGACAUUGUAGAAGUAAGCUCUGAUACCAAAUGAUGUCAAUCGUUGUGGAAAAAUCAUUCUACGAAGGCCUGGAUGGUGCGAAUUGCAAACCUCGACCUCCAAUCAAACCUGUGAUUGAUAACCUCGAUAUGAACGUGAUCAAACCUACGAUUGAGAACCUCGGUAUGAACGUGACCUAUUGACAAACGCAUGUCAACCAACCAAACCCACGAGCGAAAGAAUAAGGUUAAGUUCUCAAAAAAUAGUAGAAAAGAAUCUCUCAACUUUUUUCAUCCAUAUAUAUAUAUAUAUAUAUAUAUAUAUAUAUAUAUUGACUUGGUCAAAUAUUUGAUGAUCAGAUAAUCAAAUUGUGCAAAGAUUUCUAAGAUUCUUCAAGAUUUAAUCCAAAGCCAUCUCUACGCCGAAGAUCAUGAACCAUGACGCUAACAGCUUACUUGAAUUGCUUGGCUCGUGCUCGAGUAAUUGAACCAGUAGGAAUAGACAAUGGGUCUCUAGCACCACCUCAUCGAUAUGGCUUGAUGUCCACAUCAUAAUGCAUGCGAAGGAACAAGCCGAUUGCCACUUGAUGUUAGUCAUUCAUGCAAAACUGUAAGAUUCAUACGCUAUAAUAUAGCCAAACAAGCAACCAAAAAAAAAAAAUAAAAAAUAAAAAACUAAAAAAAUGAUCUGCGUUGCACUUGAGGUGGCAAGGGCAAUUAGAUUGUAUUGAAACUAAAUGAAGUCCGUUGCAUUAAAAAGACAAUCAAAUGAUGCAUUGAUCAAACCUUCUCUUCCUUCUUCUUUUUCCUCUCCAGGUCUUCCACGCCUUCCGACUUGUUAUCCGGUUGAGACUGCACGACCCACAUCGACUCAUCAAUCUGAUCAUUACAAUCAUAGACUUGCCAUUUCCACAGCUAACCCAAUAACUCAAGCUACAAUCAGACGAGCUUCCACCCAAGAAAACAUACCAUUUCGAUGGUUGGUAAGCGUGAGACUGCAACCAAAGUUCGAUUCCGACAAGAGAAAGCACCGGGACAGAUGGUUGAGCUCCGUUUAGAAGUAGACCCAACAGCCGCCGGCGAACAAGGGUGGCGACCGUGACUUCAAAGAGACGACUUGACGGCGACCGAGCUCGGCGGAGGCGAGGGCGGCGGGACUUGUCAGCAGGGAUUUUUCUGACAGUGUCAGACUGGCACGACUCUGACGUUUUUUUAAUUAACUAAAGAAAGAAAUUCGUAAUACGACGUGGGCAGCCCGCAGGAGGGCGAAAUAAGAGUUUCCUGUUCUUAUUUUAUUUUAUUUUUAGCCUUUUCUGCUUAUUAGCAAAUAAAAUUUAUUAAUUUGACACGAACAUAUAGUGGUGUAUUUCCUACUAGUAAUAUAAAUUUAUAGAUUUUAAGGGAAGACUUGGAUCGUAAUUGUCAUUGGAGAGGAAGUGAAUGAUGAUAUAACAUGAGUUAAUAGACGUAAGUGAAAAAUGUCACAAAAGAAAUCGUGUUCCGAUAUUAAUUUUGUCAAUAUAUUGAAAAGGCAACAGGUUUCGUAUUCUUCUGGACAGAAAUGAAAGGUCAAAGGGAAACGAGAAGGACUGAGCAAAUAAAUGACAAAAUAUGAGCAAUGGAAGUCAUUGAUCGUUUGCCGUUUGACUGAUUGGAUUCUAAAUAUUUUAUUUUCAAUUGGGGUCUAAAUAUUUAUUUGGUCCAAUUGACUUCUAAACAUUUCCAAUUUUAGUCAAUCACGUCCCUCGAAUAUUAUUGUCGGAAAGAGCCACAUGGCUGUGAUUUUCCAAGUGGCCAAGGAGAUGCUUGAGGAGAAAACCUGUAGGAGAGGCGAAGCCAUUCAAGCAGAACUCUCAAGAAGCCAAUUUUUCAGACAGUUUCUCAAUCAUCACAUAGAAAAGUACCAGGAUUUCAUUACCCAUUUCACUUAUUUCUGCUAUAAAACUUACGGGUAUCGAAGUAUAUCAGGCAUAGUUUAUUUGUACUCCAGCAGAGAUAGUAAAAAGGCACAGAUGAUGCUCUCCUCUAGCUGAAACUCCCACUUUUCCUCUCUGUGUGAUCAGCUUUGCCAGCAACAAUUUCCAACUUCCCAAAUUGAUGUUCAAAUUUAAUCAAAUAGACUCAGAGAAGAAAACACACGAGAAUUGUUGCUAUAACUCUUGUUACUUUAUUCAUCAAAACAUCCAAAUCACUUAGCAAGAAAAUAGCUAUAGAACAACAACAACAACAAAGACCCACUGACAUACCCCACCGACCAAACAUGUGGAGAAACUAACUCCUACAAAAAAGCCACUUCCUAUUGACUAGGACUCCACUAUUACAUUAUUGAAGACACGUAAAAACUGUAAGUUAACUACUUCAACAAUUGAUGGUGUCACUUCAAGGAGUUCUCAAUGUCGAUCACGAAUCGAUACUUAACAUCUCUCUUGAUGAGCCUCUCCAGAGCUUCAUUGGCAUAAUCAAUCGGUAUCACUUCAAUAUUUGGGUAUAUCUUCUGCGCUGCACAUAGGUCUAUCAUUUCUUGGGUAUCCUUUGUUCCUCCCGUUAGGCUACCUGAAACAGUUCUCAUAUCUGCCAAACGUUCACCACGAGCAACUUAGUUCACCUAUCAGGUAUGAAAUUUCAUUUAGUAAUCAGAUUUGAGAACAAAAACAUACGGUGGUUAAGGCUGGCUGGACUAAAUUUAACUUCGCUCGAGCCGACCAAUGCUAGAAUGCCACCCGUCUUCAAAACAGACAUGUAAGGAUCAAAUGGGUGAUUGCCGGCUGCCGUGUCGAUUAUAAAGUCUAGGGACUUAGCAAUGGCCUGCGUGCAUUGGAUUUAUCAGAUCACAACAGAAUUUGACCACCAUGGAUCUCAAUGUGGAUAAUUCUAGUUUUUCCUUUUUUUACCUUCAUCUGCUCUACGUCAGAUGAGAUAACGAAAUGGUCAGCCCCAAGCAGGCUCAGUGCUUCCUCCUUUUUAGAAAUGCUUGUACUGAACACUGUGACUUUUAGUCCAAAAGCCUUCCCAAACUUAACUGCCAUAUGACCGAGCCCGCCAAGUCCAAUUACACCUAGAGACUUACCGGGUUGGUUCAUCUUGUGACGUAUCAUUGGAGUGUACACCGUGAUUCCAGCACAGAGCAGUGGCGCUGCUAGAUCCAUCGGGUAGUUUUCUGGAAUCCUGAAGCAAUACCUGUCAAUGAAGCACCACAAUUAAGUUUCCAAAUAACACCAAGAGAGGAAGUGAUUUCCCAAUAGAAUCAGCAUCCUGUCUUUUUUGUCUAAAAGGAAUCAAAUCACAGAGCCAGAAAUCCUAUCUUCCGCAUGCUUGGGAAUGUUACUUGCUUAGACCACAAUUCAGCAUCAUGUUGUUUCCGUGAUCCUUGUUCUGACCACAAAUUGCUCAAGACAAACAUUUCUUGCUGUAGCAACGAAAAUAACUCGAUUAAAAUUAAGAAAAGACACUUGCUCUAAGAAAGGAAACUGGUGGCAUAUCACAUAUGCUUGACUGAACACGUAAUUUCUCUAUUUCUUUCAAUCAAUUCCUCCGAAGGACUCAAGAUUCCUGUGGCUCUAUCAGAUACAAGAAUUAGUGAAAGCACAUACAUUUAGCUACCCAUUUGAUCUUAUACUUAUGAUCUAACUUUAACAAUCUAAGGACAGCUUAUUCCAUUCUUGACAAUGGUUAUUGAAAAGAAAGAAUUUCUUUUUGCAUUUAAUAAAGCCAAUUCUCCAUUGAAUGGUCUGAAUGGUAAUUGGAUACAGAGGACUUAAAGACCCUCCAGAGCCGUUAUAGAAAGUAUCUUUAUCCUUUUCCACAAGAUGCAUUAUGCUACUUCUGGUCACAAUCAGAAUACGAAGAAAAUUAGCAGAGAAGAAGACAUGACAUGAAAUCUUUUUUUGGCCACCAUGAUUUGAAAUUCUUUCACAGUGCAAAAUGCUGCCUAAUAACAUUGUGUUAAUAAGCAAUUACCUUUCAUGGACGACAAUGUGACUAGAAUAUCCUCCCUUUGUCACUGUACCGUCCGUAUCGAUUCGGUCAAAAGUCAAAACCAUCUUUUCACAAUGGACUUCUAGCCCGUCAUUGCAAUACUCGCACUCUCUGCAUGAAUUGACAUAAGUUCCCACACCCACAUGAUCGCCAACUUUGAAGCGUUGGACACUGGAGCCAACCUGUUUCACAAUUCCAACUAUCUCGUGCCUGAAUCAAUCAAAAAAGUCAUUCGCAAAUUUUGUUCAGAGAAUUAUUAGGAUGGUGCUAAGAAAAAAGAUUAACAUUCGAAUCACGCUGCAUCCUACCCUGGCACCAGAGGAUACUUGGAGGUUCCCGACAUAUUCCUAGUCCAAGCCACAUCUGCAUAGCACACUCCGCAGUGCGUGAUCCUAAUCGAGACGUCAUCGCUUCCCACGGUCCUAAAGAGAGAAUUCCCAAACAGAUGAGCAUCUAAUCAAGCAACUAAUCAGACUCAGUUACCUUUUGUUCUCAUUUUUCAGAUCAAUAAACUAAGCGUGACUUACAAUAAUCAUACAUUCAACCCAAAAAAAAAUUUAAGAAAAGAGAAAUGAAAAGGAACCAAAUCCAUGACUAUAGGCAUUUGUCUGAAUAGUACAUACAACCUCAAAUGCUCACAAAGGCAGCACCCGAAUCCUAAUGUCUGCCAUGAAGUUCUAAGCAACUCAUUCUGGGACAUGACAUAUCAUGCGUACAAACAAUUCUCUACCCAGAAAUUAGUGCAUACACAACAAAAUUUAUAAAAGAAAAACGAAAUGGUUUGGUCAAUGUGGAAAUUUAAAUAUAUGACAAGCAUCAAAAACUGUUUUGCAUUACAGGUGAGAGGAUAAGACCUGAGAACACUGUAUUGAGACUUAUUCAGACAAAUACUUCAAUAGAAAUUGAAAGUAUAAGGAGCAGAUGAAUUAAAUAAAGAACAGUGGUAACAGUAAUACCUGCGGCUGAAUUUGUAGGGGGAGAGACGUCCAGAAGGAUCUCUGGCAGCCCAACCAAGACAAUCUUCCUUCGCACCCUCUGAACUCAUCGUUCCUCACCGACCUCAACUGAAAUCGACCCACAAAAAAAUUGCUGUGUUAAUCUCUCAAUAAGCUGAAUUAUGGAAGAAGAAGAAGAAUUAUUUUCGUGAAAGAGAAAUGAAGAGAAAAUCAAACCGGAAAACAGAAGUUCAAAUGGUCAAAAGGCCAAAUGUCACGAAGACUUGGCAAUUCCGUUUCCGUGCAGACAAGAUUUUGCGGUCUGACUUUUGAGCAAAGAGCGAGAUUAGCAGAGAGCGAGGUUGAGCGCUCAAAAACCGUCACCUCUUUAUAGAUGCCAUAGCGUCGCCUGUUCUUGAUUUUUUUUUUCGUUUUAUCUUGUGGAAAAGAAUUAGUGCCAAACGUAAGCCAUUACCCUUCACUAGCCAAUGAAGUAUGCAGUGACGUCUUCUGGAGUACGGUUCUUGGUAUUUUUAUUUAUCCUCCCAAUAACAAUUGCAUUAUUAAUUUAUUCACACAUUAAAUAUGUCAAUAGGCAACAUGUUGACGCAUAAAAUAUGUCAUGAUCCUCUAGUGGUAUGUAUUCGAUUCAUCUAUUUUAAGAAUAUUCACCUUCAUCUAUUUUAAGAAUAUUCACCUUCUUCAAAGAUAGUGUUAGUAUAUGCGGAAACAUGUGUUUGAUAUGUAUGCAAGCAAAAGAACUAAGGGACAAUGUGAGCAAGAAAUAGUGGGACAAAGUAAUAAUAGGAAUGUGUAAAAGAGAAUGAGGCUGAGGCGGUGAAGGAGAGAAACUUGAAUGGAAGUCAACAAUAGUGGCUGAAGAAGAAACUAGUAUGUGGACAGCAAGAGUACUUGGAGAAGAAGAAAAUGAGUUGUCAGCUGUACUAUGGCCUAUGGCGGUGAAAAAGUCAAAAAUGUCAUGCUUGAAGUCGGUUGUAAUUGCCUAUAAAUAGGCUUGUCGUUCAUUUAUUUGGUGUGUGUGAGGUGAACCCUUCACCUUGUGUGGGGGUGAACCCUCCACUGUGAGAGGUCUUAAACCUCCGCUAGGACCAUAUGGAGAGUGACUAUUCAACACCUCCAUCAAAUUAUUUUGUCUUCUUCAAUAAGUUCUUGACAGCUGGAGUUUGAUGAAGAAACUUUGCUUCAUGCUUUCCGCUACUUGCUAUUUCCGAUGCACGUAGACUUCUCUAGCCUAUUCUAGGAUUUCUUCUUCAACUUGGGGUUUGCUUGCUUGUAUUCCCAUGUGAAUCUUCUAGGUUCAGCUAGCAACCACCAUUCUCAACAAUUCUAGACAAUCUUCAACAUGGAUGUUGCUACCAACGUUCUCGCCUUCAUGAUUAAGUUAAUAGUUUCUAAACAGUUUUAGAGAAAAUGGAUCAUAAUUUUCAACAUAUAGUAUUUUGGAGAGAAAAGUAUUUCAGCAGAAUUGUUCAAGGAUUUACAGAUCACUACAAUAUCACCGGAAGCAAAUAAUUAUCCAUCAUUGACAUGAACGAUAUAGCAAAAAUUCUUUUACUUGUUUACCUUAAGUUUAGCAAGAUCUGCUUAAACGACAACCUUGAGUAUCUUCAAUUCCCUUUCUCUUGCCUUCAAAAAGAUAUUGAAAUGCAACGCAGAAUCAAGACAGAUUGUCAUUAACAAAGCUGUAAAAGCCUACUCAAUCUGGCAAAAUUGGGGACAGUGUUUUCCAGCGAUCUUGACUACCUCGGUAGCUGCUGUGCAAAUGGAUAGGAAUGCAUGCAGAGGGACAAGCUGAUUGUUACCUACUUUUAGUCAUUCAUUUGAAACUGUAAGAUUCAUGUGCCAUAAGAUAGCCAAACAAGCGGGCAAAAAAUGAUGUGCCUUGCACCGAAGGUGGCAAGAGCAAUUAGAUUAAAUUCAAACCAAAAAAAGCUUGAUGCAUAAAAUGAAAAGUCAUCCAUUGAGCAAAAAAGGGUGCGUUUGGUAAGGUUUCUGUUUAAAAAUUGUUUCUGGGAACAUAAAUAAAAAAAAGUGUUUCUGUUCCAAGGAACAAGUUUUGAACAAAAAAACGCAUUUGGUAAAUCUGUUCUAGAAAUAUAAAAAAAAUAGAAACACGUUUGGUAAGUUUGUAUAUUUUUUUUUAUUUCUUUUAAUUUUUAAUAUUUUUAUUUUUAUUUUCUAUUUUCUUUCUUAUUUUUCUUAUUUAUUUUUCCUUUUUUUCUUAUUUAUUUUUCCUUUUUCCUUUUUUCUUCUUUUGGCCGGUCGCCGGCCUCGGCCAUGGCCGACGACCAGCCGACAAGGGCCGGCGGCCUCACCCAGCCAUGGCGAGGCUCGCCGGCCGCUGGGCGAGCUCGGCCUCGCUAGAUCUGGGCGAGAUCGAGCUCGCCCAGCCAGGCGCGAGGUCGGCCUCGCCGCGCUGUGCCGACGGUGACCCAGAGCCACACCAUCGUCUCCCUCCACCGCAUCGGUGACCGCGCUCGACGCCUCCUCGCCGCCACCGGAUCGGCGACCACCCCUCCGCCUCACGCCCGAUUGACGCAUCUGCAGGUCUCGAGCCUUCGUUCACCACCGCCACAUCAGAUCUCACCACGCCGUGACCCACGGCUUCGAGAUCCGCUCGAUCGUCGACCCCGCGCCGGCCCACGACUCGACCGGCCGUCCUCGCCGCUCCGCUCCUAGACGUCCGCCGCUCGAGACCCCACGGCCGAGCCCCGCACCGCAGCCGCCGCCGCCGCCCAGCGACCCGCGACCCAGCUCCGUCACCCGCUCACAGGUGGAGAUGCUCGCAGCGGCUGUCGGCGCCGGAGAGGACGACGGUGGAGAAGCCGGAUGGUCUCGAGACAGAGGCGGCUGUCGGCGCCGGAGAAGACGACGGUGGAGACACUUGCAGAAGGAGAGGCUCGCAGGAGAACACGAUUUUGUUUCUUUUUUGUUCUUCAAAUAUGUUUCAGAAAUAAGAAAUAAGAAAUUCUUGUUUCUUAUUUUUGUUUGUUUCUUAUUUUUGUUCCCUUUUUGUUUCUAGGAACAAAAAAACAAAAAAGAAACAGAAAUGCACCCAAACGCGUUUCUGUUCCUUUUUUGUUCCCAGAAACAAAAAAAUAGAAAUUUUUGUUCGUGGGAACAGAAACACGGUGCAAACAAACGCGCCCUAAAUGACAAAGUAAGUGCAAUGAGAGUCAUUGAUGUUCACGCCAAACGUAUGCCAUGACCAUUCCUUAGCCGAGAGAAUGUAAGCAGCGACAUCUUCUAGAUAGUGGUUACUGGCAAUUUUUUUUUUUUUUAUCCCCGGCCUGAUCAAAUUAUCCGAGUUAUAAACUCAGAAAGAAGUUAAUGAGCAAUCUACCGCUAGGACCUAUGAAGGGUCAUAUGUUGUUGGUUACACAUCGUGUUGGAAUAUAAUAUACGGAAAUGAAAAGAUCUUGCAAUUUACGUCAACGUGCAAACUCCAGAAAAAUAAAUGAGAAAUAAUAAGAACACCAUAACUUUACGUGAUUCGGUCCGAGUAUUAGUACCUACAUUCACGGGAGAGUUAGCAACAAAUAACCCACUAUAAUAAAAAAAUCAGAGUUUACAAUCGCUCACAUGCUUGAGUAUUUUCUACACCUAGAUUUCAACUCAAGAGUUUAUAAAUAAACAACUCAUUUUAACAUAAAUUCACGACAUAAAAUUACCACUCGUUCAAAAACAAAAUGCUCUACGUACGCCAAAAACAAGAAUUCCAGCAUUUAUCUUUUGGUUCGCGUAGAUACGGAUUUGUGUUCUUCUUUGCUUGAUCGUGCGGCGCUAUUCUAGACGUUCCUUUUGGCUCUUUCUUCUUCGUAGGGCUUCAGUAACUUUUUCUAUAAAAAAAAAAAAGGACGUUCUAUUUUAUAUAUGUGCCUAGAGUCAACAACUUUGACUCUGGGCCCACCAUGUGCUUCUUUCUUCAGUGGGAAGUGGGACGCUGCAGGUAAGGCGAAGAAACCUUCCUUUUAUUCAUUUUUCUUCAUAUUUCCUUUAUUUUAUGGGAUAUGUUUGGCAGAAGUCCUAAAACUUGUCCAGAAAGUGCAAUUGAGUCCUAAAACUUACAAAAAGUUCAAUCAAGUCCUAAAACUUGUCAAAUUGGUUCAAUUGAGUCCUAAAGUUAACACCGUUAAGAAAAUUAACAGAAAUUGCUGACGUGGCGCUGACGUCAUAUUUUAAAUGAUCUUUUUUAUUUUUCAAAUAGCUUUUUUAAAUUAUUUUUAUUCAAAAUCUUUAAAAAUUAGAUUAAAAACUAAAAAGGAAAAUCUAAAUUUAUUAAAAAAACAAAAUUGUUCAAAAAAAAAAAAAGAAAAAAGGGCGGUGGACUUUCGCCGCUGCCCAUCGCCGAAGGGGCCGGCGAUCGUCGCCGGCCCUGGGCGGGGGCGAUGGUCGCCAUCCCUUGCCUGGGGCCGAGCAACCGUCGCCCGCCUUGGGCGAGGCCUCGUCGGCCCUCGCUUGGGGUCGGCGAGGCUCGCUAGAUCUGGGCGAGCCUCGCCCUCGCCAGCCACCCCUGCCCAGGGCCGACAACUGUCGCUCGGCCCCUUCGGCGAUGGGCGGCGGCGGCGGCGGCGGCGGCAGCGGCGGCGGGGAGAAGAGGGCUGCUUUUUUUUAAAACAAUUUUAAAAAUAACUUUUAUAACUUUUCUUUUUAAUUUUUAGAUAAAAUGAAUAAAUUUAAUUUUUUAGUUUUAAUUCUUUUUUUAAAAAUGAAUAAAAAUCAUUAAAAAAAUCCACGUGGAAAAUAAAAAAUAAUUAAAAAUGAUACGUCAGCAUUUUUAACAGAAAAAGCUAACGGUGUUAACUUUAGGACUUAAUUGAACUAACUUGACAAGUUUUAGGACUUGAUUGAACUUUUUGUAAUUUUAGGACUCAAUUGCACUUUUUGGACAAGUUUUAGGACUUCUGCUGAACAUAUCCCUUAUUUUAUAUAUGUUGUGUGCCUAAAGUCAAGACUUUUGACUUUGGGCCCACAUAAAUAACCUUGUUUGGCUCCCGUAGAUAAAGAAGAAACUUUGUUCUUUUUAUUAUUAUUAUAUUUUCUUUCCUCUUUCGUAAACCUUCACAAAGUCCAACAAAGCUUCUUCUAUUGAUCGAAACAAUCAAAGACCCAAAAAGAAUUUCGAAUUUAUUUUCUUGUGCAUAAUCUUGAAUAUUAUCUUUAUCAGAAAAAUAUCUUCACGAUCAAAUAAUAAAAUUUUUAUCCAAGCGGAUCGCAUUUUGCAAAUACUCAAACUCGAGACAUAAUUUAACACAUCCGACAUGAUAUACUGCCCAAUUACUAUCCUCUGACAAUUUAUAUUUGAUUAAUCUAAUUCAAGAAUAUUCAUUUGUUAGACUUGUUGGCUUACACGCCACUGUCACGUGAUAUAUCCUAUAUUGAGAAUACUCAAUGAGCUUUGACUCUAGAUACUUGGGAGCAUCUAUGCUUGUUUUAUGUAUGUUAUGCUUGUGAUGCAUCUUGUUUUGAGUGGACUGUAGAAAUAUUUAAGUUCGUGCCAAUUUGACUAAUUUUUUAUCUGGAUAAGUGCAUUGGAAGAUUUAAAACUUAUCAUAAAAAUACAAUUAAGCCAUGAAACUUUGAAAUCAAGUUCUAGAACUUGUCACAUUGGUCUAAUCUAAAUCCUACCAUUGCAUUUUUGAAAAUUUCGGUACUUAACUGCAAUUUUCUAACAAGUUUUAGUAUUUCCAAUAUACUUUUUUUUUUUCAACCUCAGUAAUGUUUUUAAGCAACAAUGAGCUUGACAUAUCUCUGUUUUCGGAAUUUCAGUGGCUAUAGGAAACAAAAGGACGUCCUCUAAUGAAUCAACAAUCUUCUGCCAUGACAAAGCUGGAAGAGAGAUGAGUGUCUUCCAUAGUUAUAAAAAAUGUUCAUGCAAUAAUCUGUAGGAAUUCGUCUUCCUGACGUGCAUGAACAUUUCCGGCCAUGAAACAUUUCACGGUGAAGACAUUCUGUCACUUAAACCGGCAAAAGGAUAUCGAGCUUGUUCUUUUGGCGAGUGUAUUGCCGUCAAAUAUGCCUGAUUAAUUCCACGACUAUUAGCAUUUGUUUAAAUAGAGCAUACAACCUAAAAUGCUCACAAAGGUAGCUGGUACUGGAUCCUCAUGUCUGCCCAUGAAAUUCUGAGUGCCUCAGACAUGGCAUAUCAGGCACACAAACAAUUCUCAACCCAGAAAUUAGUACGUACACAACAAAAGUUUAAAAAAAAAAAAAUUGGUUUGGUUAAUGUGGAAAUUUAACAUCAUGACAAGCAUAAAAAACUGUUCAGCAGUACAGUAGAGAGGUCAAGACCUGAGAACACUGUAUUGAGACUUAUUCAGAUGAACACUUCAGAUAGUCACUGAAAAGCUAAGGAGCAGAUGAAUUGAAUAAAGAACAAUGGCGAUGAUAAUACCUGCGGCUGAAUUUGUAGGGGGAGAGAAGUCCUAGAAACCGUCAUAGAUGCCAUAGCGAUGGAUGUUCACGAUUAAUCUUUGAGCUUACUAUUGUGGAAAAGUAUUAGUGAUUCGCCAAACGUAACCCAUGACCCUUCCUUAACCAAAGAACGCAUGCAAUGACAUCUUCUGGAGAGCGGCUCCUGGAAUUUUUCCAUCCACAACCUAAUUGCAUUAUCAACCUACUGACACAUAAAAGAUGUCAAUAGGCAAUGUGCUGUUGCACCACUGGACCCGCAAAUGGUCAUCAAUGUCGGUUAUACCGCCAAUAAUUUGUACCUGACCCUUCAUAGUCGUAUUAUUCGAUUAAUCUAUUUAAAGAACAUUCAUUUUCUUCAAACAUGCUUUCUCACGUGCCACUGUAAUAUGAUGUUUUUGAUACACAAAAUACUAUCUCUUCAAGAGCUUUGACUCCUAUAUACUUGGGACAUUAAAUUGUUUUAGCAACAAUGAGCUUGGGAUAUCUCUGUUUUCGGGAUUUCAGUUGCUAAGGGAAACAAAAAGGACGUCCUCUAAUGAAUCGACGGUAUUUUGCUAUAACAAACCUGGAAGAGAGAUGAGCGUCUUACAUAAUUACAAAAAAAUGAUCACGCAAUAGUUGGUAGAAAUUUACUCUGCUGACGUGCAUGAACAUUCUGAACAAAAAACGGAAAACAUGCAUGAACAUUUCCGGCCAGGAAGCAUUCACGAGGAGCUGAGAGACACUCUAUUUCUUAAAGCAGCAAAAUGAUUACGAGCUUGUUCUUUUGGUGAGUGGAAUGAAUAAAUUGUUCAAAAAAUCCUAAACUUAUUGUCCGACCACUAAUUUAAUUCUAAACGUUUUAAUUUGAUCAAUGUUGUCUAAAACUUUUGACAAUUUUUUGUAGUCCACCUAGUUAAAUUUAGGUCGAAAAUCAGUGAUGAAGCAAUUUAGUAAACACUAGCUGUUUUAAGUGAUACAACCGAUAGCUGAUAUAGAUGAUCUUAAAUGAUGUGGCGUCGUUUCACAAUUUUUUAAUAUUCUUUCUUUUUCUUUUUUAGUAAUUUUUUUUCCUAUUCUUUCGUUCUCUAGUGUUCAUUUUCUUCCCUCUGCCGGUGGCCGAUGCCUCAGCAAUGACCGGCGACCAUCAUAGGCUACAAGUGAGGGCAUUGAGCGAGACUUGCAAGCCUUCUCCUAGAUUUGGGCAAGGGCCCUAUAGGCCCUCAUUGGCCGUAGGCAAGGUUGGGGACUUGCAAGCCCUUGCCUAGAUCUACCCUCUAAUGGGGUCAAUGCCUGCCAUCACCAAAGCCUCAAUGUCUUGCUCUGGAAAGAAAAUGAACAGCAGAGAAGGAGACAAUAGGAAAAGAAAGAAAAAAGAAAAAGAGAGGAAAGGAAAAAGGGAAAAAAUCUGAAAAUAAUAACAAAAAAUUGCAAAAUGACGUUGUUUCAUUUAAGAUCAUCCAUGUCAAUUGCCAAUCAUGCAACGUGGCCUACCUUGUUGGAUGUAGUAGAUUUAGGAUAUUUUGAAUAUUUUUCUCCUAUUAAAUAUGCCCGGUUUAUUUGAUAUCCUAAAAUUUGUCAACUUUGUGAAAUCAAGUUCUAAAAUUUGUUGGCACUCUUUUCAUAUUGGAUGAAGUUAAUGAAAUGACUUGAUUACAACUACUUGGUAAGUUUUAUGACUUGAUUGUAAUUUUUGAAAAUUGUCGGACUCAAUUGCAUCUCUAUAAUAAGUUUUAAAACUUGAUUACGCUAUCUAAAAAUUUUAAGAUUUUCAAUAUACUUAUCCCUAAAAUAAAAUAAAAAGGGCCUACCCCCUUUACAUGAACUCUUUAAUUUAAACGCACCAUGGAAUUUCCUGUCCUUUUACACAAUUUCAUUAACUAAGAUUUUAUUUUAUUUUUUGGGUUAAAACCAAGAUUUAGUUCUUCUUCUUCUUUUUUUUCGGACCAGCCAAGAUUUAGUUCAAAGAUAGAUAUUUUGAGGAGAAAAAAAUUUCAGCAAACUAUGCAAGGAUUUGCAAAAGAUCGCAACAAUAUUACCGGAAGCAUAUAAUUAUUUAUCACUGACGAAUGAUAUAGUAAAAAUUCUUUUAGAAGUUUACCUUAAGUUUAGCAAGAUCUGCUUAUUCGGCAGCCUUGAGUUUCUUCGAUUCCUUCUCUCUUGCCUUCAAACAGAUAUAGAAAUGGCAACGCAGAAUAUCAAGAUAGAUUGCCAUUGACAAAGCUGUAAAAGCCUACUCAAUCGAGCAAAACUGGGACAGUUUUUCCAGCAAUCUUGACCACCUCCGUAGCAUGCCGUGGAAAUAGAUAGGAACACAUGUAGAGGGACAAGCUGAUUAUCACUUGCUUUUAGUCAAGCAUUCGAAACUUUGAGAUUCAUGCACUAUAAGAUAGCUAGACAAGCAAAAAAAAUGAUGGGCAUUUCAGUUGAGGUGUCAAGAGCAAUUAGAUUGAAUUCAAACCAAAUAAAGCUUGACGCAGAAAAGAGAAAUGUUGUGCAUUGAGCGAAUAUAUGACAAAAUAAGUGCAAAGAGAGUCAAUGAUGUUCUAGCGCUUUGGCCAAUUGAGUUCUUAAAAUUUUACUUUGCUUAAUUGAAUCCUCGGCCUUUUCAAUUUCAGUCAAUUGAGUCCCUCAACCUUGAUCCUCGGAAAUAGUCACAUGGCUAUGAUUUUCCAAGUUGAUAAGAAGAUGCUCGAGAAGAAAACCGGGUAGGAGGUGAAAUGGGACCUAAGUGCAAGUUUUACUAUUUCAGUAACUACAAUUGAUCUGACAGAAGGUUGAACUUUCAUGGAUCUGGCACUUCGUUUGAAGCUAUACAAACAGAAAUCAGCGGGCUCAAGAAGCCAAUCUUUUAGACAGUUUCUGAAUUAUCACACAGAAAAGCACUAGGAUAUCUUUACACAUUCACUUAUUAUAUCCUCUAUAAACUAACAGUUAUUAGAGUAUAUUAGGCAUCAUUUAUUUGUAGUACAUUAGGUACAGAUGUCCUCUCUCUGAAAUUCCCUCUUUUCCUCUUCUUACGAUUAGCUUUGCCAGAAGAUGUUUCCAACUUCCGACAUUGAUGAUGUCAUUUCAAGGAGUUCUCAAUGUUUAUCACAAAUCGGUACUUAACAUCUCUCUUGAUGAGCCCCUCAAGGGCUUCAUUGGCAUAAUCGAUCAGUAUCACUUCGAUUUCUUGGUGUAUGUGCUGUGGCGCACAGAGGUCUAUCAUUUCUUGGAUAUACUUCAUUCCUCCAGUAGCGCUACCCAAAACUGUUUUCAUACCUGCAAAAAGUUCAUUGUGAGCAACUUAGUUGGCUUGCCUAUCAGGUAUCAAUAUUUCAUUCGGUAAUGAGCUUUGAGAAUAAAAACAUACCAAGGUUAAGGGAGGAAGUACACUAAUGGUGCCAUAAGUUAUGUACGGCGCUCACUUUGGUGUCAAAAAUUUUUGUCGGAUCACUUAAGUGCCAAAAAUUUUGAAAAACGAUCACUUUGGUGCCAUCGUCGAUUUGGUUGGUCGGAAAUCUGACGUGACAAUUUUUUAUUAAUUUUUUAUGCCGACGUGGAUCGUCGGAUAAUACAAUCAACAAACAAAGAACAAAACGAUGCCGUUUACCAUUUUCCCCCAAAUAAAAACCCCUAAAUCCCUAAUUUCGACUAGAACUGGAAGUUGAAAACCCUAAAUCCCCAAUUCGACCAUUUCGAGUGCAUAUUUCGAUUUUCUGCCAAAGUUAUCAACUUGCUUUUGCAAAUGGAGGACAAAAGUUUCAACAGUGGCUCGCAUUCCUAUAAGAAAAGCGAAUUAGAUGGUGAGUGUUACUGUUAUUGUGGGUUACCGAGUCCGAGAAGAAUAUCUUGGACUUGGUUGAAUCCCGGGAGAAGAUUCCAUGGGUGCGGCAGAUAUAGAGAAAGCUCGAAGUGCCAUUAUUUCAAAUGGGUUGAUAGGAAAUUCUCUAAUCGAGCGACAUAUGUGAUAUUGGAGUUACUUGAAGGCCAAAAUCAACCUCCAUCUAUGUUAAUGGACGAGCUGGGGGAUGUCGACUCAAUACAAGCUCAAAUGAAGGGUUUAACAUCUCUGAUGGACCAUUUGAAGAGAGAGGUUUCAAGGCUGAAAAUUGAAAGAAACUUUAUCGAGCGUUGAUUGUAUUCUUAUUCUCUUGGGUAGUUUAUUCAAAUGUAAAGUGAGUAAUGAGAAGAAAUUUGUAUGUCUACCAUAGUCGAAGACGUGGAAUAUGCACUUGUAUUGGAUUAUUUAUAAGUAAAAUGUGUUUUUUGGUUUGUUGCAAUUUUUAUAUAGAGCAGAAUGUUUUAUUGUUGUAAUCUAUAGGUAGAAAUGUAAGGUUGGACUUGGAAUGCAUUAGUUGUGAGCACUUAAAAAGUUUUGUUGUUUAGUUGUGUAUUGUCAAUGUUUGUUUUUGUUAGUUUUUACUUCAAAUAUAAUGGUUUACUGCAUUUUUUAUUUGGUAAUAGUUUGCUGCAUUGAAAGCAAACGGUAAUGGUUUGCUGCAUUUUUUAUUUGGUAAUGAUUUGCUGCAUUGAAAGCUUUUGAUAAUGGUUUGCUGCAUUUUUUUUAUUUGGUAAUGGUUUGCUGCAUUUUUUAUUUGGUAAUGGUUUGCUAGUUUGCUGGUUUGCUUCAACUGUUAAACCAUGGCUGAAUGGCCGAAAUUAAAGAAUGGUGCCAAAUUCACGAUUGAUCAUUUCAGUGCCAUAAGUUGUAAAUAGUGAUCGCUUAAGUACCAAGUUUUUAUAGAAGUGAUCAUUUAAGUGCUAGUCGCAAUUACAAAGUGAUCACUUAUGUUGCACAAGUUUUUUAAAAAAUAACAUGUUAGUGCCAAACGUCACAUUCCAAAUGCACAGAGUUCUUGCACCAGUUGAGUUGCUGGUGCAUCUUCUUGCACCAACCCAUACAGAUGUCGAUGCAACAAGAUGUACCAGCACCCAAAGUGCUCUUGUAGCAGCACAUAUAAUCAGAACCCCACAAAUUCAUUAUAAUCCACAACUUUAACCAACAACAGCAACAUUGCAGCAACAACAACAUUGCAAUAACAACAAAAAUAAAAUAUAUAGCAUAACUAACUUGCUAGCAUUCUAGCUAAAACCAACACAAGAGAAAAUGAAAAGUCAUUCCAGUACUUGCCAUUAACAUUGCUUGAUUGUUUACAAAAUACAAAAUACAAAAAAAAAAAAAAAAAACAUGUCUAACUUCACUCCCUAAUCAUCAAAAGUUCAGCACUUUCCUAAAAAAAAACAAUGGCAAUAUGCAAGCAGCAACUACCAUUGAUGAUAUAAUAUCCAGCACACUCCUAAAAAAAGAAAACAUGGAAAGAGACCAUGUCUAGCAUCACAUAAAAAGAGACCAUGUCCAACACCCUCCCAUCAGUCAAUAUUGACAACACCCUGAUCUCUUUUUCUUAUUAGAGCUUUGAAUUGAUUCAUAAUCCGAGCACUCUUUCGAACUGGAUGUGCAGGUUCUUAACUGGGCUUUCUGUCACCUCAUUUUCCUUUUCCUUGUUUUUUACGGCAGCUAUUUUUGUUCUAGCACGUAUCAUGUGUUGGUCCAUAUCAUCACUACUGCUCCCAAUCGUUGGUUGAGAUGGAACUAGUGAUGGGUUCUUUUUGGAUGGCUGUUUCGCAGCUAUACCCACUGUCUUCUUCUUCUUCUUCUUUGGAGCACUCUUCUUUGGAUGCGCCCUUAAUUCUUGAGUUGGCCCACCUUGAGAGAGAAGUACCUCUGAAGUUCUCCCAGGCUACAAGAACAUAAUGAUAUUGUCAACCAAAUGAAUUGAAGUACAACAAAUUAAAUGCAUAAGGCCUAUAAAUUUUACAUUCAAAAUAGUCAUUCCAGUACGUUCAUCUGUGUAAAUCCCAUAACCAUAUUGCCUUAAUUUUUUUCCAAGAGCCCCUUUUGUUCGCUGUGAUGCAUCAUUUUCAGCAACAACAAUCUGAUAUUGCUAGUAUGAGUACCUAGAGGGGGGUGAAUAGGUAUAUAAAGAGUUUUUCUCAAGCAAUUGCACAAUACUAGACAGUUGGAUGAAACGAUAAUCAAAGUAAGACUGAGAGAAGAGAAAAUUUAAUACGCGGUUUAUAGUGGUUCGGCUUAUAUCAAGCCUACGUCCACUCUUCUUCACUGACAGCCUAUUGGCUGGAUUCCACUAUGAACAAGAGAGAGGUUACAGCACAGCUUUGCCUUGAUUCCACAGUGUAGAUGUUCUACUACACCUCCUCAAGAUUUCUCACAAAUAUAGACUCUCUCUUUCGUAUACAAGUAUUCGCUCAAAGGAUUUGUCUAAACAAAAAGAAGUUUCAGACUUUGGAAUUCUUCUAUCGCGCACACCUUGAACAACUAAGACAGUCUUCCUUAUAUACUCCUUUAUGCCAUCAUACCCGUUGGCACUUACCAAAGGAAUUCCUCCAAUCUACCCGUUGAACGGAAUCAAUUAGGAAGAUUGUCCAAGCUAUAAAUGGAACGUGUUGAUAGCCCAUCAAUCAUGUUCGCCCAUACAAUCAGGAUCUCGGUUUCCAUAAGCAGAACCUUCCAAUAAUAUUUAGGCAAUCACCGGAUCUUCAAUUAUCGAAUCAAUCUUCGAUCAAUCAAAGGACUCCGUUUAUGUCUUCUCCAGCCAUGAGAUCUUCUCCAGUUGAUAAGGUUAAAUCCUCAACGAAACAUCCAGUUCUGGAUAACCUUUCUUCAACAAAUUAGAGACUGUCAAUGAGGAUAGACUUUGAGUCUUGAGUCUAGCUGUCCUAAGGUCUUUAGACUUUAAAUAGCAGAGUCUGCAAGCCUUCAGACUAGACUGAUAUAAACGAUUUGUCAACUUCAAAACACUUCAAGAAGAUUUCUCCAACAAUCUCCCCCUUUUUGAUGGUGACAAAACUUUCCUGCAGAUUUGGAUAUCUUUGACCUGCAAAACAUUUCUCAAACACAUAUACAUAUCUUAUAGAGGUAAAUGUCUUAACAGAAUAACACUAGAAUCUGCAACCACAGAAAAUAGGUUAGUCCAGUAUAUGAUGAAGCCAUCCAUAAGAUAUCAAUAUUAGUUAAUAGAAGCAGUCAAGUCCAAGUCUAGUUUACUUCUCAUCCAAACACAAACCAAAGUCAAAUAGAUUCAAACCACAAAACAAUCCAACAAAAACAAUUAAAAGUUGAAUGAAAGGUUUUUAAUCAAAUCUUGCAUCUCUCCCCCUUUUUGUCAUCAUUAAAAAGGAUGAGAUGAAGUUAAGAAUGCUUGGGAACGCGGACAAGCUGGAAAUCUUCCAUAGACUGAACAAUGCCUUCCAACCUUUUAAAGUCUUCCUUUAGCUGUGCAAUCUCCUCACUCUUGGCAUUGGCCUGAUUCUGAACAGAGAGGGCUUGCAUUUUAUCAUUCAAUAAACAGGAAGAAGCUUGACCUUCAUUCUUCAAGCUUUGAACUUCGCAUCCCAAGGCAUAAAUCUGACCUCGCAUCUCCAAAAGAAUAUCCAUGAUUCUGCGAAAAUCUGCUCCAUUAUCAGUUUGAGUACUUGCUUCGGCUCGAUCUGAUGGAGUAAAUGCAGAUGAUGGUAGAUCAGCAUAAUCUUGCAGGUUUGGCGAUGAAACUUCAUGACCUUCUUCUGGAAAUUGAGAUGCAUAAACAUCCUCUGGAUCUGCUGGUGAGCGACUGAUUCCUUCACUUGCAUCAGGACAUGAAGACUUCACUCCUUUCUCCUGAUCUCCCCCUGUUUCCAUGCCUACAGGUGGAGAAGAGUGUUCUUCAGGUUCUCCUUCUUCUCUUCUUUCUUCUUCAGGUCUUUCCUCCUCUGUUUCUUUUUCAGCUUCUAUUUCUUCUUCUUCCUUCUCCUCUGCUUCUUUCGUCAUUUGCUCCGAUUCUUUCUGUGGAACAAGACGACUUAAAUUCUUCAAAGCCAAUGCAGAGAUGGUGAUGUCUUCCUCAUCAUCUUCAUCCUCAACAAGGAGAGCUCUUCUUCUCUUGGAUGGAGCAACCAUGGGCUCCUUCCCUUUUCUUUUAGCUGCAGAAGAUAUUUGAUGAGAUUUUGCAGGAGUCUUCUCCUUGAAUUUCUCCAACUCCUUGCUCAGUUCUUUCAGACGCAUUUUGGUCACCAUUUUCAGACCUACCACCAUAUGAUCGCAUGGUCGAACACAAAAGAUUUGUAGAGGCUGAAUAUUCAGAUGUCUGAAUAACUUCGUAACAAGGCUUGGGUAAGGGAGUUGACCUCCGUCCUUCAUCAUUGCUCUAUACAUGUGAAACAUCACAGUGUGAGGGAGAGAAAACCUUUUUCCAAAGAGAAUGGCAUACAUCAACUUGGCCUCUGAACUUGAAACAUCAGUCUUGGAAGUCGAUUUCGGUCGGAUGCAAUUAAUCACAAUCUUGUGAAGCAAGAUGUUGAAUGCACCCAUCCUUAAGUAGGUGAUCUUUUCAUCUGUUCUCCUGUCCUUCACCAGUUCAAGAGUGGCCCGAGCAAUGGAAACUUUGAUUGGCUGAUAUCUUCCUCUUUCGACUUCUAACACAUCUGCCAGCAUAUUCAUAUCCACAACAUAAUCUUGGUUUUUAACGCUGAACGAGAAUCUAUUCGCAUCCAAAAAGCUUAGAUUUGAAUAGAAAUAUGCAGUUAAUUCAGCAUAGGCCUCUGUAGAGUCAGAGCAGAACUUUUCAAGUUGAAGAUAACUGAACUUUUCCCUCAAGUUCAUAUUCACAGCAUCCAGAAAAUCGAAAUCUACACUCCUAGGGUUUAUCACCCCACGCUUCAGCAAUUUCGAGUACAGAUCCUUUUGCUCCUUUGAUCUGAACAAAUCUCCCCUUUUUCCUUGGUUAUCAACCGCAACACCCAUUUUCGGUUGGAAUUGACUGUACAAUUUAUCAUCAUCAUUCCCAUCUACAGGAUUCGGCCCCCAGUCACGAGGAUCACUUGGGAUAUUUGCAAGGGUUUCCUCAGCCACCCCUUUUCGAGCAAUUCCCAAACUUUCCAUUUUUUUCAGAAAGAUAUAUUCGUUCCCAUGUCCUUUGUCUUUAAGAAAAUCAUCAAUGUAGUUCAAAGGAGUACGAAUUCCUUUUAGGGCACGAUAUAACUGGUAAAUAUAAGUGGGCUUUUGAACUCUUACAGGGUCUGCAUCCUCGAUGAUUUCUUCCUGUUGUUGAUGAUCAACGCCUUGAGGACUAGAUGGAGGAGAAUGACACUGUUGAGAAUGUUGUGGGCUCGCUUGCUGAUCUGGAGUCACUUCAUCUUCAGUAAGAUCGAAGUGCGUAGGCCCCUCACUCAUCCGCCGUGGUCCCCUGCUUGCAAUUCUCGAAGACUUUCUUGAAGAUGACAUCUUAGUUUUUGGAAGAUUCCUUGCUUGACUUUCCCAGGAAAGAUGACAACUUUUUAAGGAUUAAACGAAGAAGACAAACGGGAAUGGAGGAUCGAUGCUUUCUAGGGUUUUUGAGAGAAAAGUGAAGAGGAAUCGAUAGUUCACGAUCGGUUAAGAAGAGGGAUAAACGAACCAUCAUAAAGGAAAUAAAAAUAUGCCUUUUCAAAAUAACUGUCUUUUUCCGCAAAAAUAGCCAUUUCAAAAAUAACUUCCCUUUUGAAAAUGAAACGAUGCAAUAUUUACUUCAAUUAAAUAUAGCAACAAUUUAAACACAGUCUGACAAUCGUACCUUUUCAAGAUGAGAUUCAAGAGAGAAAGACUUACAGUCUGACGGACGUACCAAGACUGUCUUUCAGAUAAAGUCUUGUAAGUCUGAGUCUGAAAGUCUUUAGACUUUGAUAUCCUCAUACCUCAAAAUGUUGAGUCUCGAGCGUAUAGACUCAAAUUGAUUUUUCUCCAAAGGCUUUGUGAAUAUAUCCGCCAGUUGAUUCUUUGAGUCAACAAAUUGAAUUGAAACAUCUCCAUUUUGAACAUGGUCUCUUAUAAAAUGAUGUCGAAUCUCUAUAUGCUUUGCUCUUGAGUGGAGAAUUGGAUUUUUGGUGAGGUUGAUAGCGCUGGUGUUGUCGCAAUUAAUUUCCGUGCAUGAGUCUUCAAUUUCAAAGUCUCUUAGCUGUUGUUUUAUCCAUAGAAUUUGCGAAUAGCAGCUUCCCAGAGCUACAUACUCUGCUUCUGUUGUUGAAAGAGACACAGUGCUUUGUUUCCUUGAAAACCAAGACACUGUCCUGCUUCCAAGCAACUGGCAAGUUCCCGAAGUGCUCUUUCUAUCAACUCUGCAAUCGGCCAGAUCUGCAUCUGAAUAUCCCAUAAGAUUAAAGUCUCCCUUCUUAGGAUACCAAAGACCGAUGCUUGAUGAUGAAGCAACGUAUUUAAUGAUGCGUUUCGCAGCACUGAGAUGGGAUUCUCUAGGAUCUGAUUGAAACCUAGCAUAGAUGCAAACACUCAACAAGAUGUCAGGUCUAGAAGCAGUAAGAUAAAGGAGUGAACCAAUGAUGCUUCUGUACAGCUUUUGAUCAACUUUCUUCCCUUCUUCAUCUUUGUCUAUCUUCAAAGAACUUGACAUCGGUAUGUCGGUCUUUUUGCACUUUUCUAAUCCAAAUCUUUUGACAAGAUCAUUAACAUAUUUUUCUUGAUAAAUAAAGGUUCAUUCCUUCAAUUGUUUUACUUGAAGACCAAGAAAGAAUGUUAACUCUCCCAUCAUACUCAUUUCAAAUUCAUCCUGCAUAGACUUAGAAAAUUUCUUGCACAUAUUUUCAUUAGAAGAUCCGAAUAUAAUGUCGUCCACAUAUAUUUGAACAAGUAAGAAACUUUUGUUCUCCUUUUUGAUAAAUAAAGUAGUAUCCACUUUACCUUUGACAAAACCAUUUUGUAUUAAAAACUUACUUAAUCUGUCGUACCAAGCUCGAGGUGCUUGCUUUAAACCAUACAGAGCCUUCUUCAGUCUGAAGACUGAGUCUGGCUUCUUUGGGUCUUCAAACCCUGGUGGUUGUUCCACAUAAACUUCCUCUUGGAUGACUCCAUUUAGGAAGGCGCUUUUGACGUCCAUUUGGAAUAACCUGAAAUUCUUAUAACAAGCAAACGCAAGUAAUAGUCGAAUAGCUUCUAACCUUGCUACUGGAGCAUAAGUCUCAUCAUAGUCUAUUCCUUCUUCUUUCAUAUAUCCCUUGGCCACGAGUCUUGCUUUGUUUCGUAUGACUUUUCCUUUCUCAUUCAUCUUGUUUCUGAACACCCAUUUAGCUCCAAUAACAGUUUUACCUUUUGGUUUGGAUGUCAAUUUCCAGACAUCAUUAAUGCUAAACUGUCUGAGCUCUUCUUGCAUAGCUUCAAUCCAGCUUUCAUUAGAUAAAGCUUCUUCUAUGCUUUUUGGUUCAAUUUUAGAAACGAGAGCCACAACACUAGACUUUUCUCGCCUUUUGGAUCUAGUGCGAAUUCCUUCAUUCAUUUCGCCGAUUAUAAGAUCUUUGGGAUGACUGGACUUAUGCUUCCAGUUACUCGUUGAUCUGUCUGGUUGAUGAUUUCUUUCUUUGUUUGGAUCUUCACGAACAUCUUGAAGCUGGUUUUCCAGAGUCUGAGAUGCUUCUUGAGAUGUAAGCUUUGGAAGAUCUGGAGCAGGUUCAGACUCUUCUUGAUGAGUCUGACUUGAUUCAUCUUGUGUUGAGUCUUGGAAUUUGACAUUCAUUGACUCCUCCAUAAACUGGCUCUUCUUGUUAUAGACUCUGAAGGCUUUGCUUGAUGUAGAAUAUCCAAGGAAGAUACCUUCAUCUGAUCUUUCUUCAAACUUACCAACUUGAUCUUUUGCAUUUUUCAAUAUAAAACAUUUGCAACCGUAUACAUGAAAGUAUGAAACAAUAGGCUUCUUAUCUUUGAACAAUUCGUAAGGGGUUUUCUCUAGAAUAGGUCUUAAGAAGAUUCUAUUGAUGAUAUAACAUGCUGUUGAAACAGCUUCAGCCCAAAAUCGUGAAGAAAUCUUGCUUUCAAAUAAAAGAGUUCUAGCCAUUUCCUGAAGAGAUCUGUUCUUUCUUUCCACAACUCCAUUUUGCUGAGGAGUAUAUGGAGAGGAGAACACAUGAUUAAAGCCAGAUUCAUCACAAAAUUUUGUAAAAUCUUGAUUUUCAAAUUCACUUCCAUGAUAUGUUCUUAUACUUGAGAUAACACAUCCUUUUUUCAUUUUGAACCUUUUUAGCAAACUUUUCAAAAUACGAGAAGGUUUCAGACUUACUUGCAAGGAAAUAUACCCAAGUAAAACGGGAGUAAUCGUCCACAAUUACUAGGCAAUAUUUCUUACCUCCAAUACUCUGUGUUCUGGUUGGUCCGAAGAGAUCCAUAUGCAGCAACUGUAGUACAUGAUUAGUAGAGACAUGAUUUAUUGGCUUGAAUGAAUUUCUUAUCUGCUUUCCCAGAAUACAUGGAGUGCAUGGAUCAGUCUUUUGAUAAGGUAAUUUGGGUAGUCCUUGAACAAGCUGCUUUGAUGAGAUUUUGGCUAAUUGCUUCAUGUUAACAUGACCAAGCUUUCUGUGCCAUAAGCUUGCUUCGUCUUGAAUUGAGAUAAAACAUUGCGAUUCAUUUGGUUUCACAUCCAGAAGAUAAAUGUUUCCAUGUCUACGACCCAUGAAAGACUGAGUAGAGUCUUUACUGAUUCCAGAACAUAUUCCUUCUUGAAAAAAGAUCUUGAAACCAGUAUCACACAAUUGACUAAUGCUGAGAAGAUUGUAAUUGAGUCCUUCCACUAAGGAAACAUUACUUAUUGUGAGAUUUCCAAUUUUCACAGUUCCAAAUCCCACAAUACUCCCUUUGUUGUUUCCUCCAAAUGAAACUUUUCCACCAUUUACUUGAGCAAUCUUUAUAAAACAAUUUGAGUCUCCUGUCAUGUGUCUUGAGCAUCCACUGUCAAGAUACCACUUUACCUUUUUCUUGACGGUGACCUGCAUUUAAAAAAGAGUCUCAAGCUUUCUUUGGUACCCAAACUUUCUUGGGUCCUUUUGUGUUAGUAACAUAAGCAGUAUUAGCCCAUAUUCUCUUAACAGGUUUCCAAACCAUAGGACACUCUUUUUCAAGGUGAUCCGGACUGUUGCAUUUUGAACAUUUUAGAGCAUUUCUUCCUACAGAUUUUACAAAAACUUUCUUGAAGUGAUUUUUGUAAACCUCUCUCGAGAGUCUUUUCUUAAUUCUUUCUUUUACUUUAGGAAAAUCAAUCAGGGGAAUUGUUUCUUCUGUCAUACCUAAACCGGACUUAUUGAAGUAAGGUCUUUGAGCUGAAAGAAUUUUCUCAAGUUUUUCGGACCCUAUUGAAAAUUUCUUUGAGAUAUUUGAUAAGUCUGUUUUUAAAAAAGCAUUUUCUUUUAAAAGAUCAUCUUCAUUUUCUUUAAGAGUGGAAACAGUCAAGUCAAGACUUUUAACUCUUUCUACUAAAACAUUUUCCUUUUGUUUUAGAGCUGAGUUUUCCUUUUUCAGUUCGGAAAUUCUUUUGAGAGAAGUCUUAAGACUAAAACAUAAUUCAUCAAUAUAUUUAGAAACUUUGACAGGAAUUUUAAUAUCACUUGCCUCAAAUUUACUGUCUGAGUUUGAUCCAGAGUCUGAGUCUGAUUGUGCCAUCAGACAUAGAUUGGCAUAUUCAUUAUCACUUUUUUCACACUCUGUGUCACUCCAUGUUUUGGCUUUGAGAGCUUUUCGAAAUCUUUCAGCUUUUCCUUUCUUCUUUUUCAGAAGAGGACAGUUGGGUCUGAUGUGUCCCUUUUUCUUACAUUCAAAGCAGACUAUGUCUUUGUUUGGUUCCUCAUCAUCAACAGACUUGGUCUGCUGUCUUUGAAAGCUUUGUUUCUUUGAAUUGAACCUUCUUCCUUUUCUAUUCAGUUUUCUGAAUCUUCUUAUCAUGAGAGCAAGCUCCUCAUCGUCCAUAUCUUCUUCAGAAUCUGUAUCAUCAGAAUCAUUAUUUGAUUUUAAUGCAAUGGAUUUCUUACCUUUUGGAUCUUCAUCUUCAUUGAUCCAUUCCACUUCAUAAGACUGAAGAGUUCCAAUUAGCUCGUCGACAGAUAGUGGCAUAAUUCUUUGCGUCUCUCUUAUCGAAGUCUUUAUGUGAUUCUAAUCCCUGGAGAGUCCACGCAGUAGCUUGUUUACCUUCAUGGGAUCAGAAGUUGGUUGACCUUGAUUUUCAAGACCAUUCACAAUAUCUGUAAAACGACUAAACAUGUCAGAUAUAGAUUCUCCUGGUUUCAUUCUGAAGGCUUCGUAUUGACCAAGAAGAAUGUUGAUUAUAGUUUCCUUCACUCGAUCUGUUCCUUCAUAAGUGAUAUGCAAUCUAUCCCAAACUUCUUUUGUUGUACCACAAGAAGAUAUUCUAUUAUAUUCAGUUGGUGAUAAAGCACAAUAUAAGGAGUAAAUUGCUUUUGCAUCGAGUGCUUGUCUUUUGUUUAUUUCUUCCUGAGACAUUCCGCUGGUUUCAUCAGUUUCUUUUCCUCUUUCAGAUACUGAUGCAGUGGUAGGAGUAAUUCCUUUUUCUACAACGUCCCAUUCCAGAGGAUCCUUUGAUCGAAGGAAAGCUUUCAUCUUGUUCUUCCAGAUGUUGUAAUCCUUUCCAUCAAAGUAGGGUGGUCUGGUAUUGCUUUGCCCUUCCAUCAACCCUGGUGCUAGCAUACUAGCCAUGGAUCUUUUACUACGAAGUAAAACACUUCAAAUAAAGUAAGUACACAGGCUCUGAUACCAAUUGAUAUUGCUAGUAUGAGUACCUAGAGGGGGGUGAAUAGGUAUAUAAAGAGUUUUUCUCAAGCAAUUGCACAAUACUAGACAGUUGGAUGAAACGAUAAUCAAAGUAAGACUGAGAGAAGAGAAAAUUUAACACGCGGUUUAUAGUGGUUCGGCUUAUAUCAAGCCUACGUCCACUCUUCUUCACUGACAGCCUAUUGGCUAGAUUCCACUAUGAACAAGAGAGAGGUUACAGCACAGCUUUGCCUUGAUUCCACAGUGUAGAUGUUCUACUACACCUCCUCAAGAUUUCUCACAAAUAUAGACUCUCUCUUUCGUAUACAAGUAUUCGCUCAAAGGAUUUGUCUAAACAAAAAGAAGCUUCAGACUUUGGAAUUAUUCUAUCGCGCACACCUUGAACAACUAAGACAGUCUUCCUUAUAUACUCCUUUAUGCCAUUAUACCCGUUGGCACUUACCAAAGGAAUUCCUCAAAUCUACCCGUUGGACGGAAUCAAUUAGGAAGAUUGUCCAAGCUAUAAAUGGAACGUGUUGAUAGCCCAUCAAUCAUGUUCGCCCAUACAAUCAGGAUCUCGGUUUCCAUAAGCAGAACCUUCCAAUAAUAUUUAGGCAAUCACCGGAUCUUCAAUUAUCGAAUCAAUCUUCGAUCAAUCAAAGGACUCCGUUUAUGUCUUCUCCAGCCAUGAGAUCUUCUCCAGUUGAUAAGGUUAAAUCCUCAACGAAACAUCCAGUUCUGGAUAACCUUUCUUCAACGGAUUAGAGACUGUCAAUGAGGAUAGACUUUGAGUCUUGAGUCUGGCUGUCCCAAGGUCUUCAGACUUUAAAUAGCAGAGUCUGCAAGCCUUCAGACUAGACUGAUAGAAACGAUUUGUCAACUUCAAAACACUUCAAGAAGAUUUCUCCAACACAAUCCUUGUAGCAACCUCUGCAACUUGUGCAGUUGCUCGUCUUCUCACCUAAGAAACACAUAACAAAUGUAAAUUUUAGCCCAUAAAAAGGCCAAACACAGUGAUGUACAACUUACAGGAUAUUUUUUUCUUGUUUGCUCAACGGUGGACUCAGUUGUUAUUGUUGCUGUCUUACCAAUUCUAGUCCUUAUCCCUGCACUUGAGCCUACAACAUGGCCUUUUUCUGGCCCUUUAGUAGGCCUUACAACAAUGUGCUGUAUUAGGAUUAUGACCAACUACAACGAAUAAUUACACAUCUCAUUUUCAUAGUGGAAACACAUGGAGAAAACUUCUCAAAUUACAAGUGCAUGACAGAGGAAAAGCACAAGAGAAGCUAGUACACAUGGUCAACCAUCAAACUCUAUCGAAUAAGAACUGUAAAGUUACUGAGAUAAAGAGGAUACUUACCUUACAGUAUGGCUUUCUGUUGCCCUUUAGUAGACAUUACAGCAGGGCCUUCUGUUCUCCCUUCAAUAAGCCCAACAAGAAACUCUUUGUAAGUCAUGUCCCUGGCAUUGAAUCAACCAUUACAUCUUGCUAUUGAUACUGCUUUUUCAGCUCACAACCUUUCUUAUCGUGCCCUUCCUUGCGGCAAUAGGAGCAUUUCAUAUUUGAUCUAGUCCUACUCAUCCUUUGACUUGAUGCCUCUUCCUAUUGCAUUCUUCGUCUCUUUUUUGGCCUUCAUAUUUGCUUCUUCAGCGGUAAAGGUAGAGGGCUUUAAUGAUUUGUUGGCUCCCAAAAUUUGCUGCUUCUGAUAGGCUACAUCAUGAAUUGGUAUGAAGCAAGGUAUGAGCUUUUUUUGUACCAAUCAUCUAGGUAAUCAUCUAGGUUUUCUUGCUUCAUCUGAAUAGCACAAAUGGCAUGAGCACAGGGAAUUCCAUUCAGUUGCCAAGCUCGGCAUGAACACUUUCUUCUAUCCAAGUUGACAACAUACUUAUCAUGAUUUGGAAUAAUCUCAUACCCAUUAUCUUCAUUCCAAACUGGAUGGCAGAACCUACUAACAGCAAUAUUUGCAUCUAAUCUCUUCACAAUCCUAGGGCCACAGUCUCUACUCCAUUUUGUAGCAUCAUCUCUUUGCCUAUGCAGUCUAGUCAUAACCAUAACUCGAAUAUCAUCAAGCAUGCUGAUGAUUGGUUUGCACCUAGCCUCUAAAAUUCUACCAUUGAAAGCUUCAUUGAGGUUGUUAUCAAUGUUAUCGCAUUUGAACUCUUCGCUGAAGAAGACCCGACACCAGUGCUUAGCUUCUGUCUGGAAGAGUGUAUCAAAACCUUCAUUUGUCAGCUGUAACAAUCCUUGUUUCGCUAAUUUGAAAUCAACCAUAUUCGUACUCUUUGCUAUCUGCCAGAACUGCUUCUACAACAUAUCUCCUUUGAAGUUCCUUGACCAGUUUGCAUAUAUGUGCCUCGUGCACAUUCUAUGCUCAGCAUGUGGCAUCAACUCAGCCAAUGCAGGAAUAAGUCCAUACAAAAAUUCAAACCAAUAAAUACAAGUCAAGAAAAAUAUGCAAGUGAUUAAUAUAUAAAUGAGUGAUUAUUGACAUGAAAUUACCUUCUAUUGGUUGCUCAUGAAUGCCCAUCCUCCCCCAUCGGUUAUCACAAGGUCAGUCAUCAAAUUUUUUAGGAACCAUGACCAAAUAUCCUUGUUCUCUAUCUUUACCACCGCCCAAGUUAUCGGGAACAUUUAAUUAUUGGCAUCUCUCCCCACAGCAACCAACAACUCCCCCUUGCAUAAACCCUUUAGAAAGCAUCCAUCCAAUCCUAUAACUCUUCUACAACCAACCAAGAAGCCCCGUUUGCAUGCAUCAAAACAGACAUAAAAUCUAUCAAAUUUAGGCCAAAGAUCAGGGAGUGGCCUCUUCACAACCUCUACAUAUACCCUACUGGAUGGGUUUUGAAACAUGUAUUCACCAGCAUAAUUCCAUACCUGUGCAUAUUCUUCUUUAUACCCACCCAUCAAUAUUUUCAUCACCCUUAUCUUAGCUCUCUUACAUUGAUUCCUCGACACAUUAACCUCCACUUGCUCCUUCACUAAUUGUUGAAAUUGAGAACUCUUGAUCUCGGGCAUUGCUUUGAUAGUAUUAAAAAAAUUCUUUGAUAACCACACACUUGUUACCCUUUUAUUAUUAAAGAUAAUUGGACAAGUAUGCUCCUCCUGAAAGGACCUAAGCUAGAAUGACCUAUUCUUACUAAGCGCAGCAUAGAGCUUCCAUGAACAAUUAGGUUGUGAGCACUUAGCUCUCACAAAUUCCUUCGUGUUUCUAAUAAAUUUAACGCUCCUCUGUUCACCAAUUGAGUUCUUCACAACAGCUUCCUUGAACUGUUUGGCAUUGUCAAAUCUCAUGCCCACCGACAAAACAGGUUUAUCAACAGUUGAAUCAUAGAAAGGAUACUUACUUUUUCUUCGAGGAGCAGGUUCUUCAUCAUCAUUGUCAAGCUCAUUUUCCGAACUAGUAACUUCAUCGCCACAGCUUUCUUCAUCUUCACUUCUAUUACCCUCAGCUUGAUCUCCAUCCCUAUUUACUGGCUCGGACCUUUUUGCUAAAGCUACAAGUUUUUUUUUCUCAGAAAUUCCCUUUGCUUUUGUCUUGACUGUACGAGUUCAUCAUCAUCUUCGUCACUUGGAAAAUUUACUAAAGCCAAACAUUCAUCUUCCGAUUCAUUAGAUAAAGCAAUUUCCCAUUCUAAUCCAAUGAAGUCUUCAUCGCCCACAUCUUCACCCAAAUCUUCACCCAAAAUUUCAGGACAUCUCCCUCUUUGUUCAUCUCUAUCAAUAUGACUUAUCUCCCUCUCAUUUUGCCCUUCAUCUAACCUAAACUUAUCCCCGACUUGAUUACUCGUUUGAACAAGAUCCCUCACUUCUCCUCCUUCAGUGGUCGUCUGCUCAUCCACAUCCUCAUCCUCAUCCUCACUAUAAUACUCAACAUAUACCUUAACUUCUUCAUUGUGAAGAUAAUGGUAAAUGAUAUCCUUAAUACCAUUAUCGUUGUUAAAAAAUCUUAACCCAUCCUUCAAUUCCUUCCCAGGAACACAGUAAUGUAGUUUUUGCACUUUGCAUCGUAAAAAAUACACCAAAUCUCUCAGAAAAUCAAUAUAUGAUGGCUUCCAAACAUUGACAUAAAUAGUACCUUAAUUUCCACUAUUUUAUUAUCAAUCUUCAGUGCCAAUAACAAACUCUCCACCAUAGUAAACAAUGACGCUUACCUGAUUCGUGUCCAUGUCGAUGCUGCACCCAAUGAAAAAAAAAAGAGUCAUUGUCGUUUUGUUGGAACCACAUGACAGAAUCGACAACUUCACAUGUAGGUCCUUAUCGUUUUGUUGUCAAGGAACAAAUGCGACUAAAAUCUCCCCAAUUCGGUGGAUUUACAGAAAUAAAAGAAACCGAAUUAAAUAAACAAAGUGAGGUCCCCACCACUCAUUUUUCAAUUCAAUCACAUUCACAUUCGGUCCCCCACAAAAGCAGUCCAAUUAAUUAAAUAAAAAAAUUCGGUCCACCACUGUUUCCCUCCGAGUCAAGCCUCUCCGCACCAUUUUUUCUGUUCGGUCCUCACAAUAGAAAACGAACAAACGAUGGAAGAAUCAAUUUUUCUAUUCCGUCCCCAUAAAAGUGACAUCCCCACCACUUUCCCCACUACUUUCCGCUUGAGCCAAGCCCUCAAUUUGCCCUCCGUGCCCUAAUUUGCCCGUCGGAACCCUAAUUUUUUCGCAAAAUUGAUCCACGUAGAGAACAUGACAAACUUGAACGAUCGUGAACAAUGGCGCAACUACAACGGUGGCCAAGCGAUAGUGGGCGAGCGACAGCAGGCGAGCGAACGACGGUGGGUGAACGACAGUGGGUGAGCGAGCUCCGGCCAGCGUCGAGGAGAAUAAUAUACGAACCCUAUUUUACUCCCUCUUCAGCAACAUCGUUUUUUGCUAUGGAGCAACGCGGCGUCGUUUCUUAUGUGAAUCCACGGUGGAUGGCAAGAAACAACGUUGUUUCUUACAAAGAAAGGAAAACGGCGUCGUUUUAUGCUAUCCACCGUGGACAAUCUUAAGCCACAUCGUUUUUUUUUUAAAUAUAAAAGCCACGUAUUUAUUUUGGCCGAAAUUUCUCGCCAGUGGCACCAAAGUGAUCGUUUUUUCUCCGAUUUGGCACUUAAGUGAUUUGACGGAAACUUUUGACACCAAAGUGAGCGCCGUACACAACUUAUGGCACCAUUAGUGUACUUUUCCCCAAGGUUAAGGCUUGCCACACUGAAUGUAACUUCGCUUUGGGACCCAACCAACGCUAGAACGCCACCCGUCUUCAAAAGAGACAUGUAAGGAUCAAAUAGGUGAUCAGCAGAUGCCGUGUCGAUUAUAAAGUCCAGGGACUUAGCCAUGGCCUGCAUGUAUUGGAAUCAUCAGAUCACGGUAGCACUUGACCUUAAUGGAUCUAAAGUAUUGAUAAUUUUAAAUCUUCCCGCCUGCCUUCGUCUAUUCUUGGUCAGAUGAGAUAACGAAGUGGUCAGCACCAAGCAAGCUCAGUGCUUCCUCCUUUUUAGAAAUGCUUGUACUAAACAUAGCGAAUUUCAGUCCAUAAGCCUUCCCAAGCUUAAUUGCCAUGUGACUGAGCCCACCGAGUCCAAUUACACCAAGAGACUUACCCGGUUGGUUCAUCUUGUGACGCACCAUUUGAGUGUAUAUUGUGAUUCCAGCACAAGGCAAUGGUGCUGCUAAAGCCAACGGGAAGUUUUCUGGAAUCCUGAAGCAGUACCUGUUAAUGAAGCACCACAAUUAAGUUUCCAAAUCACACCAAAGGAGGAAGGGAUUUCCCAAUAGAAUCAGCAUCCCAUCUUUUUUGUACAACGGGAUUCAAAUCACAUUUUACUUGCUUAGAGCACAAUUCAACAUCAUGUGGUUUCUGUGAUUCUUUUUCUGACCACAAAUUGCUUAAGACGAAAACUUCUUGCUGUAGCGACGAAAGUAAAGCCACUGCAGCAUACAGGAGGCCAUACUUGAUCAAAAUUGAGAAAAGAGGCUUGCUCUAACAGAGUACACUGGAAGCAUAUUGCAUAUGCAUGGCAGAUCAUGUAAUUUCUCUAUUCCCCUCAAUCAUGUCUCUAAGGGACACGAUAUUCCCGUGACUGUCGAAUACAAGAAUCCGUGAAAGCACGUACAUUUUAUUACCCAUUUGAUCUAACACUUACCAUCUAACUCUUGGAAACAAUCUAAAAAAAGGGAGGAAGAGGAGAUAGAAGGCAAGAAUUGAGCAAUUUCCAUCUGUUUCUCUCUUUUAAUUAAGAGUUAAUAUCCUAAAAAACUCCAAAUUGGUACACAUGUGACAAAUUUACCCCGAUGGACUAUUAAAAACCCUAAAAUUAUAUAUUUAUGACAAAUUUACCCCAAACUAAUUUAUUCGACCACAAAAAAAAUGGUAAAUUUGUGACAAAUAUAUCCUCCACUAAAUUGAAUUAAUACCAUAGUAAACCGUGACAAACGGAGCGUAAAAUCUCAAAUUGAUAUACUAGUCAACUGUCACAUGUCAUUUAACUUAAUAAUUUGACAGUAAAAUUUAAUGAAAACUAAUAGAAGGUAAAUUUGUCACAAGUGUACCAGUUUAGAGUAAAUUUGUCAAAUAUAUAACAAUUUAGAGUUUUUUGUGGUAAAAAAAAAUAGUUUGGAGUAAAUUUGUCACAGGUAUAUCAGUUUGGGGUUUUUUAGGGUAUUAACCCUAUAAUUAAUUUAGUUUUAAAUUUAAUCUUAUUAAUUUUUCAUGAAAAAUUCAUAUGUUAAAUUUAUUGGCUCACAUGUCAUUGUCACUUGAUGUGUAUGAUAUAUAGAAUAGUCCAAGAAAUUUGACUUUAGAUACAUGGGAACCCGCGAAUGGUCAUACAUUGUCGAUUACACAUUCAACAUGAUGUAUUAGCUAAUCAUAGUCCUCUAACGGUUUAUAUUUGCUUAAUAUAUUUCAAGAAUAUUAAUUUGUUAGACUUGUCCGCUCACACGCCGCUGUCACUCGAUGUGUAUGAUAAGCAGAAUAGUCGAAGAGCUUUGACUUUAGAUACUUGGGAGUGUCUAUGCUUGUUUUAUGUCUAUUAUGCUUGCAAUGCUUCUUGUUUUGAGUGGACAGUACAAAUAUUUAAGUCCGUGUCAAUUUGAACAAUUUUCUUUAUUAUAGAGCAACAGUCUUUAAUCUAUUGUGUUCUUGACCACAAAAAACCAAAUAACAAAUAAGUAUAAAUUAUUGUAGGGUCCAACGACAAUCUUUAAUCUAUUGUGUUCUUGACCACAAAAAAUCAAAUAAUAAAUAAGUAUACAUUAUUAUAGGACCCACUCCUUUAAAAAUUUGUUGUUCACAAAAACUUAUUUAUUCUCAUAAUAACCCAAAGUUAUGCUAGCAAAAAUGCAAUUUAAUCCUAAAAUUUGUCACGAAAUGCAAUUGAGUCCUAAAAUUUUCAAAAAGUACAAUUAAUUAUAAAGAUUUAUCAAAAUUGGUCCAAUUUAAGUCAUUCCAUUCAUUGCAAUUUUUGAAAGUUUUAGAGCUCAAUUAUGCUUUCCUAACAAGUUUUAUGACUUAAUUAUAAUUUUUGAAAAUUUUAGAACUUAAUUGUAAUUUAUGAUAAGUUUUAGGAUUUCUAGUACACUUAUCUUUUUUUUUUGUUUUUCACCUCAUUAAUCUUUUUUGCAACAAUGAGCUUGACAUAUCUCUGUUUUGAGGAUUUCAGUGGCUAGGGGAAACACAGGGAUGUCCUCUAAUGAAUCAACAAUCUUCCUGCCAUGACAAUGCCGGAAGAGAGAUGAGUGUCUUACAUAGUUAACAAAAAUGUUCAUGUUAUAAUUGGUAAGCAUUCGCUUUCCCAACGUGCAUGAACAUUUCCGGCGAUGAAACAUUCGUGAGGAGCCAGUAAAGACAUCCUGUUAUUUAAACCGGCAAGAGGAUAUCGAGCUUGCUCUAUUGGCAAGUAUAUUGUUGUCAGAUAAGCCUAAUAAAUCCGAUAUUUUCAUACAAAAAAUCGUCAUCGAGGCCAACUUAAUCCAAAAUGCCAAUGGACAGGCUUGGGUAAGCUAGUGGAUAGGUAUGCCGCUUUAUCUUAUGUCGUGUUAUCUCACGAGAGAUGGUGCUGCGUUCUCUUUAGAAUGCACAUGACUUGGGAUAGGAAAACCUUAGGAUCCGACUAGGAGGAAGGAAAAAAGCAAUCUAUUGUCGGGCCAAUAUAAGAUCAUUUCAUGUCAAACUCCGCAGUCUUGAGGCCAUGGAAUCUACGACAUACUUGCUCAUUCACAAGGACUGAGCAAAUAAAUGAUAAAAUAAGAGCAAUGGUCGUCAUUGAUCGUCUGCCCUUUAACUGAUUGGAUUCUAAAUAUUUUAUUUUCAAUUGGGGUCUAAAUAUUUUAUUUGAUUCAAUUGACUUCUAAAGAUUUCCAAUUUUAGUCAAUCAAGUCCCUCAAAUAUUAUCCUCGGAAAGAGCCACAUGGCUGUGAUUUUCCUAGUGGCUAAGGAGAUGCUUGAGGAGAAAACCUGUAGGAGAGGCGAAGCCAUCCAAGCAGAACUCUCAAGAAGUCAAUUUUUCAGACAGUUUCUCAAUCAUCACAUAGAGAAGUACCAGGAUUUCAUUACCCAUUUCACUUGUUUCUGCUAUAAAACUCACGAGUAUCGAAGUAUAUCAGGCAUAGUUUAUUUGUACUCCAGCAGAGCAAUUAAGAAGGCAUAGAUGAUGCUCUCCUCUAGCUGAAAGCCCGAAACUCCCACUUUUCCUCUGUGUGAUCAGCCUUGCCAGCAACAAUUUCCAACUACCCAAAUUGAUGUUGAAAUUUAAUCAAAUAGACUCAGAGAAGAAAACAAACAAGAGAAUUGUUGCUGUAACUUUCGUUACUUUAUUCAUCAGAACAUAAGCCUAUUAAAUAGGCAGAACAUCCAAACCACUUAGCAAGACAAUAGCUAUAGAACAACAACAAAGACCCACUAACAUACCCCACUAACCAGAACAUAUGCAGAAACUAACUCCUAAAAACAAGCCACAUCCUAUUGACUAGGACUCCACUAUUACAUUAUUGAAGACACGUAAAAACUGAAAGUUAACUACUUCAACAAUUGAUGGUGUCACUUCAAGGAGUUCUCAAUGUCAAUCACGAAUCGAUACUUAACAUCUCUCUUGAUGAGCCUCUCCAGAGCUUCGUUGGCGUAAUCGAUCGGUAUCACUUCAAUGUUUGGGUAUAUCUUCUGCACCGCACACAAGUCUAUCAUUUCUUGGGUAUUCUUUGUUCCUCCCGUUACGCUACCCGUAACAGUUCUCAUAUCUGCCAAAAGUUCACCGCGAGCAACUUAAUUCACCUAUCAGGUAUGAAAUUUCAUUUAGUAAUCAGAUUUGAGAACAAAAACAUACUGAGGUUAAGGCUGGCUGGACUGAAUUUAACUUCGCUCGGGACGCCGACCAAUGCUAGAAUGCCACCCGUCUUCAAAAGAGACAUGUAAGGAUCAAAUGGGUGAUCACCGGCUGCCGUGUCGAUUAUAAAGUCCAGGGACUUAGCAAUGGCCUGCGUGCAUUGGAUUUAUCAGAUCACAACAGAAUUUGACCACCAUGGAUCUCAAUGUGGAUAAUUCUAGUUUUUCCUCUUUUUACCUUCAUCUGCUCCAGGUCAGAUGAGAUAAUGAAAUGGUCAGCCCCAAGCAGGCUCAGUGCUUCCUCCUUUUUAGAAAUGCUUGUACUUAACACUGUGACUUUCAGUCCAAAAGCCUUCCCAAACUUAACUGCCAUAUGACCGAGCCCACCAAGUCCAAUUACACCUAGAGACUUACCAGGUUGGUUCAUCUUGUGACGUAUCAUUGGAGUGUACACCGUGAUUCCAGCACAGAGCAAUGGCGCUGCUAGAUCCAUCGGGUAGUUUUCUGGAAUCCUGAAGCAAUACCUGUCAAUGAAGCACCACAAUUAAGUUUCCAAAUAACACCAAGACAGGAAGUGAUUUCCCAAUAGAAUCAGCAUCCUGUCUUUGUUGUCUAAAAGGAAUCAAAUCACAGAGCCAGAAAUCCUAUCUUCCACAUGCUUGGGAAUUUUACUUGCUUAGACCACAAUUCAGCAUCAUGUUGUUUCUGUGAUCCUUGUUCUGACCACAAAUUGCUCUAGACAAACAUUUCUUGCUGUAGCAACGUAAAUAAAGCAAUUGCAGCAUACUGGAGACCACACUCGAUUAAAAUUAAGAAAAGACACUUGCUCUAAGAAAGGAAACUAGUGGCAUAUCAUGUAUGCUUGACUGAACACGUAAUUUUGUAUUUCCUUCAAUCAAUUUCUCCAAAGGACUCAAGAUUCCUGCGGCUCUAUCAGAAACAAGAAUUAGUGAAAGCGCAUACAUUUAGCUACUCAUUUGAUCUGAUACUUAUGAUCUAACUCUAACAAUCUAAGGACAGCUUAUUCCAUUCUUGACAAUGGUUAUUCAAAAGAAAGAAUUUCUUUUCGCAUUUAAUAAAGCCAGUUCUCCAUUGAAUGGUUUGAAUGGUAAUUGGAUACAGAGGACUUAAAGACUCUCCAGAGUCGUUAUAGAAAGUAUCUUUAUCCCUUUCCACAAGAUGCAAUUAAUGCCUAAAAGCCAUUCCUCACAGUCCUAUGCAUUAUGCCACUUCUGGUCACAAUCAGAAUAAGAAGAAAAUUAGCAGAGAAGAAGACAUGACAUGAAAUCUUUUUUUGGCCACCAUGAUUUGGAAUUCUGUCACAGUGCAAAAUGCUGCCUAAUAACACUGUGUCAGUAAGCAAUUACCUUUCAUGGACGACAAUGUGACUAGAAUAUCCUCCCUUUGUCACUGUACCAUCUGCAUCAAUUCCAUCAAAAGUCAUAACCGACUUUUCACAUUGGACUUCUAGCCUGUCAUUGCAAUACUCGCACUCUCUGCAUGAAUUGACAUAAGUUCCCACCCCCACAUGAUCGCCAACUUUGAAGCGUUGGACACUGGAGCCAACCUGUUUCACAAUUCCAACUAUCUCGUGCCUGAAUCAAUCAAAAAAAAUUUUCGCAAAUUUUGUUCAGAGAAUUAUGAGGAUGGUGCUAAGAAAAAAGAUUUAACAUUUGAAUCCCGCUGCAUCCUACCCCGGCACCAGAGGAUACUUGGAGUGUCCCUGCACAUUCCUAGUCCAAGCCACAUCUGCGUAGCACACUCCACAGUGCGUGAUCUUAAUCGAGACGUCUUCGCUUCCCACGGCCCUAAAGAGAUGAUUCCCAAACAGGUGAGCAUAUAAUCCAGUGACUAAUCAGACUAGGGUGCCCUUUUUUUCCAUUUUCAAGAUCAACAAACUAAACUUGACCUACGAUUAUUGAGGAAACAAGAAACCAGAAAUGAGAAAAGGAAAAAUUCCAUGACUACAAGCAUAUUUGUCCAUACGGUAGAUACAACCUCAAAUGCUCAGAAAGGCAGCCAGUACAGGAUCCUCAUGUCUGCAGCCAGUACAGGAUCCUCAUGUCUGCCAUGAAAUUCUGAGUAACCCAUAACCAACAAUUCUCGACUCAGAAUUCAGCGCAUACACAACAAAAGAAAGAACGAAAAAAAAUGAAAUGGUCUGGACCGAAACUGUCUCUCGUGAACACUGUACUGAGACUCUCGCAUGAACACUUCGGUAGAAAUCGAAAAAGAAAAAAAAAAAAAAUGGCAAUACCUGCGGGUGAAUUUGUAGGGGGAGAGGAACCCAGAAGGGUCCCGGGCAGCCCAACCGAGGCAAUCCUCCUUCCCACCCUCCGAGCUCAUCUUCUGCACCUACACACCCGGCGAAGCAAUCACACAAACAGGUACGGUUAGAUUCAUCCAAAGAAGAAGAAGAAAGGGUGAGAACGCGAACGAGAGAGUGCCCAAGAUCAGAGACUCGACGGGUCAUCACACGGCGACGACUCGAGUCACAACGAGCUCGCCAUCACUCAUCAACUCACUCACUCACCCACCCCCACCUACCCAAGCACAACCCCACAGCAACUCAGAGAGAGAGAGAGAUGACUACGGAGAUGGAGAGAGGUUACGCGGUGGUGGAGUAUGCGGUAGCGCGAAGAGGGUGAUGAGCCGAGCAGAGUCGAGGACGGGAGGUUCAACGAAGACUUUUGCCCCCUCCUACUUUGCAGGAAAGCUACGAGUCGUCGUAUGGAUUUUAUGGCGGUGGCCCCUAGGCUCUAAAAGAAGGUUCGAGGAGCCUACUGCCUAGCCUUCUUUUGCUGUUGGUUUCAAUAUCUGCUGCUUUUCCGCCUUAGCCCAACCGACAUCGCCCUCAAAAGACAUCAAAGAUAAGGUAGUUGGAAGGAAACAUCAUCCGAAACUUAAAGAUGGGGUAGUUGGAAGGAAACAGUAUACGAAACUUUGGUUCAAUAGGUAACGUGAUUUUCUAAAUUUUUAAUUUACCCAAUAUGAUUUUUUAAAAUUUUGGUAUAGAUUCAACUUAGUCUUUAGAGUAUAUAUUGUCGCAAAUUUUAAAUUAAUAAAAUGACGACGUUGAAUAUUUUCAUAUGAUCAAAUGACAACAUUAAAUAUGUACUAAAAUUUUGAAUAAUAUUGAAUAUUUUCAUAUAAUUUUGAGAUUAUAUAGAAUAUGUAUCAAAGAUCAUUAACUAUAUAGUUCCGUUCAAUUUGCGGAAAAUAAUUUCCGAAAAACCGUUUUUCAGAUUUUUCGACAUUCAUUUCAUGAAAAAUGAAUUCAUUGGGAAAAAUGUUUCUUCUAAAUUAAGGGAAAAUGUUUUCCACUUUUAAAAAGUGAAAAACAUUUUCUUCACUCGAUCUCUCUUAUCUUACACCUCUAAAAAUCUCUACUUUAUCCUCACAUUUCUUUUUCUUCUUUUCUUUUUUUAAUUCAAAUUAUUUUUAAUUUCCUUUUUAUUUUAUUUUUAAUUUUUCUUUAUUUUUCUUUUUCUUUUCUUUGUUUCCCAUCUUUUCUUUCUUGGCUAGUUGUCAGUCAUUACCAAGCGAAUCUCGAGUUCGUCAAUCUUAAGCUCACACUCUGUACUCUUACUUAUCAUUUUCUUUAUUUACUCUAUCCUGCAGUUGUAUAUUGCUCAAACAAAUGGCUCUACAUGCUUUGCUUCUUUUUUCUUUUGUUUAUUAGAACACAAAAGACGCAUGAGAGAACAGGCCACUCAACUGGAAGAUUCUCAUUAGGGCUGUACAUGCUUUGCUUCUUUUCUCUUUUACUUCUUUUUAAAAUCCAUACAGACAUUUUUUAGAGUAGAUGAGCGUUUGACAACAAUGAGGGAACAAAGAUAUGCUCGAAUUUAAAUGCAAGUUCAUAUUUGAUGGGUUUAUAGGUCGGUAAGUGAUGCAUGCCUAAGUGGUGAAGUCUUAGAAAAUAUUUUCCUUACCAAACACCGAAAAAUAAUUUUCGAAACAUUUUCAAGUUUUAGCUUAACACUAGAAAAUAUUGUAAUUUUCCUAGAAAAUGAUUUUUGGAAAAAUAUUUUCCGGAAAUGACCAAUUUUUCACGAAACGAACGGACCCUUAGUCUCGGGAGUUUCUAUGUUACAUAUGAUCUAGUCCUUCAACUUUUCUAUUUGUAUACACUCAAAUCUUUUGUCAUAUUCAGUUUUUAUGCAGUUAAGUUUUAUUUUGUUCAUUCAAAUCAUUCAAUGUUCUCGACUAGUGCAAUUGAGUGCUUCACUCACCCAUCAUAACACACAAUUCCAUUUUUCUUUUUCCAAGUUUGCUUUUCGCUCAUUUGGCACCACCUCAACAUUGUGCGAUAUUUUCUACCUCAAUGAUAAUACUAUGUUAUUGAUUACUAUGACACAUUCAGCAAGAGGAUUUACUGAACGAUUUAAUUGCACGAAUCAAGAAAGUUAGAAGACUUGAUUGAACAAAAUAUAAAGUUAAGAGGAUCAAAUUGUGCCGAUAUGGAAAUUUGGAUGACUAAAAUUGCAUCAAACCCUUUUAUAGGGAGAUGGGUCAGCCACAAUAACAUAUUCUUUUUCAGUGACUGGCUUUGACACAACCAAUGCAACAUUAGUACGAAAAUGAAAGAUGAGUGGACAAAAGAAGGGCAACAGAUGUUAAACGAAACCUGUUUCCCAAAAGCACCAUGCAGAAACUUCCUUUCAUUGGAAAAUUUUUCUUGAAACGGAACUAAAGAUUACUGGCUUCGACAUAACCGAUGAACAUACCAAGAGCUGAGGCCUUAUCCAACAACAACGUGAAAAUGAAAAAUGAGUUGAAAAGAAUGGACAGCAGCUGUCAAAUUAAACAUUUUUUCCAUGUCUCGUUCAGAACUUGUCACUCCUUCAUUACAAUCUUGACCCUUUUGAAAUUGGAAGUGAAGGUUACUGGCUUCGACAUGACCAAUGUAUAACUUGUCGCUCAUGCAAUAUGGUAUAUAGAAAUGAAAGAUGAGUAGAAAAAGAAAUGGACGAUUGCUGUCAAAUUAAAACCUUUCCCAAGUCAACUUGUCGCUCCCCUUCCUUCCAUUAAAAUGCUUUUAUGGUGGAACUGAAGAUUACUGGCUUUGACACAACCAAUGUAAACCCUCCAAGAGGUGAGAGAACUUAUGCAAAAGUAUAAAAAUGAAAGACGAGUCAAAAAGAUGAGGACAAUAACCAAAUGCGUGCAACUCAAUUGCACUUUUUGAUAAGGAUAAACUGCACCUCUCCUCAUCAUUGAAAGAGAUAGGAUUAAACGCAGACGUGAUUGACAUAGAGAUUCUUACUAGAAAUUAAAUAAAAAUAAGUCUUUCUUGGUAACAGGAUGUUUGUUCUCGUGACCGUGUAGGUCUUUCUAGGUUCUCUGACGCGUGCCAUGAGGUCAUGGCAUGUUAUGCAACCAGAGAUAUCCAUUCCAUAUUUCUAUGGUAUCUAUCCAUCGUUACCUCCCGUGAACCUAAGAAGAACAAAACCAAUCCAUAAAGCUGGAGGAUCAAGAACAACCCGCCCUAAGUUAUUGAUGAACUGAGUUAACUGUUUGAAGCCUAAGUAGCGAAUCAUUUAAAGUUUAAGCUACUAAAAUGUCAGAUGCCAAACAGAAGGAAAAUCUACAGAGCCAACAUCUGCAUCGGAUCAACGAUGGCAUAUCAACAACUAAGGGAAAAAUCUGCUACUAAAUAUUUAUCUGAAACUAUAAGCGAGGAUCACGUUGCACUUGCAUAAGUCUGUUAACGCAGGUCAAUGGUCAUGUUCUGGCCAGCUAUGUAAGAAGUUUGAAAACUCUACACGGACAGGCACCAUUUGCAAGAAGACCUGUUCCCUCAAAUGCUCAUCUUUGUACUGAGCUGGAAAUGCUUUUAGCAGAUGACUGUGCCUCCAGAAACAAAUCGCAUGAAGUGGCCCACAAUUCUCUGGCAAGUCCAGUGUCGUACGAAACUAAAGAAGAGUUGAUAGUCCGGCCCUUCCCACCAAAGAAUACACACCAGAAAUUUCCUAUAUUUGCAAGACAGCGGCUAUUAGUAAGCACUGUUCCAACAUAUAAUAGCAGCCGCAUAAGAUUGAUACCACAGAUUAUCAGCAGAGAAGGGAAAAUCAAUUCUGGAAACACUCUGUCAUACCGUAGAAUCAACAUUAAUGGAUUUUACGUCCAAUGCUAGUACGACCUCAAUUGAGGAUAAAACGAGAGAGACUCAUUCAAGAUGGUUCAGAUAAGUGAAGCACCAGUACAGGAAUGCUUUACACCAGCCCCAUUUAGUGGGAAAAAAUCACUAUCACCCAUAUCUGCAGCUGUGGUUGCCUAUUGAGAUGAAACACAAGUGAUUUCAUUGCAGUCCCAUCUAGCAGUCCCAUCUAGCAUAUAGCAGAAAUUAAAGAUAACGAUUGCAGUCAGAAAAACACAUAAGAGAAUUGUUGCUGUAACUCUCGUUACUUUAUUCAUCAGAACAUAAGCCUAUUAAAUAGGCAGAACAUCCAAACCACUUAGCAAGAAAAUAGCUAUAGAACAACAACAACAAAGACCCACUAACACACCCCACUGACCAGAACAUGUGGAGAAACUAACUCCUAAAAACAAGCCAUUUCCUAUUGACUAGGACUCCACUAUUACAUUAUUGAAGACAUGUAAAAACUGAAAGUUAACUACUUCAACAAUUGAUGGUGUCACUUCAAGGAGUUCUCAAUGUCGAUCACGAAUCGAUACUUAACAUCUCUCUUGAUGAGCCUCUCUAGAGCUUCGUUGGCAUAAUCGAUCGGUAUCACUUCGAUAUUUGGGUAUAUCUUCUGCGCUGCACAUAGGUCUAUCAUUUCUUGGGUAUCCUUUGUUCCUCCCGUUAGGCUACCUGAAACAGUUCUCAUAUCUGCCAAAAGUUCACCACGAGCAACUUAGUUCACCUAUCAGGUAUAAAAUUUCAUUUAGUAAUCAGAUUUAAAACAAAAACAUACUGAGGUUAAGGCUGGCUGGACUGAAUUUAACUUCGCUUGAGCCGACCAAUGCUAGAAUGCCACCCGUCUUCAAAACAGACAUGUAAGGAUCAAACGGGUGAUUGCCGGAUGCCGUGUCAAUUAUAAAGUCCAGGGACUUAGCAAUGGCCUGCGUGCAUUGGAUUUAUCAGAUCACAACAGAAUUUGACCACCAUGGAUCUCAAUGUGGAUAAUUCUAGUUUUUCCUCUUUUUACCUUCAUCUGCUCUACGUCAGAUGAGAUAACGAAAUGGUCAGCCCCAAGCAGGCUCAGUGCUUCCUCCUUUUUAGAAAUGCUUGUACUAAACACUGUGACUUUCAGUCCAAAAGCCUUCCCAAACUUAACUGCCAUAUGACCGAGCCCGCCAAGUCCAAUUACACCUAGAGACUUACCAGGUUGGUUCAUCUUGUGACGUAUCAUUGGAGUGUACACCGUGAGUCCAGCACAGAGCAAUGGCGCUGCUAGAUCCAUCGGGUAGUUUUCUGGAAUCCUGAAGCAAUACCUGUCAAUGAAGCACCACAAUUAAGUUUCCAAAUAACACCAAGAGAGGAAGUGAUUUCCCAAUAGAAUCAGCAUCCUGUCUUUUUUGUCUAAAAGGAAUCAAAUCACAGAGCCAGAAAUCCUAUCUUCCGCAUGCUAAGGAAUUUUACUUGCUUAGACCACAAUUCAGCAUCAUGUUGUUUCCGUGAUCCUUGUUCUGACCACAAAUUGCUCAAGACAAACAUUUCUUGCUGUAGCAACAAAAAUAAAGCAAUUGCAGCAUACCGGAGGCCACACUCGAUUAAAAUUAAGAAAAGUCACUUGCUCUAAGAAAGGAAACUGGUGGCAUAUCACAUAUGCUUGAUUGAACACGUAAUUUCUGUAUUUCCUUCAAUCAAUUUCUCCAAGGGAGUCAAGAUUCCUGUGGUUCUAUCAGAUACAAGAAUUAGUGAAAGCACAUACAUUUAACUACCCAUUUGAUCUGAUACUUAUGAUCUAACUUUAACAAUCUAAGGACAGCUUAUUCCAUUCUUGACGAUGGUUACUGAAAAGAAAGAAUUUCUUUUUGCAUUUAAUAAAGCCAAUUCUCCAUUGAAUGGUUUCAAUGGUAAUUGGAUACAAAGGACUUAAAGACCCUCCAAAGCAGUUAUAGAAAGUAUCUUUAUCCCUUUCCACAUGAUGCAUUAUGCCACUUCUGGUCACAAUCAGAAUACGAAGAAAAUUAGCAGAGAAGAAGACAUGACAUGAAAUCUUUUUUUGGCCACCAUGAUUUGAAAUUCUUUCACAGUGCAAAAUGCUGCCUAAUAACAUUGUGUCAAUAAGCAAUUACCUUUCAUGGACGACAAUGUGACUAGAAUAUCCUCCCUUUGUCACUGUACCGUCCGUAUCGAUUCCGUCAAAAGUCAAAACCAUCUUUUCACAGUGGACUUCUAGCCCGUCAUUGCAAUACUCGCACUCUCUGCAUGAAUUGACAUAAGUUCCCACACCCACAUGAUCGCCAACUUUGAAGCGUUGGACACUGGAGCCAACCUGUUUCACAAUUCCAACUAUCUCGUGCCUGAAUCAAUCAAAAAAAUCAUUCGCAAAUUUUGUUCAGAGAAUUAUUAGGAUGGUGCUAAGAAAAAAGAUUAACAUUCGAAUCACGCUGCAUCCUACCCUGGCACCAGAGGAUACUUGGAGCGUCCCGACAUAUUCCUAGUCCAACCCACAUCUGCAUAGCACACUCCACAGUGCGUGAUCCUAAUCGAGACGUCAUCGCUUCCCACGGUCCUAAAGAGAGAAUUCCCAAACAGGUGAGCAUCUAAUCAAGCAACUAAUCAGACUCAGUUACCUUUUGUUCUCAUUUUCCAGAUCAAUAAACUAAGCGUGGCUUACAAUAAUCAUACAUUCAACCCAAAACAAAUUUUAAGAAAAGAGAAAUGAAAAGGAACCAAAUCCAAGACUAUAGCAUUUGUCUGAAUAGUGCGUACAACCUCAAAUGCUCACAAAGGCAGCACCUGAAUCCUAAUGUCUGCCAUGAAGUUCUAAGCAACUCAUUCUGGGACAUGACAUAUCAUGCGUACGAACAAUUCUCUACCCAGAAAUUAGUGCAUACACAACACAAUUUAUAAAAGAAAAACGAAAUGGUUUGGUCAAUGUGGAAAUUUAAAUAUAUGACAAGCAUCAAAAACUGUUUUGCAUUACAGGUGAGAGGAUAAGACCUGAGAACACUUUAUUGAGACUUAUUCAGACAAAUACUUCAAUAGAAAUUGAAAGUAUAAGGAGCAGAUGAAUUAAAUAAAGAACAGUGGUAACAGUAAUACCUGCGGCUGAAUUUGUAGGGGGAGAGAAGUCCAGAAGGAUCUCUGGCAGCCCAACCAAGACAAUCUUCCUUCGCACCCUCUGAACUCAUCGUUCCUCAACGACCUCAACUGAAAUCGACCCACAAAAAAAUUGCUGCGUUAAUCUCUCAAUAAGCUGAAUUAUGGAAGAAGAAGAAGAAUUAUUUUCGUGAAAGAGAAAUGAAGAAGAGAAUUUCAAACCGAAAAACAGAAGUUCAAAUGGUCAAAAGGCCAAAUGUCACGAAGACUUGGCAAUUCCGUUUCCGUGCAGACAAGAUUUUGCGGUCUGACUUUUGAGCAAAGAGCGAGAUUAGCAGAGAACGAGGUUGAGCGCUCAAAAAUAGUAAAAUUGGUUUUGUGUUUUGUGUUUUGAUUAGCAUAUUUGUCUUUUAAUUGUUUUUUGGCUAUGUGUGUAUAAGCAAGAGUUAUUCGGUUUGUAAACCGUCAAAGAAACGUGUGCUACAGCACCACGUCUCUCUAAGCCGCCGGAGAAGAAAAAUCAUGAAGAAAGUACAAGUAUCUUGGGCACACAAUAAAAUAUUAGUCUUGGCUAGCAAUAUUUUAUUCUCUCUGAAGACAGCAAGAAGAAGAGAUACGCAGCCCACGUUUUUUGACUGCCAAGAAGAAAAGUUCAACUUUAACUCUUGCACGUUUGAAGUCCAUGCGGUGAAGUGCUUUUAGAUAUAGGGUUACGUUAGUUUAGUGUGUGUGAGAGAGUGAGAGAGUGAGAUUUUAGAGAGAGUUUUAAGCUUAGCAAAGUUAGUGUAUGUACUCUCUUAAGCCUUUAUAAAAGCAUAUUGUGUAAUAUAAUCUCUCUAUGUGUGUACUCUCUCCCUCCAAGUCCUUUUGGUUCCAACAAUUGGUAUCAGAGCUAGCAAUGGCAUCCACUGGUUCUGUUCAGUUGCAACUUCCAAAGUUGAACGGAAAAAAUUACAACAACUGGUCCGUCCAGAUGAAGGUUCUAUUCAGGUCCCAAGAUUUGUGGAACCUGGUGGAGAACGGCUACACCGAAGUAGCUGAUGCUGAAGAAUUCAAUGCUUUGAGGAAGGAGGAGAAAGAAGCGUUGGUGGAAUCUCGAAAGAAAGAUCAGAAAGCAUUAUAUGCGAUCUUUCAAGCUGUGGAGGAGACGAUAUUUGAAAAAAUAUCGAGUGCGGAGACAGCGAAAGAAGCGUGGGAUAUAUUGCAAAAAUCCUACAAAGGCGAUGAUCGUGUCAGGCGGGUGCGGCUCCAAACACUUCGAGGAGAUUUUGAGUCUUUAUGCAUGAAUGACUCAGAAUCUAUCUCGGCUUACUUUGAUCGUGUACAAACCAUCGUUAACCAACUGAGGGUUAAUGGUGAAGAGCUCCAAGAUGUAUGAGUCGUAGAAAAAAUCUUGAGGUCUUUGACUGAAAGAUUUGACUACGUUGUUGCGGCAAUCGAAGAAGGCCAAGAUAUAUCAACCAUGACGUUGGAGAGGUUGAUGGGUUCAUUAUGUUCGCAUGAGCAAAGAAUGAACCAGAAGUCUAUCAGUUCGAAUUCUGAGCAAGCACUGCAGAGUCGGGUCACUCAAUCAAAUCGAGGAGGUCAUCAUGGUGGCAGAGGUCGUGGAGGUCGUGGAGGUGCUGGAGGUAGAGGUGGAAAUCUGAAUUCCACUAAAAGAUAUAAAACACGUGACAAAUCAAAAGUCAAGUGUUUUAACUGUAACAAAUUCGGACAUUACAAAUCCGAAUGUCAAGCAAACAUGAGGCAAGAGCAGCCAGAAUAUGUGCACGCUGUCGAUGCAAAUGAAGGCGUGGUGUUAGCAUACCAAAUGGAUGACUCAAGUACCAUGGACACAAAAAUUUGGUACCUUGAUACUGGGUGCAGCAAUCACAUGUGUGGUCAAAAGGAGCUAUUUUUGAAGUUAGAUGAGACGGUCGUGGUGAAGUCAACUUCGGGAAUAAAUCCAAAAUUCUCGUGAUGGGCAAAGGUAACAUUGAUAUCAACUCAAAAGAUGGUACUAAUGUUACUAUUGCAGACGUUUACUUUGUGCCGGAACUCUUUUGGAAUUUGCUGAGUGUUGGGCAACUAUCCGAAAAAGGCCACAAAGUUAACAUUGAAAAUGGUGUGUGCACCAUUAGAGGCGCAAACAAUAAGUUGAUUACGACGACACAGAUGAUGAAGAACCGGAUGUUUCCUCUAUCCCUUCAGACGAAGACUCUAUUGAGUUUCCAAGCAACGACAAAAGAUAGCAAGUGGCUAUGGCAUCUUCGGUUCGGUCAUCUAAAUUUUCGUGGACUUAAAUUACUAGUCCAGAAAAAGAUGGUGACUGGCAUGCCCUUGAUCGACGCUCCAGACCACUCAUGUGAAGGAUGUCUCGUUGGAAAGCAACAUCGGAAAUCUUUUCAAAUUGGGAGAGCUAGAAGAGCCAAGCAACCUCUGGAGUUGGUACAUACAGAUAUCUGUGGCCCUGUUGAGGUGGAAUCAUUUGGACAAAAAAGGUACACGCUAAUUUUUGUCGAUGAUUUUACUAGAAAAACAUGGGCUUAUUUUUUGAGAGAAAAAUCUGAAGCUUUUGGCAAAUUUAAAGAAUUCAAAGUCUAUGUUGAGAAACAGAGUGGCUUUAAUUUAAAGACAUUGAGAUCGGAUAGAGGUGGAGAGUUUACUUCCAAUGAAUUUGACAAUUAUUGUAAAAUUCAUGGAGUGAAACGUCAGUUGACUGCUAGCUAUACUCCUCAGCAAAACGGUAUAGCAGAAAGAAAGAAUAGAACAAUUUUUGAAAUGGCAAGAAGUAUGCUAAAGGCUAAAGCAUUACCGAAGAAGUUUUGGGCAGAAGCCGUUGCUUGUGCUGUAUUUGUGAUGAACAGGUGUCCAACAAGGAGUGUUCUUGGAAGAACCCCAGAAGAGGCUUGGAGCAGCAACAAGCCAGAUGUUUCGUUCCUACGGGUAUUUGGGUGCGUAGCAUAUCCCCAUAUACCGGAUGAACGAAGAAAAAAGUUGGAUGAUAAAAGCGAGAAGUGCAUUUUCAUUGGAUAUAGUAAUGUGACUAAGGGUUAUAAGCUAUAUAAUCCUGUCACGGAGAAGGUAAUUAUUAGCAGGGAUGUCCAAUUUUUUGAAGAUGAAGCCUGGGACUGGAAUCAAAAGGCUGACCAGAAAGACAUUACUAUGGAAGAUGAACCAUUAGUGAGGGAGACCGAAGAAUCUUCAAUUGAAGAUCCAUCACUUUCACCUGGUAAUUCAUCCUCCUCACCAGCAAAGACUGCAGAACCAUUGAUUCGUCGUUCACAACGACCGCAGAAGACGCCAGUAAAAUUCAAGGAUUAUGUGGUCACAAGAGUUGAUCAUAAUGACAGUGACGAAAUCACUGAUGAAACAAUGGUAAACUUUUGUUUAUUUACCGAAUGUGACCCCAUAUCCUAUGAUGAUGCAGCAGCAGAUGAGAAGUGGAACCAAGCAAUGGAUGAAGAAAUCCACUCCAUUGAAAAGAAUGACACGUGGGUGCUAACUUCUUUACCACUUGGUAAGAAGCCUAUAGGUGUCAAGUGGGUGUACAAAACAAAGUGCAAACCCAACGGUCAGGUGGACCGUUACAAAGCUAGACUGGUGGUGAAAGGCUACAAGCAAAAGCCAGGUAUUGAUUAUUUUGAAGUAUUUGCACCAGUGGCUCGAAUGGAUACCAUUCGAAUGAUCUUGGCACUUGCAGCUCAGAACCAUUGGAAAAUCCAUCAAAUGGAUGUGAAAUCGGCAUUCCUUAAUGGUUUUCUCGAUGAGGAAGUAUAUGUGGAGCAACCACAAGGUUAUGUGAAGAAAGGGCGUGAAAAUCAAGUUUAUAAACUGAAAAAAGCGUUGUAUGGGCUAAAACAGGCACCUCGAGCUUGGUACACGAGGAUUGAUACUUACCUGUUGGAGCAUGGCUUUCAAAAGUGCCCUUAUGAGCAUACACUGUAUAUCAAAUCAAAUACUAACGGCGAUAUUAUAAUUAUUUGCCUUUAUGUUGAUGAUUUGAUAUUUACAGGAAGCUGUGAGAAGAUGUUUGCUGAAUUCAAGGAGGCCAAGACAAGUCAAUUUGAGAUGACAGAUUUGGGAUUAAUGUCCUAUUUUCUGGGCCUUGAAGUGAAGCAGACAAAUGAAGACAUAUUUGUUUCACAGCAGAAGUAUGCUAAUGAUAUUUUGAAGCGAUUCAAUAUGGAAAUGCUCAAAUCAAUUCGAACUCCUGUAGCAGAACGGUUGGAGUUGAGGAAAGAAGGAACCGGUGAACUGGUAAAUCCCACUUAUUUUAAAAGUAUUGUUGGCAGUUUAAGAUAUUUGGCUACCACUAGGCCAGAUAUAACUUAUGGCGUGGGAAUUAUUAGUCGGUUUAUGGAGAAACCAUACCAAUCACAUUUGCAAGCAGCAAAAAGAAUUUUAAGGUAUGUCAGUGGAACUCGUGAUCAUGGAAUUUUAUAUUCUUACACUGACAACUUCAGUUUAGUGGGGUAUACAGACAGUGAUUGGGCAGGUGAUACUGAAACACGGAAGAGCACUUCCGGAUAUGCGUUCUUUCUUGGAUCAGGAAUAAUUUCUUGGUCAUCAAAGAAACAACAAGUUAUUGCACUCUCAACAGUUGAAGCAGAAUACAUUGCAGUAUCUUCAGCAGCAUGUCAGGCGAUGUGGCUUCGAAGGAUGCUUUUUGAGCUUAUGCAUGAACAAAAAGGUCCUACUAAAUUGAUGUGUGAUAACAAGUCAGCGAUUGCAUUGGCCAAGAAUCCCGUAUUUCAUGGCAGGAGCAAACAUAUCGACAUCAAGUAUCAUUAUAUUCGUGAGCUGAUUAAAGAAUGUGAGAUUGAACUUGAUUUCUGUAAAUCCGAAGACCAGAUUGCAGAUAUUUUGACAAAACCAUUGAAGGCAGAUUUGUUCGAGAAAUUGAAGACAAUGCUUGGUGUCGUAGUCUUACAAAAUCAAUUUUAAGGGAGGCUGUUAGAAAAUAGUAAAAUUGGUUUUGUGUUUUGUGUUUUGAUUAGCAUAUUUGUCUUUUAAUUGUUUUUUGGCUAUGUGUGUAUAAGCAAGAGUUAUUCGGUUUGUAAACCGUCAAAGAAACGUGUGCUACAGCACCACGUCUCUCUAAGCCGCCGGAGAAGAAAAAUCAUGAAGAAAGUACAAGUAUCUUGGGCACACAAUAAAAUAUUAGUCUUGGCUAGCAAUAUUUUAUUCUCUCUGAAGACAGCAAGAAGAAGAGAUACGCAGCCCACGUUUUUUGACUGCCAAGAAGAAAAGUUCAACUUUAACUCUUGCACGUUUGAAGUCCAUGCGGUGAAGUGCUUUUAGAUAUAGGGUUACGUUAGUUUAGUGUGUGUGAGAGAGUGAGAGAGUGAGAUUUUAGAGAGAGUUUUAAGCUUAGCAAAGUUAGUGUGUGUACUCUCUUAAGCCUUUACAAAGGCAUAUUGUGUAAUAUAAUUUCUCUUUGUGUGUGUACUCUCUCCCUCCAAGUCCUUUUGGUUCCAAUAGCCAUAGCGUCGCCUGUUCUUGAUUUUUUUUUUUCGUUUUAUCUUGUGGAAAAGAAUUAGUGCCAAACGUAAGCCAUUACCUUUCCCUAGCCAAUGAAGUAUGCAGUGACGUCUUCUGGAGUACGGUUCUUGGUAUUUGUGGAAAUGUGUGUUUGAUGUGUAUUUUGUGUGUGAACUAUCAAGAGAGCAAAAGAACUAAGAAACAAUGUAAGCAAGAAAUAGUUGGGCAAAAUAAUAAUGGGAAUGUGAAAAAGAGAAUGAGGCUGAGGCAGCAAACGAGAGAAAUUUGAAUGAAAGUCGACAAUAGUGGCUGAAGAAGAAACUAGUAUGUGGACAGAAAGAGUACUUGGAGAAGAAGAAAAUGAGUUGUCUUGUAGCUGUACUAUGGCAGUGAAAAAGUGAAAAAUGUCAUGUCGGUUGUAAUUGCUUACAUAGGCUUAUAGUUCAUUCAUAUGAUGUGUGUGAGGUGAACCCUCCACCUUGUGUGGGGUGAACCUCCACUGUGAGAGGUCUUAGACCUCCACCAUGACCAUAUGAAGAGUGACUAUCAACACCUCCAUUAAAUUAUUUUGUCUUCUUCAAUAAGUUCUUGACAGCUGGAGUUUGAUGAAGAAACUUUGCUUCGUGCUUUCCACUGCUUGCUAUUUCCCAUGCACGUAGACUUCUUUAGCCUAUUCUAGGAUUUCUUCUUCAACUUGCUUUUUCUUACUUGCAUUCCCAUGUGAAUCUUUUAGGUUCAGCUAGCAACCAUCAUUCUCAACAAUUCUAAACAAUCUUCAACAUGGAUGCUGCUACCAACGUUUAUUAAUUUCUAGACAGUUUUAGAGAAAAUGAAUUAUAAUUUCCAACAUAUAGUAUUUUGGAGAAAAAAGUAUUUCAGCAUAACUGUGCAAGGAUUUGUAGAUCACUACAAUAUCACCGGAGGCAAAUAAUUAUCCGUCAUUGACAUGACCAAUAUAGCAAAAAUUCUUUUAAUUGUUUACCUUAGUUUAGCAAGAUCUGCUUAAAUGACAGCCUUGAGUAUCUUCAAUUCCUUUUCUCUUGCCUUCAAAAAGAUAUUGAAAUGCAACGCGGAAUAUCAAGACAGAUUGUCAUUGACAAAGCCGUAAAAGCCUACUCGAUCUGGCAAAACUGGGGACUGUUCUUUCCAACGAUCUUGCCCACCUCGGCAGCUGCUGUGCAAAUGGAUAGGAAUGCAUGCAGAGGGACAAGCUGAUUGUUACCUGCUUUUAGUCGUUCAUUUGAAACUGUAAGAUUCACGUGCCAUAAGAUAGCUAGACAAGCGGGCAAAAAAUGAUGCGCCUUGCACCGAAGGUGGCAAGAGCAAUUAAAUUAAAUUCAAAACAAAAAAAGCUUGAUGCAUAAAAUGAAAAGUCAUCCUUUGAGCGAAUAAAUGACAAAGUAAGUGCAAUGAGAGUCACUAAUGUUCACGCUAGACUUAUGCCAUGACCAUUCCUUAGCCGAGAGAACGUAAGCAGCGACAUCUUCUAGAUAGUGGUUACUAGCAAAUUUUUUUUUUUUAUCCCCAGCCUAAUCAAAUUAUCCGAGUUAUAAGCUCAGAAAGAAGUCAAUGAGCAAUCUACCGCUAGGACCUAUGAAUGGUCAUACGAUGUUGGUUACACAUCUUGUUAGAAUAUAAUAUGCGGAAAUAAUAAAAUCUUGCAAUUUACGUCAACGCACAAAUUCCAGAUAAAUAAACGAGAAAUAAUAAGAACACUAUAAAUUUACUUGAUUCGGUCCGAGUAUCGAUAUCUACAUCCACAAGGAGAGCCAGCAGCAAAUAAUCCAUUAUAAUCGGAAAAUCAAAGUUUACAAUCGCCCACACGCUCGAUUGCUUCCCACACCAAGAUUUAAGCUCAUAUUCAAAGAGUUUAUAAAUAAACAAUUCACUUGGAAAUUAUCCCGCGUUCAAGCUUUAAACAAAACAUUCUACAUACGCCAAAAACAAGAACUCGGGCAUUUGUCUUUUGGUUCGCGUACGUACGGAUUCGCGUUCUUCUUUGCUCGAUCGUUCGUGCGGCGCUGUUCUAGACGCUCCUUUUGUGUGGCUCUUUCUUCUUCGUAGGGCUCCAGCGACUCUUUCUUAAAAAAAAAAACAAAGACGUGUUCUAUUUUAUAUGUGAGCCUAGAGUCUAACAACUUUGACUUUGAGCCCACCAUGUGCUUCUUUCUUCAAUGGGAAGUGGGACGCUGCAGAAGUUAAGACUUUGACUUUGGGCCCACGUAGACAGCCUUGUUCGGCUCCGUUAGAUAGAUAAAGAAGAAUCUUUGCUCCUUUUUUUUAUUCUAUUUUAUUUUCUCUUUUAUAAACUUUCAUGGAGUCCAACGAAGCCUAACGAAGCCUUUUUUGUUGACCGAAAAUAUCCAAGACCCAAAAAGAAUUUCGAAUUUCUUUUUUUGUGCAUAAUCUUGAAUAUUAUCUUCAUCAGAAAAAUAUCUUCACGAUCAAAUAAUAAAAAUUUUAUCCAAACAAAUCGUGUUUUGCAAACACUCAAACUCGAGACAUAAUUUAACACAUCUGACAUGAUGUACUGCCCAAUUACUAUCCUCUGACAAUUUAUAUUUGAUUAAUCUAUUUCAAGAAUAUUCAUUUGUUAGACUUGUUGGCUUACACGUCACUGUCACUGUCACGUGAUAUAUCUUAUAUUGAGAAUACUCAAAGAGCUUUUACUCCAGAUACUUGGGAGCAUCUAUGAUUGUUUUAUGUAUAUUAUGCUUGUGAUGCAUCUUGUUUUGAGUGGACUAUAGAAAUAUUUAAGUUCAUGCCAAUUUGACUAAUAUUUUAUCUGGAUAAGUGCAUUGGAAUAUUUAAAAUUUAUCAUAAAAAUAUAAUUAAGCCAUGAAACUUUGAAAUCAAGUUCUAGAACUUUGUCACAUUGGUCUAAUCUAAAUCCUUCCAUUGCAUUUUUGAAAAUUUUAGUACUUAACUACAAUUUUCUGACAAGUUUUAGUAUUUUUAAUAUACAUAUUUUUUUUCAACCUCACUAAUGUUUUUAAGCAACAAUGAGCUUGACAUAUCUCUGAUUUUGGAAUUUCAAUGGCUAUAGGAAACAAAAGGACGUCCUCUAAUGAAUCGACAAUCUUCUGCCAUGAUAAAGCUGGAAGAGAGAUGAGUGUCUUCCAUAGUUAUAAAAAAUGUUAAUGCGAUAAUCUGUAGGAAUUCGUCUUCCUGACGUGCAUGAAUAUUUCCGGCCAUGAAACAUUUCACAAUGAAGACAUUCUUGUUGUAAUUAUGGUUAUAAUGGAUCAAAGGAAGCCAAUAAAUUAAGAUACGUUUUUUCUGUUCACGUAUCUCUUUUUGGAUUCAUGAAUUUCCUAUACUUUUAUGUUCACGUAUCUAUUGAAUUCAUGAAUUUCUUAGAUUCAUGUAUCGUUUAGUUCAUGUAUUUAUUGAGUUCAUGAAUCUAUUGAAUUCACGUAUCGUUGGAUACCUGAAUCUCUUGGAUUCACGUAUCUCUUUAUUCAUGAAUCUCGUGGAUACACGCGUCUAUUUAAUUCAUGUAUCUCUUUAGUACAUGAACUAAAAAGCUCUAUAAAUAGAUAUGAGCAUAGAGCUUCAUAAGAGUUUUUGGUUUUCCCGAUUCGAUUCCAAAAGGAGCUUUGAUGUCCUUUUCUACUAUUCUGUUUUUCCUGAGUGUGCUGGUUCAAUUGAACGGUUCGACAAAGUCCUGUUUGCAUAGUGCUAAUCCAAACAGGUUCGAGGUGUUGUAUCUUGGAAGGCAUAGUUCGUGAAUCUGCGGGGCACCUUUGGCAGGAACUAAUCGCCUUAAGGAGAUUCGGUUAUCCGUACCUCACCUCCAAUUUUAUGUUAUAUCUUAUUUUCUUCUUCUCCAAGAUUUGUAAAGGGAAUGAAAUUAUAAAGUUGUUAUCAUCUUCUUUACUUUCAUGUUCUGAUUGCAACAAACAAUGUGCUUUCUCUGGAUUAAUUUCCAACAAUCUUAAGGCGAUUAUCUCACACUAUUUGUUGUUCUUGUCAUAUUAUUGAGAUGGCUGGAAACAACCAAGUGCCCUUCAAUGUCCCAAAUGUUUCUGGAGAUGUUCCUAUGGUCGAUUCGACCGUUGCUAUGGAAGAUGUUCAAUCCUCAGGGUCUGAAUUUGUAGCAGCCAAUGCUACGGACCCUUGGGCUAACAUCAAUUUUGGUGGUGCGGGUACAAGUCAUACGACUGGUAUGCCCGGGACUAUUUUUCAUAACAGUACAAGCCAAAUGGCUUUUGGCUCCAUUUCUGGAGGGAUGGUUCAACGAACUUUGCCUACUGUGAUGGCAACGCCUCCAGUUACAGCUAAUGAAAAACUAGAGAAAUUCACCGAAGUGGGCUUUAAACAGUGGCAGCAUAAGAUGUUCUUCUAUCUGACCAUGCUCAAUCUGACGAAAUAUUUAUCGGAGAUGUGCCCGAUAAUUAGUCCAAAUGAGCAAGAUGUCACGACGCUCGGUGCGUUGGAGGCUUGGAAGCAUGGGGACUUCUUAUGCCGAAAUUAUAUCCUUAAUUGUUUAGUGAAUUCUCUUUAUAAUGUUUAUUGUAAUAUUGAAUCUGCUAAAUAGUUAUGGGAGUCCUUAGAGAAAAAAUACAAAACUGAGGAUGCCAGCACCAAGAAAUUUGUGGUUGCCAAAUUCUUGGACUACAAGAUGGUGGAUUCUAAAUCUAUCAUGAGUUAGGUUCAAGAAUUGCAAUUAAUUCUGAGUGACAUCUCGGCUGAGGGAAUGAUACUUAGUGAAUCAUUCCAAGUGGCGACUAUGAUUGAGAAAUUACCUUCGGGUUGGUCAGACUUCAAAAAUUAUUUGAAGCACAAACGGAAGGAGAUGAGCCUUGAAGAUCUCAUUUUGCGCCUCAGAAUCGAGGAGGACAAUAGAAGGAGUGCGAAUCCUUCUUCUGAGCCAAAGGCCAAUGUUGUGGAAUCUUCCAAAUCCAAGCAAGAUAGAAAAAGGAAGAUGUCUUUUCAAGGAAAAGGCAAGCAGAAGGAGCAGUUCCAAAAAUUCCAAGGAACGUGUUUCAUAUGCAACAAGCCUGGCUAUCGUGCUAAGGAUUGCAAGAAGCGCCUGAAAAAAAAGGCAAGAACGAAGGUGCAGCCCAGCAACUGAAUUUGACAGAAUAUGACAAUAUUGAGAGACUGUCUGCUGUGGUAAUGUCCGAAGCAUCUCUGGUGUCGAAUACUAAUGGCUGGUGGCUAGACACGGGUGCCACAAAUCACAUCUGUGCAGAUAAACACAUGCUCUCAUCUUAUGAGAAGGCUGAAGAAGAUGAGAAGAUUUAUAUGGCUAACUCUGCAUCAACAAAGAUUGCCGGAAGAGAAACGGUGAUCCUGAAGUUUACAUCUAGCAAGGAGGUCGCCCUGCUGAAUGUGCUGCAUGUACCAGAGAUUUGGGAAAAUCUAAUUUCUUGCCCUAUACUUGUCAAGAAGGGUUUCAAAAUUGUAUUUGAAUAUGACAAGUUUGUACUUUCAAAAGGAGGGAUGUAUGUGGGGAAAGGGUACUUGUGUAAUGACUUGUUUAAGACCAAUGUGGCUGUCAUUGAUGUAAACUCAAAGUAUGGAGGUUGGGACACCUAGAGUGCCAUAACUUGGCAUGAAAUGACACUUAAGUGCCAUAACUUUAAAAUGGUACACUUAAGUGCCAAUAUCGAAGUAAAAUAGAACACUUAAGUGCCACUCCGGCGAAAAUCCGGCCAAAUGGCUGACGUGGCAAUUUUCCGGCGAGUUUGGUCCAAAACGGCGUCGUUUUGCACCCUGACGUAGCGGAGAAAACGCAAAAACGACACCGUUUCGUGUCUACGUGUAAAUAAUAAUAUAUAAAUUAAUUAAAUUAGAUUUAAAAUAUUCAAAAAAUUAAAAAAAUUGUAAAAUUUUAAAAAAAAUUAAAAAUUAAAUUUAAAAAAUUAAAAAAUUAAAAAUUAAAAAUUAAAAGGGGGGGAGGUCAAACAGGGCAGCUCCCUUUCGUCGCUCACUACGCCCUUCCUCGUCUCUGGGUGCGUAGGUAUCCACCGUAAGCCUUUCCUCGUUUGAACCUCGCCCUUCACUUUAAGGCUAUGCCAUCAUAAGGUGCUGCUAAAUGGAAGGAUCUUAUCAACGUCCAUGAAUGAGAAAUCAUAGAUCGAACUGCCGAAUCGGAAAAAUUUGGUGCUAUCAUAUAGCUUUGUAUCGGCUAAGUUCACGAGUUGGAGAUAAGCGGACUCGAAACCGCUGACAUCCGCCNNNNNNNNNNNNNNNNNNNNNNNNNNNNNNNNNNNNNNNNNNNNNNNNNNNNNNNNNNNNNNNNNNNNNNNNNNNNNNNNNNNNNNNNNNNNNNNNNNNNCCCAUCCGUCGCCGGCCCUUCCCGACGACGGCGGGGAGGCGGCGGCGGCGGCGAGGGAGCCGCCCCGUUCGACCUCCCCCACCCUUUUUUUUUUAAAUUUUUUAAAUUUUUUAAAUUUUCUUUUUAAAAAAUUUUUAAAAUUUUUUGUUUUUAAAAUUUUUGAAUAUUUUAAAUUUAAUUUAAUUAAUUUUUAAAUUAUUAUUUACACGCAGACAUGAAACGGCGUCGUUUUUGCAUUUUCUCCGCCACGUCAGCGUGCAAAACGACGCCGUUUUGAACCAAGCUUGCCGGAAAGUCGCCACAUAAGCCAUUUGGCCGGAUCUUUGCCGGAGUGGCACUUAAGUGUCCCAUUUAACUUCAAAACUGGCACUCAAGUAUACCAUUUUAAAGUUAUGGCACUUAAGUGUCCCUCGGUGCCAAGUUAUGUCACUUGGGCUGUACUUCUGCCCAAAGUAUGUGUACCCAAAAACUAUUAAUAAAGAAAAGUCUUCGGUUUACAUUGUUGUGUCUCCUUAUCUAUGGCAUGGUAGAUUAUGACAUGUAAACUAUGGUACAAUGAAGAGAAUAGCAAACUUGGGGUUAAUUCCAAGAUUUGAGUUGGAUGCCCGUUACAAGUGUGAGACUUGUGUUGAGGCCAAGUUUGCCAAGAAACUUUUCAAAUCCAUUGAAAGAACAAGUGAACCUCUACAAUUAAUCCAUAGUGAUUUAUGUGAUUUAAAGUUUGUAGAAAGUAGAGGUGGAAAGAAGUACUUCAUCACAUUUGUGGAUGAUUGUACUAGAUUUUGCUAUGUUUAUUUACUAACUAGCAAAGAUGAGACUAUGAGCAUGUUUGUCAAGUAUAAAAAUGAAGUUGAAAACCAACUUGAUAAACGAAUCAAAGUGCUUAGGUCUGAUAGAGGAGGAGAAUACAGUUCAAUCAAUUUGAAAGAGUUUUGUGCUAGUUUUGGAAUAAUUCUCCAAACGACUGCACCUUAUACUCCACAACAAAAUGGAGUUGAUGAACGAUUGAACAGGACACUAAAGGAGAUGGCUAAUGCCAUGCUUUUGAGUUCAGGUUUACCUCAGAACUUGUGGGGGGGCAGUUUUAACUGCAGAUUAUAUUUUUAAUGAAGGCUAGGUAAAACUCCAUACGAGUUAUGGAAUGAAAAGUUACCAUCCUACAAUUUUCUAAAAGUGUGGGGGUGCAUAAUGUGAUUUAUAAUGGUAAGUCUAGACAUAUUCGUUGUAGACAUAACACCAUAAGGCAGUUGCUCUCAAAUGGAAUCAUUUCUUUAGACUUUGUAAAGUCAAAGGAAAAUAUUGCGGAUCCGCUGACAAAAGGUUUGUUGAAAGAGCAUAUAAACUGCGCAUCGAGGGGAAUGGGUUUAAGAGCCUUAACCCAAUAAAGAGAUUCCAUGAUGGAAACCUAACCUAUGCGAUUGGAGAUCCCAUGGACUAGGUUCAAUAGGACAACGCAAAUUUUGGAAACUCUAGUGUAAGCAUUGUCUCUCAUUCUUAUGAUGCAACAAUACUUUCCUACAGCGUUAUUAAGGGUACGCUAUGCGUUUAAUGAUUCCUAUAACUUGGAAUGUAACAUCCAAGUAACAUCCAAGUAAGAUAUGGUAGGAUAUCUUUAAUAGGAAUGCACCUAUAUGCGUGGAGCUGGCCGACUCUAUGAAAAUCUUUAAAUGCUAGAUUUUCUAAAGCACGCACGAAUCCCAAGAGGUUCAGGGCCGAAAGAACGAACACAACCGAGAACCAAUCUUGAAUUGGAAAUACUCCGUGUGAGGUUUAUUGUCUAAGCUUACACAAACAACUGGUAAUUCAAGGCUUAGUCCAUCGACUAGUUAAGUAAGUCCGAUAAGCUUUCACUAAAGAAGGUUCAAAGCGAAAGCUACCUAUCUUGAUGCGGUUUAUUUCAACAGGCAUGCUCAGAUUCCUUCGAGUCAAAAAUAUUUUGUUGAUCCAUUAAUGUGGGGGAUUGUUGUAAUUAUGGUUAUAAUUAUAGUUAAUGGAUCAAAGGAAGCCAAUAAAUUAAGAUACGUUUUUUCUGUUCACGUAUCUCUUUUUGGAUUCAUGAAUUUCCUAUACUUUUAUGUUCACGUAUCUAUUGAAUUCAUGAAUUUCUUAGAUUCAUGUAUCGUUUAGUUCAUGUAUUUAUUGAGUUUAUGAAUCUCUUGAAUUCACGUAUCUUUGGAUACAUUAAUCUAUUGGAUUCACGUAUCUCUUUAUUCAUGAAUCUCGUGGAUACACACGUCUAUUUAAUUCAUGUAUCUCUUUAGUACAUGAACUAAAAAGCUCUAUAAAUAGAUAUGAGCAUAGAGCUUCAUAAGAGUUUUUGGUUUUCUUGAUUCGAUUCCAAAAAGAGCUUUGAUGUCCUUUUCUACUAUUCUGUUUUUCCUGAGUGUGCUGGUUCAAUUGAACGGUUCGACAGAGUCCUGUUUGCAUAGUGCUAAUCCAAACGGGUUCGAGGUGUUGUAUCUUGGAAGGCAUAGUUCGUGAAUCUGCGAGGCACCUUUGGCAGGAACUAAUCGCCUUAAGGAGAUUCGGUUAUCCAUACCUCACCUCCAAUUUUAUGUUAUAUCUUAUUUUCUUCUUCUCCAAGAUUUUUAAAGGGAAUGAAAUUAUAAAGUUGUUAUCAUCUUCUUUACUUUCAUGUUCUGAUUGCAACAAACAGUGUGCUUUCUCUGAAUUAAUUUCCAACAAUUCUGUCACUUAAACUGGCAAAAGGAUAUCGAGCUUGUUCUUUUGGCGAGUGUAUUGCCGUUAAAUAUGCCAAUUAAUUCCACGACUAUUAGCAUUUGUUUAAAUAGAGCAUACAACCUAAAAUGCUCACAAUGGCAGCUGGUACUGGAUCCUCAUGUCUGCCCAUGAAAUUCUGAGUGCCUCAGACAUGGCAUAUCAUGCACACAAACAAUUCUCAACCCAGAAAUUAGUGCGUACACAACAAGAGUUAAAAAAGAAAAAAAAAAUGAUUUGGUUAAUGUGGAAAUUUAACAUAAUGACAAGCAUAAAAAACUGUUCAGCAGUACAGUAGAGAGGUCAAGACCUGAGAACACUGUAUUGAGACUUAUUCAGAUCAACACUUCAGAUAGUCACUGAAAAGCUAAGGAGCAGAUGAAUUGAAUAAAGAACAAUGGCGAUGAUAAUACCUGCGGCUGAAUUUGUAGGGGGAGAGAAGUCCUAGAAGCCGUCAUUGAUGCCAUAGCGAUGGAUGUUCAUGAUUAAUCUUUGAGCUUACUAUUGUGGAAAAGUAUUAGUGAUUCGCCAAACGUAACCCAUGACCCUUCCUUAACCAAAGAACGCAUGCAAUGACAUCUUCUGGAGAGCGGCUCCUGGAAUUUUUCCAUCCAUCCUCCCACAACCUAAUUGCAUUAUCAACCUAUUGACACAUAAAAUAUGUCAAUAGGCAAUGUGCCGUUGCACCACAGGACCCGCAAAUGGUCAUCUAUGUCAGUUACACUGCCAAUAAUUUGUACCUGACCCUUCAUGGUCCUAUUAUUCAGUUAAUCUGUUUAAAGAACAUUCAUUUUCUUCAAACAUGCUUUCUCACGUGCCACUAUAAUAUGAUGUGUAUAUACUAUCUCUUCAAGAGCUUUGACUCCUAUAUACUUGGGACAUUAAAUUUUUUUAGCAACAAUGAGAUCGGCAUAUCUCUGUUUUCGGGAUUUCAGUUGCUAAGGGAAACAAAAAGGACGUCCUCUAAUGAAUCAACAGUAUUUUGCUAUAACAAACCUGGAAGAGAGAUGAGUGUCUUACGUAGUUACAAAAACAAUGAUCACGCAAUUGUUGGUAGAAAUUUAAUCUGUUGACGUGCAUGAACAUUCUGAACAAAAAACGGAAAACGUGCAUGAACAUUUCCGGCCGGGAAGCAUUCACGAGGAGCUGAGAGGCACUCUAUUUCUUAAAGCAGCAAAAUGAUUACGAGCUUGUUCUUUUGGUGAGUGGAAUGAAUAAAUUGUACAAAAAAUCCUAAACUUAUUGUCCGAUCACUAAUUUAAUUCUGAACUUUUUAAUUUGAUCAAUGUUUUUAAAAACUUUUGACGAUUUUUUGUAGUCCACCUAGUUAAAUUUAGGUCGAAAAUCAGUGAUGGAGCAAUUUAGUAAACACUAGCCGUUUUAAGUGAUAUAACCGAUAGCUGAUAUAGAUGAUCUUAAAUGAUGUGGCGUCGUUUCACAAUUUUUUAAUAUUCUUUCUUCUUCUUUUUUUUCUUUUUUAGUAAUUUUUUUCCUAUUCUUUGGUUCUCUUGUGUUCAUUUUCUUCCCUCCGCCGAUGGCCGAUGCCUCAGCAAUGAUCGGCGACCAUCAUAGGCUACAAGUGAGGGCAUUGAGCGAGACUUGCAAGCCUUCUCCUAGAUUUGGGCAAGGGCCCUAUAGGCCCUCACUGGCCGUAGGCAAGGUUGGGAACUUGCAAGCCCUUGCCUAGAUCUACCCUCGCAUGGGGUCAAUGCCUGCCAUCACCAAAGCCUCAAUGUCUUGCUCUGGAAAGAAAAUGAACAGCAGAGAAGGAGACGAUAGGAAAAGAAAGAAAAAAGAAAAAAAGAGGAAAGGAAAAAGAAAAAAAUCUGAAAAUAAUAACAAAAAAAUUGCAAAAUGACGUUGUUUCAUUUAAGAUCAUCCAUGUCAAUCGCCAAUCAUGCAACAUGGCCUACCUUGUUGGAUGUAGUAGAUUUAGGAUAUUUUGAAUAUUUUUCUCCUAUUAAAUAUGCCUAGUUUAUUUGAUAUCCUAAAAUUUGUCAACUUUGUGAAAUCAAGUUUUAAAAUUUGUUGGCAUUUUUUUCAUAUUGGAUGAAGUUAAUGAAAUGACUUGAUUACAACUACUUGAUAAGUUUUAUGACUUGAUUGUAAUUUUUGAAAAUUGUAGACUCAAUUGCAUCUCUGUAAUAAGUUUUAAAACUUGAUUACGCUAUCUAAAAAUUUUAAGAUUUUCAAAAUACUUAUCCCUAAAAUAAAAGAAAAAGGGCCUACCCCCUUUACAUGAACUCUUUACUUUAAACGCACCAUGGAAUUUCCUGUCCUUUUACACAGUUUCAUUAACUAAGAAUUUUAUUUUUUUUUGGGUUAAAACCAAGAUUUAGUUCUUUUUUUUUUUUUUUUUUUUUGGGACCAGCCAAGAUUUAGUUCAAAGAUAGAUAUUUUGAGGAGAAAAAAAAAUUCAGCAAACUAGGCAAGGAUUUGCAAAAGAUCGUAACAAUAUUACCGGAAGCAUAUAAUUAUUUAUCACUGACGAAUGAUAUAGUAAAAAUUAUUUUAGUAGUUUACCUUAAGUUUAGCAAGAUCUGCUUAUUCGGUAGCCUUGAGUUUCUUCGAUUCCUUCUCUCUUGCCUUCAAACAGAUAUAGAAAUGGCAACGCAGAAUAUCAAGAUAGAUUGCCAUUGACAAAGCUGUAAAAGCCUACUCAAUCGAGCAAAACUGGGACAGUUUUUCCAGCGAUCUUGACCACCUCCGUAGCAUGCCGUGGAAAUAGAUAGGAACACAUGUAGAGGGACAAGCUGAUUAUCACUUGCUUUUAGUCAAGCAUUCGAAACUUUGAGAUUCAUGCACUAUAAGAUAGCUAGACAAGCAAAAAAAUGAUGGGCAUUUCAGUUGAGGUGUCGAGCAAUUAGAUUGAAUUCAAACCAAAUAAAGCUUGACGCAGAAAAGAGAAAUGUUGUGCAUUGAGCGAAUAUAUGACAAAAUAAGUGCAAAGAGAGUCAUUGAUGUUCUAGCGCUUUGGCCAAUUGAGUUCUUAAAAUUUUACUUUGCUUAAUCGAAUCCUCGGCAUUUUCAAUUUCAGUCAAUUGAGUCCCUCAACCUUGAUCCUCGGAAAUAGUCACAUGGCUAUGAUUUUCCAAGUUGAUAAGAAGAUGCUCGAGAAGAAAACCGGGUAGGAGGUGAAAUGGGACCUAAGUGCAAGUUUUACUAUUUCAGUAACUACAAUUGAUCUGACAGAAGGUUGAACUUUCAUGGAUCUGGCACUUCGUUUGAAGCUAUACAAACAGAAAUCAGCGGGCUCACGAAGCCAAUCUUUUAGACAGUUUCUGAAGUAUCACACAGAAAAGCACUAGGAUAUCUUUACACAUUCUCUUAUUUCCUCUAUAAACUCACAGUUAUUAGAGUAUAUUAGGCAUCAUUUAUUUGUAGUACAUUAGGUACAGAUGUCCUCUCUCUGAAAUUCCCUCUUUUCCUCUUCUUACGAUUAGCUUUGCCAGAAGAUGUUUCCAACUUCCGACAUUGAUGAUGUCAUUUCAAGGAGUUCUCAAUGUUUAUCACAAAUCGGUACUUAACAUCUCUCUUGAUGAGCCCCUCAAGGGCUUCAUUGGCAUAAUCGAUCAGUAUCACUUCGAUUUCUUGGUGUAUGUGCUGUGGCGCACAGAGGUCUAUCAUUUCUUGGAUAUACUUCAUUCCUCCAGUAGCGCUACCCAAAACUGUUUUCAUACCUGCAAAAAGUUCAUUAUGAGCAACUUAGUUCGUUCGCCUAUCAAGUAUCAAUAUUUCAUUCAGUAAUGAGCUUUGAGAACAAAAACAUACCGAGGUUAAGGCUUGCCGCACUGAAUGUAAUUUCGCUUUGGGACCCAACCAACGCUAGAACGCCACCCGUCUUCAAAAGAGACAUGUAAGGAUCAAAUAGGUGAGCAGCAGAUGCCGUGUCGAUUAUAAAAUCCAGGGACUUAGCCAUGGCCUACAUGUAUUGGAACCAUCAGAUCACGGCAGCAAUUGACCUCCAUGGAUCUAAAGUACUGAUAAUUCCAGAUCUUCCCGUUUGCCUUCAUCUGUUCUUGGUCAGAUGAGAUGACGAAAUGGUCAGCACUCAGCAAGCUCAGUGCUUCCUCCUUUUUAGAAUUGCUUGUACUAAACACAGCGACUUUCAGUCCAAAAGCCUUCCCAAGCUUAAUUGCCAUGUGACCGAGCCCACCGAGUCCAAUUAUGCCGAGAGACUUACCCGGUUGGCUCAUCUUGUGACGCACCAUUUGAGUGUAUACUGUGAUUCCAGCAUAGGGCAAUGGUGCUGCUAAAGCCAAUGGGUAGCUUUCUGGAAUCCUGAAGCAGUACCUGUCAAUGAAGCACCACAAUUAAGUUUCCAAAUCACACCAAAGGAGGAAGGGAUUUCCCAAUAGAAUUGACAUCCCAUCUUUUUUGUAUAACAGGAUUCAAAUCACAUUUUACUUGCUUAGAGCACAAUUCAACAUCAUGUGGUUUCUGUGAUUCUUUUUUUGACCACAAAUUGCUUAAGAUGAAAACUUCUUGCUGUAGCGACGAAAGUAAAGCCACUACGGCAUACAGGAGGCCAUACUCGAUCAAAAUUGAGAAAAGAGGCUUGCUCUAACAGAGGACACUAGAAGCAUAUUGCAUAUGCAUGAUAGAUCAUGUAAUUUCUCUAUUCCCCUCAAUCAUGUCUCUAAGGGACACGAUAUUCCCGUGACUGUCGGAUACAAGAAUCCGUGAAAGCACGUACAUUUUAUUACCCAUUUGAUCUAACACUUACUAUCUAACUCUUGGAAACAAUCUAAAAAAAGGGAGGAAGAGGAGACAAAAGGCAAGGAUUGAGCAAUUUCCAUCUCUUUCUCUCUUUUAAUUGAGGGUUAAUAUCCUAAACCCCCCCCCCCCCCCAAAACUAGUAUAUAUGUGAUAAAUUUACCCCGACGGACUAUAAAAAAACCCUAAACUUAUAUAUUUGUGACAAAUUUACCAAAAACUAAUUUAUUCAACCGCAAAAAACUUUAAGAUGGUAAAUUUGUAACAAAUAUACCCUCCACUAAAUUGGAUUAAUACCACAAAAAAAAUCACAAAAAUUGUAUACUGUGACAAACGAAGCAUAAAAUCUCAAAUUGGUAUACUAGUCAAUUGGCUUUUUUUUUUGGUAAAGUAUACUAGUCAAUUGUCACGUGUCAUUUAAUUUAAUAAUUUGACGGUAAAAUUUAAUGAAAACUAACAUAUGGUAAAUUUGUCACAAGUAUACCAGUUUAGAGUAAUUUGUCAAACAUAUACCAGUUUGAGGUUUUUUAGGGUAUUCACCCUUUAAUUAAUUUAGUUUUAAAUUUAAUUUUAUUAUUUUUUUAUGAAAAAUUCAUAUGUUAGAUUUAUUGGCUCACAUGUCAUUGUCACUUGAUGUGUAUGAUAUAUAGAAUAGUCCAAGAAAUUUGACUUUAGAUACUUGGGAACCCGCAAAUGGUCAUACAUUGUCGGUUACACAUUCAACAUGAUGUAUUAGCUAAUCAUAGUCCUCUAACGGUUUAUAUUUGCUUAAAAUAUUUCAAGAAUAUUCAUUUGUUAGACUUGUCCGCUCACACACCACUAUCACUUGAUGUAUAUGAUAUGUAGAAUAGUCUAAGAACUUUGACUUUAGAUACUUGGGAGUGUCUACGCUUGUUUUAUGUCUGUUAUGCUUGCAAUGCUUCUUGUUUUGAGUGGACAAUACAAAUAUUUAAGUCCGUGUCAAUUUGAACAACUUUCUUUAUUAUAGAGCAAUAGUCUUUAAUCUAUUGUGUUCUUGACCACAAAAAACCAAGUAACAAAUAAGUAUAAAUUAUUGUAGGGUCCAACGACAAUCUUUAAUCUAUUAUGUUCUUGACCACAAAAAACCAAAUAAUAAAUAAGUAUACAUUAUUAUAGGGCUCACUCCUUUAAAAAUUUGUUGCUCACAACAACUUAUUUAUUCUCAUAAUAACCCAAAGUUAUACUAGCAAAGCUCUUUUGAGUAAGUGUAUUGAAAGUUUUAAAAACUUGUCACUAAAGUGUAUUGAGUCCUAAAACUUUCAAAAUAUGCAAUUUAAUCCUAAAAUUUGUCACGAAAUGCAAUUGAGUCUUAAAAUUUUCAAAAUGUACAAUCAAUUAUAAAGAUUUAUCAAAAUUGGUCCAAUUGAAGUCAUUCCAUUGAUUGCAAUUUUUGAAAGUUUUAGAGCUCAAUACGAUUUCCUAACAAGUUUUAGGACUUAAUUACACUUUUUGAAAAUUUUAAAACUUAACUAUAAUUUAUGAUAAGUUUUAGGAUUUCUAGUACACUUAUCUUCUUCUUUUUUUCACCUCAUUAAUCUUUUUAGCAACAAUGAGCUUGACAUAUCUCUGUUUUCAGGAUUUCAGUGGCUAGGGGAAACAAAGGGAUGUCCUCUAAUGAAUCAACAAUCUUCCUGCCAUGACAAUGCCAGAAGAGAGAUGAGUGCCUUACAUAGUUAUCAAAAAUGUUCAUAUUAUAAUUGGUAGGCAUUCGCUCUGCCAACGUGCAUGAACAUUUCCGGCGAUGAAACAUUCGUGAGGAGCCAGUAAAGACAUCCUAUUAUUUAAACCGGCAAAAGGAUAUCGAGCUUGCUCUAUUAGCAAGUAUAUUGUCGUCAAAUAAUCCUGAUUAAUCCGAUAUUUUCAUACAAAAAAUCGUCAUCGAGGCCAACUUAAUCCAAAAUGCCAAUGGACAGGCUUGGGUAAGCUAGUGGAUAGGUAUGCCGCUUUAUCUUAUGUCGUGUUAUCUCACGCGAGAGAUGGUGCUGCGUUCUCUUUAGAAUGCACAUGACUUGGGAUAGGAAAACCUUAGGAUCCGACAAGGAAGAAGGAAAAAAGCAAUCUAUUGUCGGGCCAAUACAAGAUCAUUUCAUGUCAAUCUCCGCAGUCUUGAGGCCAUGGAAUCUACGACAUACUUGCUCAUUCACAAGGACUGAGCAAAUAAAUAAUAAAAUAAGAGCAUAGGUCAUCAUUGAUCGUCUUCCCUUUGACUGAUUGAAUUCUAAAUAUUUUAUUUUCAAUUGAGGUUUAAAUAUUUUAUUUGAUUUAAUUGACUUCUAAACAUUUCCAAUUUUAGUCAAUCAAGUCCCUCGAAUAUUAUCCUCGGAAAGAGCCACAUGGCUGUGAUUUUCCAAGUGGCUAAGGAGAUGCUUGAGGAGAACCUGUAGGAGAGGCGAAGCCAUUCAAGCAGAACUCUCAAGAAGCCAAUUUUUCAGACAGUUUCUCAAUCAUCACAUAGAAAAGUACCAGGAUUUCAUUACCCACUUCACUUAUUUCUGCUAUAAAACUCACGAGUAUCAAAGUAUAUCAGGCAUAGUUUAUUUGUACUCCAGCAGAGCAAUUAAAAAGGCACAGAUGAUGCUCUCCUCUAGCAGAAACUCCCACUUUUCCUCUGUGUGAUCAGCUUUGCCAGCAACAAUUUCCAACAACCCAAAUUGAUGUUGAAAUUUAAUCAAAUAGACUCAGAGAAGAAAACACACAAGAGAAUUGUUGCUGUAACUUUCGUUACUUUAUUCAUCGGAACAUAAGCCUAUUAAAUAGGCAGAACAUCCAAACCACUUAGCAAGAAAAUAGCUAUAGAACAACAACAACAAAGACCCACUAACAUACCCCACUAACCAGAACAUAUGCAGAAACUAACUCCUAAAAACAGGCCACUUCCUAUUGACUAGGACUCCACUAUUACAUUAUUGAAGACACGUAAAAACUGAAAGUUAACUACUUCAACAAUUGAUGGUGUCACUUCAAGGAGUUCUCAAUGUCGAUCACGAAUCGAUACUUAACAUCUCUCUUGAUGAGCCUCUCCAGAGCUUCGUUGGCAUAAUCAAUUGGUAUCACUUCGAUGUUUGGGUAUAUCUUCUGCGCCGCACACAGGUCUAUCAUUUCUUGGGUAUCCUUUGUUCCUCCCGUUACGCUACCCGUAACAGUUCUCAUAUCUGCCAAAAGUUCACCGCGAGCAACUUAGUUCACCUAUCAGGUAUGAAAUUUCAUCUAGUAAUCAGAUUUGAGAACAAAAACAUACUGAGGUUAAGGCUGGCUGGACUGAAUUUAACUUCGCUCGGGAAGCCGACCAAUGCUAGAAUGCCACCCGUCUUCAAAAGAGACAUGUAAGGAUCAAACGGGUGAUCACCGGCUGCCGUGUCGAUUAUAAAGUCCAGGGACUUAGCAAUGGCCUGCGUGCAUUGGAUUUAUCAUAUCACAACAGAAUUUGACCACCAUGGAUCUCAAUGUGGAUAAUUCUAGUUUUUCCUCUUUUUACCUUCAUCUGCUCUACGUCAGAUGAGAUAACGAAAUGGUCAGCCCCAAGCAGGCUCAGUGCUUCCUCCUUUUUAGAAAUGCUUGUACUUAACACUGUGACUUUCAGUCCAAAAGCCUUCCCAAACUUAACUGCCAUAUGACCGAGCCCGCCAAGUCCAAUUACACCUAGAGACUUACCAGGUUGGUUCAUCUUGUGACGUAUCAUUGGAGUGUACACCGUGAUUCCAGCACAGAGCAAUGGCGCUGCUAGAUCCAUCGGGUAGUUUUCUGGAAUCCUGAAGCAAUACCUGUCAAUGAAGCACCGCAAUUAAGUUUCCAAAUAACACCAAGACAGGAAGUGAUUUCCCAAUAGAAUCAGCAUCCUGUCUUUGUUGUCUAAAAGGAAUCAAAUCACGGAGCCAGAAAUCCUAUCUUCCGCAUGCUUGGGAAUUUUACUUGCUUAGACCACAAUUCAGCAUCAUGUUGUUUCUGUGAUCCUUGUUCUGACCACAAAUUGCUCAAGACAAACAUUUCUUGCUGUAGCAACGUAAAUAAAGCAAUUGCAGCAUACAGGAGGCCACGCUCGAUUAAAAUUAAGAAAAGACACUUGCUCUAAGAAAGGAAACUGGUGGCAUAUCACAUAUGCUUGACUGAACACGUAAUUUCUGUAUUUCCUUCAAUCAAUUUCUCCAAAGGACUCAAGAUUCCUGUGGCUCUAUCAGAUACAAGAAUUAGUGAAAGCACAUACAUUUA